GGGAGCUGCAGCUCGCGGCGCGUGGGGGAGGAUCGAGUUCACGAGCGUCCCUCUCGCGGUUCACGAGCGCGCGCGCGCAACCGGACAGCGCUAGCUAGCUAGCUAGCUACUGGUGGAGGCUUGCCGCUACACACCCGCGCCCGGACGCCUUUUCCUAAUAUUCACCCGUCCUCCAAAGCAAAAUAUAGCUAGGGAACCAUAUCGCUGCAUCGGUCGCCAUAUGCAGGGUGUUUUUCCUGGAGUUGCAAAGCACGCACCAACCGCAGCAGCCCCACGGGAUCCAAGCUGCCUGGAACGCCUGCGCUGUAGUGUUUUCUUGGCCUGCUUUGGGGGUUGGGAGGAGCGGCCGUGGCCGGGUGGGGUACUGGGGUUUGGCUAUAGCUGCUUAGCUUUCCCAUGGCUACUACGGGGGUGUUUGGAUCCUGGAGCUAAAGUUUAGUCCGUGUCACAUCGGAUAUUCGGAUGCUAAUUAGAAGGACUAAACAUGAGCUAAUUACAAAACUAAUUGCAGAACCCCUAGGCUAAAUCGCGAGACGAAUCUAUUAAGCCUAAUUAAUCCAUCAUUAGCGAAUGUUUACUGUAGCACCAUAUUGUCAAAUCAUGGACUAAUUAGGCUUAAUAGAUUCGUCUCGUGAUUUAGCCUAGGGGUUGUGAAAUUGGUUUUGUAAUUAACCUAUAUUUAAUACUCCUAAUUAGUAUCCAAACAUUCGAUGUGACAGGAGCUAAAUUUUAGCCCGGGGAUCCAAACACCCCCUAUAUGUGUGUGAAGAUGAAAGCUUUGUGGGAUGCAUGAGCUACUGCAGACGGAUGGGUUUCCGUGGGCUGUGUGUUCUGUACUGUGUGUUGAGCAGUUGAGGUAUGCUAAUCAAUGAGUGGUGGUGGUUGACAUUGCGAGGCUUCCUUUCUCUCUUCGAAUCAAUAUCAUAUCGUGUAUGAGUAUGACUUGAGGACACCGGACACAUUGUCGUCCUGUAGUGCAAUGAGGCUGCGAUUCAGACCAUGCGCAUACUCCAUAAGAGAUAAGCAUGAUGUUCACCUGCUCUUGACACGAUUGCGCUACGCUACACACCUUAGAUACCAUACGGAUGCCUCGUAUAUGCAUGGUUCCAAAUAUCAGAUGUAGCAGGCAAUAUAAUGUCAACGUCUAAAAUGGCUUUUAUUUAUAGCAGAUGGGACAAUACCCCUGUCCCUACAACCGCAGAUAGAGUGCUUUAUACAACAAAAAAGUUAAAACUUUCGUAGAAAACAAAUGUGGCCAUUACCAUAUAUAUGCACAUACCAUAUCUCUAUAUAUAAUUAGUGCCAUCAGCAACAGGGAAACAUUCUCACUACGUAUUACUAAUCAUCUCUGCUAGUAUUAGUUUUGCUCUAACAAUGCAACAAGUUUGUUUGAGGAAAUAAAAAAAAGAUUGCAACUGUCUAGCUCCCAGCUAGAAUUGCAUGCUGCAGUGCUGUCAAAGAGCCAGAGCACGACGCACACGCGUGUGCAAAUGGACAAACAAGCGGUGAUGAAGCUGUCGCCUUGUGAUCUUCUGCAUUAACUCGCAUAUAACUAAAGAGUCACAUGCUAUAGCUGGUUCCAUACCCCGAUGGCCAAGGGCAAUAUAUGCCACCGUAACCACCACAUAUUUUACGACCUAGAUUUAGGGCCCCAGUUAUGCGAUCCAGGAUCUACCCGGCCAGAAGGACAGACGACCAAGCUGACACAACGACGGACGGACGGAUGGAGCCGCAUCUGCAUGCAUGCAUGUUUUGCCUAGUUGUACCGAUAUCGUCUUGCGACUGUCAGGUUGAUCCAGAUUCCAGUUGGAGGCGUGAGCUCGUGAGCCUUUGACAGCUACUGAAAGUCUGAAACAAGAAAGCGUAGGUACGGUACGUAUACGUGCGUACGUACCGGCGACUGUUGCAGGCCGCUGGCCGGGUCGUGUAACGUUAUUAUACGUACGUUCCAGCUGCGUUUUUGUAGGCUUACUGCCUACUAGUACAAGCAAAAUGUUUCUAUCUGGCCCCUUGAUUAUUAAUUAAUCUUCGAACGCGACUUGUCGGUGUACUUGUUGUCUUUCAGAGGGUGCUACAUGCCGUGACGCCGAUGUAUAUGUGUGUGUGUGUGUGUGUGUGUGUGUGUGUUAUCGUCGAACCUUGCAGGGGAUCGAUCUCCCAUUCCAUCUCGUGAGUGAAGAGCACGCACGCGGUCAAUUCGUUGGUGGAAUGAGGCCCUGAUUGACAGAGUAUUGUCUCAGACCUACUACACUAUAGGUUCCUGUGAUGAAUAACUCAUGCAGAUGCAGACCCGGGUCGGCCUAUCUGUGUACCGGCGACCAAGCAAGUAGCUGCGCCAGCAGAGAGCAUGCAUGCAUGUGAACGAUGUGAUGCGCCGCAGGACAGAGAAGCUAGCGAGAGAUGUAGCUCGGCACGUACGUGUCGGCCUCUGCGUCUGCGAGAGAGCAGAGUACGCACUGCAGGUCUGCAGCACUGGGUCUGGGUGUAAGGUGUUGUACCUCGACAUGUGGAAGGAAGGAACCAACCAACAGCGAGUUGGGUUCAGGGCCUCUUGAUUUGGUCCCUGUCUCCUACCGUCACAAGACAUGCGCACCCUCCGUACCUCGGUUCUGCUCCAGCUAGCCUCCAACAAAUCACCGAUGUAAAAAAAGCUUCACAGGAGAUUUGCCUGCCGCAUGCGUUUUGAAUGGACUUCACAAGAGGGAGUGUGGCAUUUUACGGUGGCAGCACGUAGAUCCUAGGAGCCUGGGAUAAAGCUCGCUAGGAUCUGAACCCGCCCUCGAUCUCCGGCGCAGCAGCCGUGUGUCUUGCGAGCCGUGACCUAUGGUCUAUGGAGCCAGAACCGCGCGAGCGCCCCCGACCCGAUGUGGAAGGGCGGUGACGACGGCGCGGGCGGAGGAGGUCGAUUGAUUGCAGGCGGAUGGACGGAUGAUUGGAUGAGGAGUGGAGGACGCAGACUUGCAGAGCGUGGCUGUGCUCGGUUGCCUUUCGCGUGGCUGCGUGGGGGACCCGGCGGGGUUAGUCCGGUUGCGGCAGUUGGGGUCCGCCGGCCGAGGUGCGGACAAGUACGACGCUUCCGCCCGUGACCGUUGCCAUGUGACCCCGGGAGAGCACAUGUCCAUGCGUGAUGCCCUCCCAUCCCAUGGACGGACGGCCGGCCGGCCGGCCCCCGCGCGUGGACGCUUGCUGGCUUUGGCAAGAAUGACCGCGCUGCCAGGACUGGUGGGAACGAUGGCACGCGACACGCCGCGGCCUCCCGUGUGCAGCGUGCGGUCAUUCCUGGCCACGCAUCGCCGGCCGGCCGGCCGGCUUGCCGCCGCCGGUGUUCCACACCACCACCGUUAAUUUCUAGCCACAUAACCCAUCAGCUACUACUCCAUGGAUUACCUAGGUCAUUCCGAGCCACACAUGGGCAGUUUCAGCGGCAGCGCCUAAAAGCUCGGAGUAAACUGAGUUCAGCCUUGGUGAGUGGUGAGUCAUGGGCAGUGAAUGCGAAUCGGUCACCCACUCACCCACGCAUGCCCGGCUUUGGCUUUCUGCAGCCAAUUUGUGGACCGGCCACAUACAUGUGCGUAUGGCUGUACAGUAGCCAUGGCACGAUGGCAGAAGCGCAGUAAUGCUCCUUAAAUUGAAGAAAAGGGAGGGCAGGAUGACCCAUCUUGGGAUCAAAUGUACGGAGGAUCGUGCGUAUAUUGGAACAUGGGCACAUGGCAAGGAUGCCAGGUCGAGGCAACAUCAGUAAAGUUCUGUGAGUUUUGAUCAUGCUUUGUGUUUCAUUCUACAACCCCUCAUAGGAGGUAGCAAUCGCCUUGCCCUCAGCAAAAUUUCUACAGAUACCUCAUUCUAGACAAGUUCAAAUUUCAAGCAUACUCUUCCUCUCGCACACUAAUUAUACGCCAUACAUUGUCCAUAUGUAAAUUGGGAUAUUUCGUUCUAGCAACAAAUCAAAACCAGAAAGAUUCUCCAUUUUUGGUAAAUCAAUCCAUAUCGCCUAAUCUUUAGUGCCCUAAAUUACUAGUCAAAGACAAGAUCAACGCUAUAAUAACAGGGCUGAAGUAAAAAUAAUGCCAGAUUAUUCCCUCGCCUAAAGAUAAACAGAAACGGCAGAUUAUCAUGUACUAAUAGCACAACAAAGGGAAUCAAACGCUACAAAUGACUACGGUGGUGACGGAAAAAGUAACAAGGGGUCGCUACAACUUCACUGAAUCACUGUGCAGAUACAAGAUUGCAGCAAAUGUCGCCCUUGCGUGCAAGUGAGUUGGGGUCCCAUUUCCCAAUCAUUUUCCAUUUCAUUUUCAUCUAAAAUCCUGACAAACGGGAACAUGGCCGGCUCUGAGGUUUGCUAUUUAUACCACCUCUCUUUCCCUCCGCACAAGCCUCUCGCUCCGUGCUCUCUACCUCCUUACCCAGCACAUACACACUCCAACCUCCGCACAGCCAAUAGAUACAGACAGAAGGAUGAAGCUGAGAGCAAAAGGUCUAGGCCUCUUGCUUCUCCUUGUCUUGCUUGCUCUUUGCUCCACCAUUGAUGUCGGCGAGGCGAGAAGAGGCAAGCAUUGGAGGCCUAGGAGCUCACCAAGCUCCUCGCAGCUGAAGAAAGGCAAAGGAAAGAAGAGUACCUCCCACCGGCAACAUGGCAGCAACCGGCCAAGCCCGAAGCCACCAGUCAGCUCGACACCAAGCCCUGGUGCUGGCAAAGGAAAUCAGAAUCCGUACCAACCAAGCCCAACUCCGAGUGCCCCUGUCAGCCCGACUCCAGGCCCUGCCAACGACAGUAGGCAUUCGAGUCCCAAGCCGCCGACUCCAAGCUGCGGGAAGGGUCAUCAGCAGACAUCACAGCCACCGCCAUUGCCACCAGCCUCACAGGGUGAGGUCUUCAACGUGGUUGAUUUUGGAGCCAAGGGUGAUGGAGUUACGGAUGAUACUAAGGUCGACAGCUUUGCUCUCAAAUGCUCUGUUUCAAACUAAAUUCAUAAAAUUAUUAAGCACCAUGCAUUCUCUGAGUUAGAAAUUCUCAAUACCAAUUCCUUUUGUCCAGUUUGUCCUUCAAAUGAUUUGUUUCAAACUCACCACAUGACUUGCAUGAGAACUCCAUGUUGAUCACCUCCAGGGGAACUGUGAUAUCAACAUCUUGUGAUUAGAAUUUAUCAUGUAUAUUUUUAUUACUAAUUCCUGAAUGUUCAGAAAUGUGAAUUUAGCAUGAAUGCUUUUGCUAUUCCGAAUUCAUUUGCCAGCAACACCACAGCCUAUGAUGAUGGUUGGCAUUUCAAUUUUUCCUAUGAACAUAGUAACCAGUUUACUCUCACUACCUCACAUGGUUUCUAGUGCAGAGCCCAAGAAAGUUGUCACUAGUGCCAUAUUUUUUCUGGAAUCUUUUUUGCGUGUCUGCAUGUGUUGCCAGCAAUUUGAUUUGUUCCCUACUUUGGCUUGUUCUUUCCUUCUCACAUGAUUGUUUAAUCUAAUGCAUAAACAGAUACAUUCACACAUCUAGCUGGUCAAUUUUUUUUUUUGUAUAUUUGUAGUCAUGGAGAGAAGAAAGGUUACACAUCAAGCAAGUCAGGAUUCACAAUACGAGAACCUUUUCCACAUCUCUUACAAGACCUUUCUGUGUGCAGAGGAACAAACAAAAAAUUAUUCUAAUCUUGAGAUUCCCAGGCUUUACAGAUAGAGAAUAUAGCAAAAACUCUCUUUGGCAUUAACAUAGUCCCCUUUUUUUCCUUUUGCAAGAACACACUGCAUGAACCAAUAGUACAUUUUUUUGUUUUAAUUAUAAAGCAAAAAAACUAAUGGGAAAUUUGUAGUGAAUUUGCAAGAAAAUAAACCUCAUUUUAAAAUAAUCUGAGAUAUGCACUGUGGCCUUGUUUGAAAGCUCUAUCAAAACUCAUUUCUUUUAUAUUUUCAGUAAAACGAACUUAGAUUUUCAAUUUCUUUCUUAGUGGUUGCAAAAUGCUGCUUGUUCCAACAUGGAGACCAAAAUAAUAAGACGCACAGUGCAAUUUCUGACUAUCUAGCUUAGGGUCUGGGCUUUACAGAGUGUGUUUUCACCUCCUGCUCAAUUGAUUUUGUGAUGCUAGAUUCCAGAGGACUGUCUUUUCAGAAGAAGCUACAGCUAAUAAUUGUGCAUGCAUUUGCAUACAGGCUUUUGAAGGAGCGUGGGCUGCUGCCUGCAAGCAGGGGGCAUCUACAGUUCUUGUACCACCAGAACUAGAGUUCCUUGUUGGGCCAAUCUCGUUCUCUGGGCCUUACUGCAAACCAAACAUUGUCUUCCAGGUAAAUUACGCUGUGUCCCAAAUAAGAUACUCAAAAAAGCAUUCCUGAUUACUUUCAUAGCCUAAACUGAUCAACAAAAUGUAGGACAGGUUUGUAUUUUGUCUAGUUUGAUAAGCAUAUUGAUGGAAGAAUAAGUGCAGCAAGUAAUUCUGUUUAAUGAUGCACUCAUUUUGCAGCUGGAAGGAACAAUCCUAGCUCCAACCAGUGCUAAAGCCUGGGGUUCUGGCUUGCUCCAGUGGCUUGAGUUCACCAAACUAAAUGGAAUAGUAAUUCAAGGCAAUGGUAUCAUAAAUGGCAGAGGGCAACAAUGGUGGACCUACGCAGACCUAGAGGAUGAGGAUGAGGAUGACACAGUAAGAGAUGGCCGCCAAGUGUACCAUUGUCUAUAAAUUACUCAAAUGAAAAGUUGAUUGUGUUAAUUGCUCACCUUGGAUACUUUCUUUCAGUACGAUGUGGAGUUCGAGACAAUGCCACAUAUUAAACCUACAGUAAGAAUAUCACUAUCUUUCUGCACAUAAUUAUCACAUAUAGAAACAAAGUAAUCACAAAUCUGAUUUCGUAACCUGAUGCAGGCAUUGAGGUUUUAUGGUAGUUUCAACGUUUUAGUAGCUGGCAUCACUAUUGUCAACAGCUCACAGUGCCAUCUUAAGUUUGACAACUGUCAAGGAGUGAUGGUCCAUGAUGUGACUAUAUCCUCCCCCGAGAACAGUCUCAACACUGACGGAAUACACCUGCAGAACUCAAAAGAUGUCAGCAUUCAUCAUACAAACAUGGCUUGUGGUAAUUCCUUGUUGCAUCUAAAUUCAAGAGGCAUCUAGGCUAUACUCAGUAAGCUGAAAAGUUUUGUUUUGCCCAGCUUUAACGCAAAGAAAUUUUCAACAACACAAGGCAACUUAUAUGUUCUAGAUAUACUCAUGAAACUGAAAAGUUUUGUUUUGCCCAGAUUUAGCACAAAUAAUUUUUCAACAACACAAGACAGCUCAUAUGUUCUAAAAAUAUAUAAGGCCUUAUCUACAAGAUAACUCAUAUGUUCUAAAUAUAUAAGCCUGAAAGGAUCUACAAAAGUGUGACUUAAAAAGAACUACCUAGGGUCAACUGAAAGCCUGCGCCUCAGUUCUAUCACUCCUGUAUUCUCUAUUCUCUGCAUGCCAAAGGACAGAUUUCAGAGUAAGGGUACAUAAAAAAACUGUUGUAGAUAGUACUUGAAACUUCCAACUGUCUUUUACAGUUAAUCCAAAGUAGAAUAACGUCAAGGUGUCCCAUUUGUCUUCUUCAAUGCAGGUGACGACUGUAUCUCCAUCCAGACAGGAUGCAGCAACAUAAAUAUACACAACGUGAAUUGUGGACCAGGCCAUGGAAUCAGCAUAGGUGGACUGGGCCGGGACAACACAAAAGCAUGUGUAUCUAAUGUUACAGUAAGAGAUGUCAACAUGCUCAGAACCAUGAAUGGUGUCAGGAUCAAGACCUGGCAGGUAAGCUUGGGCACAGACAUACAAAUAAAAUCCUAGGUCAACAGCAGACACUAGUACAUGACAAUAUCACAAAGAAAAACUGAAAAAGGAAAGAACAUGCCAGCUUUUGAUAGCUACACAAGAGGCAACCUUGGAAGGUUCUAAGAAGAAAAAAAUGAUGAUGCCAAGCAAAACAAGAAUACUUAAUCAGCUAAAUAAAUUGAACUUUCGUUUCUUGCAGGGUGGUGUAGGAUUGGUUCAAGACAUAAGGUUCUCAAAUAUACAAGUCACAGAGGUCCAAACGCCUAUUAUUAUAGAUCAGUUUUAUUGUGACAAAAGCACUUGCAGAAAUCAAACAUCAGCAGUGGGCGUAUCAGGGGUCCAGUAUGAGAACAUCAGAGGGACAUUUACAAUCAAACCUGUCCACUUUGCAUGCAGUGACAGCUUACCUUGUUCAGGCAUCUCUCUUACUGGUGUGCAACUCAGACCAGUGCAAGUACCCCACUACCACCUGAACAACCCAUUCUGCUGGCAAGCUUUUGGGGAGCUCUACACUCCAACUGUCCCUCCCAUAGCUUGCUUGCAGCUUGGAAAACCUGCUGGGAACAACUUACAGACAUAUAACGAUAUAUGUUGAGACACCUUCGUCUGUUUAUUGGUGCUUACUCAUGAGUGGUCGUUGUGAUACAUCCGACCCCUUCGCACCAUUGCUUGCUUAUGUCCAUAUAUACAGUUAUUUUGAGGUCAUGUUAUUAGAUCAUUUUAACAUUUACAUGAAAGAAAACACACAUAUAAUCAUUGGAAUGGUCAUACAGCAAGAGUAUGUACUUGAGUUUCCAAAAAUGAGUAAGCACAAUGACAAAGAUUGUUUGCUUAAUUAAGCGUAAAUAGAGCUACAGCAAAGGAUUAAAAGGAAAUUAGUAAAUACAUAACCUGAAGAAUCAAAUUAAUACCUAGAAGUCUAUUGCUAAGGAUAUAUAAAAGGCAAUAGCUUACCAGAAGUUUAAGGGGAAAAUUACAUGAACCAAACAUAAAAAGCAAAUGGCUGUUCAAGGAUACUAGAAAAUGGUUAGAAAAAAGAGGAAUUAUAAAAUAGCCAGUUUCUGGUUGACAAAUGCCACCUGUUAAUUGCAAUAUGAUAUCAAAGUAGUUGAAAAAUGACCACAGAUAUAACUCUUAGGAAAGGGGGUAUCGAUGGGUUCGGCUGAAAUUAUUUUGAAAAAUGGUGGCAAAAAGUGCUCCAAAGAUAUCAAAGUAGUUGCAUAAUAUGCACAGAAAGAGGAUGAUUGAUCAAAUUAAAUAACUAUUCAAAAGAGCAUGCUAUACAAAGUGUCAUUUAUAAGUCGGAUAUAUACAGCAUGCCUAUGCAUAAAUAUUUGUUUGCUGUGCUUUCUAGAACAUCAGCUAAACAAGAGAACAAAACAGUGUAAAAACAAUCAAUAUGUAACAUGGGAAUAACAGGUCCUAUAACUAGCUUCACCAAUCUUUAACACGUAAUGAGGGGAAAAAGAAACUGAAAGCAGUAUCCAGAACUAUAUAUGAUCCAGUUAACCAAAAGAUGGGCAUGUUUCUUAAUUUUUUUCCAACUACAACUAGAUAUGGUAUGUCUCGCUAACUGUCAUGAAAAAGUAUCAAUUGAUGGAAACUUUUUCUUCUACCAUACUCUUCACAUCCAUUAACUGAGUUACAAAUAAAAGUUUCACAACAAUAUUGAUUCUGGGAUGCUAGAAAACUUCUGUGAUGCUAGAAAUGUUACUUUUCCACCAUACUCUAUUUAGAACAAGAUUUUUUUUCUUCUACCACACUCUUCACGUCCAUUAAAACUAAAUUAAAACAAAGAAUCAUAUCUAUUAGAGUACAGUUUUUUCCUCCACUCUCACUGGUUACAAAAUUCAUGGAGCUUUAAGCUAUCAAUCAAUAUUUAAAACUUACAAACCUGUCAAAUAAUUCAAAUGGGAGUAUAGUCCAUGGAAGCAUUCCUAGAUUAAUCUAAGGUUACAAUUUUUGCAUAGACUUUCUAUAUACCUUAAAGUAUAUUGAUGGCCAAAAUUCAGAAGAUUUAGGCAGUUGGUGAAAACCAUUUGUUAAUGGACAUGGUACGUCAUUUUGCAGUCAUGCUUGUCCAACAAUCAAACCGACCAACAAAAUAGUAUAAGAUUAUAUUUACAUACAAAAGUGUAGCGCCGAUUAAGUACAAACAUGCAAGCUAUUACCAUGAACUGCGUGAUAAAACACGAAAAUGAAACUGGUCCAUUAACUAUGAUUCUGUGAUGCUAGAAAUGUUAGUUUCACAAGUAACAUCACUACUACUUGCAUCCUAUAAUCAAAUAGAUAACAGUGGUACACUAUCUGGCUAUAUUAUGAUGUUUUUCCAACAUGGCGAACAAAUGAUGCAUCUGCAAGCUGUAAGCGGCAGCUAUAGACUUACUCCCUCCAUUCCAAAUAAUAGUCAUUUUAGCUUUGUCCUAAGUCGAACUUGUCUAAGUUUGACCAAGUCUAUAGGAAAAAAUAUUAACAUCUAUAAUAUCAAAUAAAUGCACAAUGAAAAUGUACUUCAUGGUCUAUCUAGUGAAACUAGUUUAAUGUUGAAAAUAUUUAUGCCUUUUUACAUAAAAUUGGUCAAAGAUAAAGAAGUUUGACUUAGGACAAAGCUAAAACAACUUAUAAUUUGGAACAGAGGGAGUCUCUCAUAUGUAUAUCUCUGCAGUAUGUUUAUUAAUAAGAAAUUCAAGAGACAAAAAACUCAUUGCAUAAAUAAUUUCAGGGAAAACUGGCUCUACAACUCCUUAUCCUAAGAGUCAUAUAUAUGCAAACAAAACAUUUAAUACAGACACGAGCAUUGAAAAUAAAACCUCAUUUGUAACUAGUGAAUUUGCUGUUUCUAGUUUAAUUGAUAAUGCAGAAAAUUAGACAUAACAAGGCUGCCAACACUGCAACUAAAGUAGAGUUUGUAUGUGAGCUGUCCCAGAAACUCUUCAGGCUAAAGCUCAGCUUGAUGAUGUAUUUGCAAAAUUUCCAGUGUCUGUUCAUAUAAUGGAAAACAAAUUUCUUAGAAUCAUCAGACAGAGAAUGAGAAGGUAGCCAAAUUAGAAAGGUAUCGAGAUGAAACAGACCUGCUACAACCCUUCAUCUUGAAAAACUAAAGACAUCCUUUGCCCCCUUGUAGUUGUCAACAGUUUCAGGAACCGUUAGUCCUGUUGUUUCCUCAUAUUUCUUCUCUAGGUUCUUUUAGAAAAAGGAAAUAACAAGCAAAGAAGUAUGAGUUCAUGUACCAAAAAUUGUAUACACUGACAUACAGCCCUGGAAAAUUGUUUAUGCACAUGUAAUUAAUUUUGGUUAUAUAUGAAAGGCAACUUAAGGUGGCAUCAUUCUGAGAGGGAAAACGUAUGCAUGCAGAUUAAGGAAUUUUCUGACUAAUCUAAGAUUCAAAUCAUGUAAUUAUGGCCAAAGAGAAUGAUGUACGCCAAAAAAUAAAUUAAAACCCACAGUGAUUGCUACUAAUACCAAAUACGAAUUUUCAAUAUAAUCCCUGGUGAUGUAGUCGAAACCACAUUGUACUAACCUUCAGUUCAUCGCGUACGGUUUCAAGAACAUCCAUUGUCAUUCUAUCAAAGAAAAGAAUCCCCUGCAAAUACCCAAACAAUUAUGAGCAUCACAGUGAUGAGCCUCUGGUCAUAUAUGCAUAGCUUGAUGACAUAUUCCCUUCUUUUUAAUCACUUUGCAACUGCAGUAUUGGCACCGUAUGCAUAACCAGUAAUUUAUAUGAUAUUAGACAAUAAAACAUAAGAAAAUAUUUAAUUACGGUAAUAUCAAUCCUGCACGUCCAAUCUAGACUUCUUUUAUGUAAUGAUGGCCAAACCUGAAAGCACCUGAUAAGCACACUCUAGGAUGACUUGAAUUUGCAACCAGAGGGAGUAUAUGUGAUAGCAAAUGAAACAGAAAUAGCAUAUAUGCAUAUAUGUAUAAGCAUAGACUUAAAACAUUGAUUGCACUUCCAUUUGGCAUCGACUUAACAUAUAUUCAGCUGUCACUGAAACAGAACCGAUGCAUCCCUCUAUCAUGAGAAUUAACAUAUCUGACUCAUCAGUUUGUUUUGUGGACAAUUGCAUAUGUUAAGAGACAAAGGAGACAUGACUCAAUGGAUUGCUAGAAAACUUAUGCAGAUGGACCCGAUAGAUAUUGGUUAAAUACAUACCAGCAAAUGGUCAAACUCAUGCUGGAAAACUCUUGCAGGUAGGCCAGAUAAUUUUACUUUGAUUUUUGCCCCUGUAACGUCUUGAGCUUCAAUUUUCACACUUUCUGGUCUCUGCACAGAACAAUGGCCACAAAGUUAGCUUUAUUUAUACGUGCAACUUUUCGUCUGCCGUACAAGCAGAGUCUGAUUUGUUUCAAAAAAGAAAAGGCAGAGGCUGAUAAUUGGAAGAUCAAUUCCAAAAUUACAUACUAUUUUAGCAUGUCAAAGUCAUGUAACAUGUGGCAAAUUCAACCAUAAAUGUGACACUACGUACAUAUCCAAUGCACACUAAGGUCAUAUAAUGGACAGCUAAAGUCUUCUGCAAAGUAACAAAUUUGAUAUGGUAAACUAUUCUCACCACCACAUUGGCAUAUAUUCCAGGAAACGAUAAGCAGCCUUCUUCAAACACAAGCAAUCGUUUCGCAGACUUGUAUACCACUGGGUUCACAAGAACAAUUUCCUCUCCUUCCCCCUUCACUCCAGCUGGAUUGAAUACCAUAAGCUGCACAUUCACUCCGACUUGUGGUGCUGAGAGACCAAUGCCAUCAGUCCUGUACGAAAAACAACUAUUUAAUGAACCAGUACAGUUCCUAAUAAGUUUGGCAUAGUUCUAUCUUGGAACAGCAGGCAUGCCUAUGGUGGAUAUUUUGCUCACAUUUGAAACAUGCCUAUUGCCUAGUGCAAUCGGCUUUUAUUUCAUCAAGCUUGUACAAAUCUAAGAACUACACAAACGAAUUCAACACUUCUUCACACAAAACAAAUGCCACCUCAACAAAACAGGUCACAAGAAGGAUUUCAUGAAAAUAAGCACUAACUAAAGUCAACUAUUGCAUGUAUCCAACCAUGCUAGGCACGCAUAUUUCUUUAAAACAGCAGCACGUCGAAUCGGUGCCUGUUAGCACGAUACCCUCUUGCGCAUUUUCCAUCAAACAGUUGCAGUGCGAGCAACUUAAAACUCUGGAAACAAGCAAGGCUCGGAGUCCAGACUCACUUGUACAUAACGUCGAACAUCUCGUCGGCCAGGGCACGGAGGUUGGUGUCGAAAGUGUUGAUGCGCUUGUUGCGCGCGCGCAGGAUGGGGUCCGGGUACUUCACGACCUGGAGCGGCGGCUCGAACCGGAGGUCGGCAGCUACACACCGUGAACACAGCAUCAACGAAGUAAGCCGAUAGCGAGCAAGUGAGAAUUCCCCUAGUGAACGGAGGAAUUUCGGAGGAGGAGGCGGUGGCGGCUUACCUGUGGCGAAGUCGUCGUCCUCGGCGGGCGGGGCGGCGGCGGUGGAGGAGCUUAAGCCGCGGCGUGCGCGGGCGGCGAGGGGCAUGGCCGGGCCGGCGCGGCGCAGGGACGGGGGCAGGGCUCCGGAGUGGGCGGCGAAGAGCGGGCGAGAGGAGGCCGCGAAGCUGCGGAGGCGCGGGCAGAGGUGGAGGCAGAGGCCCGCGGCCAUUGAGCGGCGCCUUCCCACUUCCGCUCGAUUUUUCCUUUUCUUCUCCCCACUGACGAUUGGGCGUUCGGCGAGAGAGGACGGGCACGCAGUGGCCGCACGACGGCACGAGGAAUGACGCCGUGACGAAUUCAACACUUCUCCACGCCCAAAAUCGGGUGAGCUGGGCCGGUCCGGGUCGAGCGAUUGUCGGCCGAAUCCAAUUUUUCCUACAGCCCAGCCCAGUAAGAUAUCUUGAUUGGACCCAAUUAGUCGCCAAUGUUCUUUUUUUAGAAAUUAUAAAGGAUAACCCAAACACACAUGAUCUAGAACAGGAAGAACAUCUCCAUGUUCAGUACAACCGAACACAGCUCAGCUGUCCUCGCAAAGUGAAAGCGCUCAGCCACAGCUCUCUUCUCCCACCAAGAAAACGUGCCCUACGCCGCGCCGCGCUAUAGCACGGGCCCGGCCACGUUCCUCGUCGGCUCGUCGCACGUCGCAAUCAGCAUCCACGGCGAUCGGUCGUUGAUCCUUCGAGAAAGUAACCAGUUCCUCUCCGGAUCGGGCGGGUCGGUCGCCGAACCAGUAACCAGUUCCAUGCGUAGGCGAGGCGUGGAAUCACUUCCAUUUCCGGAAAGGCGGCCAUGGCACGAGGCACCAGUAGUGAUCGACAAGUGGCGAUCGACCUGCAGGCUGAGACGUGAGAUCAAGCGAUGCGAAGGUGACACCAGCUGGAAGAGCUACGCAAGUACGCAUGUAUGGCCUAUGUAUGGCUACGCACGUGACGGAAACCGACUCGUCGCCGUCGAUCCGUCGCGCACCGAAAGCGAGAGCCUACGCGUACUGCACUGCUCGGAGAUGCGAUGAUCACUUCUGUGCUGCAGCACGCGAUAAGAUUAGUACAGCUGUGUUACAAUGUUCUUCUUCCACUGGCAAGCUGCGAGAAUGGAAAUAUUCACCGGCCAUGAAUGAUCGCAUAGUAGUUUCGAGCUGGGGUAGACUUGUACGCGUGCUUCCGGAAAUGGAAGCGGCUCACUCGCUCAGCGAAAGCAGCCAUUCUCCUUGCCCAAACGAGGCAAAGGUUGGAGGCUGCAAGCCUGCAAACCAUGCCAGCCAUAAGAAAGAGCAUGUGGCUGCAGCACAAAUGUUAACAUGUGCGUGAUAACGUACACGCACCGGUCUACCGUCGUCAGCGCGCCGCGCGCCUAUAUAACGACCGCCGGGCGCCGAACGAGGAACUAUAGAUCAACUGCACAUCAAUAAUCGGUCAGUUCGAUUCGAUUCCACGGUCCACUCACAAAGAGCUUUGGUGAGGAUGGGCAGGACGAUGUGCGGCUGCGCCGGCGAGCCGGCGGUGCGCAAGGGGCCGUGGACGCUGGAGGAGGACCUCGUCCUCGUCGGCUACAUCUCCCAGCACGGGGAGGGCUCCUGGGACAACCUCGCGCGCGCUGCUGGUAUGCCUCGCCCCGUCAAUCUCUCUCGCCCCACAACUCGCAUGAGCUCUUGGUGUGCGAAUUAAUGAUGUUGAAAGAUUUGCGUGGACUAAACCAUUUCUGAUGUGUUGGGUUCGAUCAGGGCUGAACCGGAACGGGAAGAGCUGCAGGCUGCGGUGGCUCAACUACCUGAGGCCGGGCGUGCGGCGCGGCAGCAUCACGCCGGCGGAGGACGCCGUCAUCCGGGAGCUCCACGCGACGCUGGGCAACAAGUGGUCCAAGAUCGCCGCGCACCUCCCGGGCCGCACCGACAACGAGAUCAAGAACUACUGGAGGACCAGGAUCCAGAAGAGACCGGCGGCGCCAGCCAACACCCAGCAGCAACCGUGCCGCGCGCCUGCGGCUGCGCCGACGACGGCCACGGCCGCCAGCGAGGGCGCGUCGUCGUCGUCGUCUGCGUCGGCAAGCCAUGGCAGCUCCGCGGCCGAGGACUACUACUACUGGUGCAUGAAGCCCAACAACCCCGAUCAGCAAGCCUGCUACUCCCAUAAGACCGUGGCUGCUGCUGCGGCCGUGGGCCUCGGUGGCUGGAGCGCGUCGGCGGCGUUGACGAGGCAGGACAGUUCGUCCACUUCCACCACCGCCGGCGACGGGUGCAAGCUGACGGGUUACAGUUACCCCUACUACUCCGAGUUGGGUUCGAUCGCCGACGGCGUCAUGAUGGUCGACGCGGACAAUUUUUGGAAUGUCGUCGACAACUUCUGGGGGACUUUACCGUUUCCAGAUGCUACAUUCUGACGCGACCAUGCAGCGUGAUUUCUGACUUCUGAGGAUGCCUAGCUGUAGAAGGGACAGAAAUGGAAGAGUGCAUAUAGUGCUAGUAGUAUGAUAGUAACAUGAAUCCUCUGCUAUAGGUGUCAGCGUGUAGUUGAUGGCUUUUUUUAUCAAAUGCUUGAUGUCGCGCUUUUUGUUACCGUACAUUAUUUGUGGCGAAAUUAAGCUCUGCACUUGUGUGGCUUUCUGUUUCUGAGGUUCUGGUGUUUCAGAUUUUACUAGUGUUAGUGCCGUGGGGCGUGGACCGUGCUGGAACCGUGGGCGGUAUGCUCACUUCAGCAACACGAAAAUUUGAGUAAGCAAAGAAUUUAUACUAGUGUUAUUAGUUAAAGCAACUUUCAACCUCGGAAAGUCAGAAUUCAGCGGCGGCCGAGAGCUAGCCCGAGAGAGAACAGAGAAGCACAUGAGCUGCUGCUCAGCGCCCAAGGAUUUCGCAAGGACGCGAGGUGGUGUGGAGGCCGGGGCUCAACCGCUCAACGGUCCUGGAGGCUGGAGGCCUCGUGGCUCGCACCCGGCGGCACCAGCUCCCCGGCCAGCGUUCGAUUGCGAUCGUGACGGCAGCCGAACGUCCGAACCCGCUUUUGCCUCGUCCGCUUCCUUCGGCGAGCCAAAGCCCAUUUCGAUCAGUUGGGCCCUUACAGGUUACAGCAUAGUCUGGAUCCGCCGUACACUGAAACCUGCAUUUGAAUUGUAUUCAAAUGAUUGUAGUCAGAGUACUUUCCCGUCAGAGUCCGAACGCCGAGACGGAAAAGCAGACCCUCCCUCUCCCUUGUUCUGCAUCGAACGGCUCCGCUCUGCUGUCUUGGCUGUCCAACGAGCCAUCAAGAUCGACUCCUUCCUCCACAAACAAAACGUGCUCUCCAGCGCAGCAGCACGGGCGCCCACACGUCCGGUCCCCCGUCGCCUGUCUCAAUCGGCAUCCACGGCGACCCGUCGGGGGCUGUGGAGGGCGUGGAGCCCCGAUCCUUUACCCGGAUCGGGCAGGUGGCCUAACCAUGUCCGAGAGUAGGCGAGGCGGCAUCUCCUCCGUUUCAGGCAUGCUACGGCACGAGGCACCGCUAGCUAGUAACAUGCAGGCGAAUGAAGCGGCGGCCAGCGUUCCAGCAAGCGAAGAUGUGAUCGAGAGCGACGCAGGAGGGCUGACUGGCUGGGAGAGCUACAUACGCGUGUCUACGGGCUAGGGCUACGCACGUGGUGAAGGGAAGAACUGAACUGACUCGUCGCCGCCAGUCCAUCGCGCACCGAAAGCGAGAGCCUGGGAGUGCUACACUGCCACUGCACUACUCGGGAUACACACGAGACGCAAGCGAUAAGGUUACAUGCUUACAGCUGUGUUUCUUUCACUGGCGAGCUGCGAGAAGACGCGGUGAUCCGAUGGCCGUUCAGCCAGAACCAGAAGUGUGUUUUAAUUUCCCCGACUCAGGAAACAGAACAUCGUCCUCACCGUACACACAGCACAUGGAUGUUUCGUUCAGUUAAUUUUACUUCAGAAGAGUUUCUUUAAAAAAAAGUAAUUUGGAAGCAUAGAUCCGUGGCUUGUUCCAAUCUGAUCCGUGGCUUGGAUUUGGUCCAGACUUUCUUUUUUUGAAAAGGAAAGGAUUUGGUCCAGACUUUCUUUAGACUUGUACGCGUGCUCCCCGAAAUGGAAGCGCCUCAAACGAAAGCAGCCUUCAUCCUUUCCCAAUCGAGCCAAAGGCGCAGGCCGCAAGCCAGCCAUUCCAACAAGAACGUGCGCGCGCUUGAUGACGUCCACGUACCCAUCCCGCGGCCGGCCCGCGCUGGCGCGCCUAUAUAAUGACCGGCGCCGAACGGUCUACAAGCACACUAGCAAGUGCGUGCGUCAGUUCAGUUCGAUAUCGCACGGAUCCACGCACAGAGAGCAAGGAGAUGGCUACCAGGGUGGCCAUGGCGUGCGGUCGCGCCGGCGACCAGCCGGCGGUGCGCAAGGGGCCGUGGACGCUGGAGGAGGACCUCAUCCUCGUCGGCUACAUCUCCGAGCACGGGGAGGGAUCCUGGGAUAACCUCGCGCGCGCUGCUGGUAAGCAUCGACCGAUCAGUUUUUGCCGUUAAUUUCUUGCAUGCGUUCUUGAGCUUUCGAUUGAGGGUUCAAUUUGCAUGGACUAGCUGAUUAAUUUGUGACGUGUCCCGAUACGAAUCAGGUCUGAACCGCAACGGGAAGAGCUGCAGGCUGCGGUGGCUAAACUACCUGCGGCCGGGGGUGCGGCACGGCAGCAUCACGCCGGCGGAGGACGCGGCGAUCCGGGAGCUCCACGCGGCACUGGGCAACAAGUGGUCCAAGAUCUCCAAGCUCCUCCCCGGCCGGACCGACAACGAGAUCAAGAACUACUGGAGGACCAGGAUCCAGAAGAAACCGGCAGCAGCAGCCAAAGCCCCGCACCAGCAACCGCCGGCGGCCGUCGUCAGAGAGGGCGCCAGCUCCGCCGCCGGGUACUACUGCGCGAAGCCCGACCCCGCCGAUCAGCAAGCGUACUGGUCCCAGAAGGCCGCCGUGGCAGCUGCGACGGCGGCGGCGGGGGUCGGAAGCGGCGAGGGCGUAUCGUCGUCCACGCCGACGAGCCAGGACAGCUCCACCGGUGCUGGAGACUGGCGCAUGCAGCAGACGAGUAGUUGUCCCUACUACUCGGAGCUGAUGAUGAGCUGGAUCGCCGGCGGCCACAGCGAGACGGGCGUCGGCGUGGACGCUCUGACGACGCACUUCUCCUCGUCCGGCCAGUUCAGCGACAGCUUCUGGAACGCUGUGGAGAAUUUCUGGGAGACGAAACCGGUGACAGGUGCAUUCUGAAGAGUGCAUGGCGAUAGUUUCUGGCGUUUCAGUGUUCAGUAGCUCGCUAGAACUGUCAGCAAGCUCGAUCGGUAUACAAGUGCAGUACCUUAGGAGCAUACUGCGUACGGACAUGCUUCUUGAGGUAUGUCGUAGUAUAGUUGCAUUACUAGACCACUAGUUGAAUGAUUGCUCUUGUUGCCGUAUUUGCUGAGUGAACAGCUGAACAUGGCUAAUCAACAAUGCACGUGAGAAAUCGGCAGCCGGGCGAUCGACCUCAUCGCCGCGCCAUCGUGCGCAGUGUCUCCUAUCGUGUGCCAGCUGAAGAUAGAGCUGCCCAGAGGAAUCGAUCGCUUCUGCUUCGAUUGUUAGGCGAGAUGCAUGCUCAUCUGAACGAUCUUUCCCUGUCACAAUGUCACGUACUCUUUUCUAUCCCGAUGCAAGUUUCACAUUUGGUAAUGGAAGGCACGCGUAUAGCUGGAUGUAGAAUGGGGGCAUCCAGCAUUUCGGGAGCUAUGCUUGAAACGGAAAACUCGGCACGAGGGUAAAGGGGAGUGGUUGAGGCGCUGCGUUUUAGGUGCUCGAUCGAGUUGUCCAUUUCGAUGAACAAAAGCAGAUGAGCUUAACUCUGGAGAACAGCUGCACGCACAUGCACCUGCUAUCGAUCGACCGCGUGCAGGAAAAGCACACUACUCUAGGUUGCAGCGAGUGAGGUGUGUGUUCGUGACAUUCAUGUGAUGUUAAUCAAGACAAAUUUAACUUUGGAAAGGAUCACGCCUUUCUUAGUUACCACCCUUCUGAGCGUUCAACUGGCUUAUUUUUAAUUUUAAUUUACAUCUUCAGGACCACAAGGAAAAAAGAAUAUUGAACCUUGUGCUCCGGAUACAAGUGCUGCAAUGUUGAAGAUUUGCUAUGGCGUUUCUCUGCAAAUGCAAAUGGUCACUCUUCACACAAAAAAAUGCAAUGAUCACAAUCCAAAUGUUUUUUUAUAUCUAAUAAAGGUAUUUCUGUUUCGUUCAUGCAUGGCCAAAUGGUCACUAGGGAGUGAAUUGGGCAUAGUUCAGUUGAUUAGAUUUUUUUAAAAUCUAGAUUUUUUAAAAAUCUAUCCACUGGAAUUCAAGUAUCUAACUUAGCACAUAUGCUUAUAUUUUUAGGUAAUUAUUUUCAACGAUAAACAAUAAUGCGCACACACACGCCAAUUUCGUCGAUGCCAAAGCCCGCCAAAUUAGUACUACCUCUGUUCCAUAUUGUAGGUCGUUUUAACUUUUCGUGUAUAGUUUUUGCUAUACACCCACGUACAACGUAUGUCUAGAUGCAAAACAAUAUUUAUGAAUCUAGAAAAACCAAAACGAUUUAUAAUUUGAAACGGAGGGAGUACAUCAGAUACACUCAUCUUCUUUAAUUACUAAAAUCACGUCACGAUUCUAUUGUAAACCCUCAACGUCAACCUCCGCAUACCAGCCAUCGCCCAUCGGAUGGAGCCGAAAAGAAGCGCUGAAUGUCAAAUUCACCUAUAGUGACUUUCGUGCUCAGGUCCCUCGGAGACCUUCGAACCACUAAGUCUUUGGGGUUCAGUCCUCCUUUCAUUUCAUUGUGAGAUAGGCUGUGUUUUUUAAAAGGAAAAAGGAAAGAAACACCAACAUGAUACGUGUUGAGGGUACUACUUCUCCUUUACAAAUUACUCUUCUACAAAUAUAAUUUUUGAUACGCAGAUAUAUAUUAUAUCUAGAUUGAUUAUUGAUAGUAAAAGUUAUGUAUUUAGAAAAGUUAAAAUGAAGCAAAUAAUGGUAACUGGCGGGAAGGGAUCUUCGAGACGUGACACGUUACGUAAGCGAUGACGAACCACACUGGUAUGUUUUGGGCGGGUGUUCCCGAUUCCAGCGGGUCGGUCUCUCACCAGAUCACCCCCCACGUUCGCAACCGAGUUUGGAGACGACUUCUCGGUUAUCGUCUUGUCGGUACCUUCGAUAUGGCGUGCAUGCUCGUCUUCGCCAGACGGCCAGAGAUAGCUGUUUUACUGUGAAUUUUGUCGUCUCAGACGAAGCAAAGUAACGAGGCAAACUUGGUGGGGAGGUCACGGCAGCAUAGGAGUCGAGUCAAUUUUGCUUCGCUUCCGAAGCAUUCCGUUCGUGCAGGCAAAGAAUUCAAGGCGGUAGCAUCUCUGUGCGCUGCACACGCGUGGAAUUAAGGCCAUGUUUAGUUGUCUAAUUUUAGUGCUAAAAUUACUGUGCUAGCACUGUAGCACACUGUAGCAUUUUGUUUGUAUUUAUGAAUUAUUGUCCAAACAUUGACUAAUUAGGCUCAAAAGAUUCGUCUUGCAAAGUACAACAAAAUUGUGCAAUUAGUUUUUAAUUUCAUCUACAUUUAGUACUCCAUGCAUGUACCGCAAGUUUGAUGUGAUGAGGAAUCUUCUUUUUGUAUAGUGCAAAGUUAGGAUUUGAGGGUGACUAAACUGGGCCUUGUUUAGUUGGCAAAGUUUGGAGGUGCCAAAUUACUGUUACAGCACUGUAGCACAAUGUAGCGUUUCGUUUGUAUUUGUGAAUUAUUGUCCAAACAUUGAUUAAUUAGGCUCAAAAGAUUCGUCUCGUAAAGUACAACAAAAUUGUGCAAUUGGUUUUUAAUUUCGUCUACAUUUAAUACUCCAUGCAUGUACCACAAGUUUGAUGUGAUGGGAAAUCUUCUUUUUGCAUAGUGCCAAAGUUGUAAGUUGGAGGUGAACUAAACAAGGGCUAACACCUAACUCGGAACUAACGAAGUGGUUAAAGUCUACGGCUUACGACUGGCGGCAUCGCACUAUACAAUCUGCCACUUGCAGAGACUACUUUCCAGGAACCUGCUACAGGGCAGGCAAUUCCUGUUCGAAUUCUUGCAAGUGAAGCCACGCACUUGGAGGGCGCCCCAAGCAAUCACACAUCAUUGGAGGCUCGCAUAGUCGCAGUCGCGGUAGAGCUGGGACUUGGAUCUUGCUAUUCGUGGGCAGUCCGAAGCACAAUAUUUUGGCAUGGUUUGUAGUACGGCACGAUAAAUUUUGGACCGUGUCGGCACGGCACGAACGUGAGGGCCGUGCCGUGCCUAGAAUCUCGGCAUGUCGAGUGGCACGGCACGGCACAUAUUUUGGACUGUGCUUGGACCAGCACGGUACGGAAAUAGCCUAGUAGCAAAUUUAUAGACUAUAUCGUCCUAAUAUCAUUGGUUCUAUGUGUCAUAUAGCUUAACAUAGCUACUACCAUGAAGAAAAUCACAAAAUCUACCUUAAUCAUGAUAACGAUAGUUCAUAACAUAACAAUGUUGCAUUCUCGUAUGGCCACAAACAGUCAUAACAUUCGCCUACAACAUCUAUUAUAAUAAUGUUUGUUUCCUCUAUUAAUUUUAUAAUUUUUUUCCUACAUUUGAGAGCAAAGUAUGUGCGAGCAAAAUGAGCACCAAUAAAAAAUAAGCACAUAUAUUGCGAGAGCUAUAAUUAGGCUGAACGUGCCACGAGCCAUGGGACCUAGUAAAAGACUCGUGGUCCCAUGCCGGCACGGCACGACAUGCCUAACGGUCCCUGUAAGGCCAGGCACGAUGCGGCGCGAGAGGGCCGGGCCGGGCUGGCACGGCACGGUUCAAGUCCGAGCUCUAGUCGCAGGGAUGGAGAUCACCAAGUCAGAGACGACUACUAGAGUACCAGUGUCUUCCGCGAUGAUUCCGUCAGGAAGUAGAAUACUACAAGCCCAGUCAUCUGGAGCCUAUAAAGUCAUGGAUAUCUUCCGCUCGAAAGUUUCCAGGAUUCUUUGCCACUCCGCUUUCUACGCCCUGCCUCGCAAAAUCCAUACAAAAAGAGUGUCCACCUGAUCUGUUCCCAACAGCGCCGGCGCCGGCUCGCGGCCAGCCAUGGCGAUCGAAGGUGAGCAGCGGCCGCUGCACAUCCUCUUCUUCCCGUUCCUCUCGCCGGGGCACCUCAUCCCGGCCGCCGACAUGGCUGCGCUCUUCGCCACCCGCGGCGUAAAGUGUACCAUCCUCACCACACCCGUGAACGCCGCCGUCAUCCGCUCGGCGGUGGAACGCGCCAACGACGCCGAGGGCGCCCUGGCCAUCGACAUCGCCGUCGUGCCUUUCCCCGACGUCGGGCUGCCCCCCGGCGUCGAAAGCGGGCCGGCUCUUAAUUCGGAGGCCGACCGCGGGAAGUUCUUCCACGCGAUUCAACAGCUCCGGGAGCCCUUCGAUCGGUUCCUGGCGGAGAGCCGCCCCGACGCCGUCGUGUCCGACAGCUUCUUCGACUGGUCCGUGGACGCCGCGGCCGAGCACGGCGUCCCGCGGCUGGCGUUCCUCGGCAGCAGCUUGUUCGCGCGGGCCUGCAGCGUUAGCAUGCUGCGCCACAACCCCGUGGAGGCCGCCCCUGAUGACCCCGACGCGUCCGUGCUGCUUCCUGGGCUGCCACACCGCGUUGAGCUGAGGCGCAGCCAGAUGAUGGAUCCCAAGAAGCGGCCGGACCACUGGGCCUUCUUCCAGCGCGUGACCGACGCGGACCAGAGGGGCUACGGCGAGGUGUUCAACAGCUUCCACGACCUGGAGCCGGACUACCUGGAACACUACACCACGACGCUCGGGCGCCGCGCGUGGCUCGUCGGGCCGGUCGCGCUCGCCAGCAAGGACGUGGCGACGAGGGGCGCCGCCGCCAACGAGCUCUCGCCCGACGCGGACGGCUGCCUGCGGUGGCUCGAAGGUAAGCCGUCCGGCUCGGUUGUGUACGUGUCCUUCGGCACGCUGUCCCAUUUCUCGCCGCCCGAGCUGCGCGAGCUCGCUCGCGGCCUCAACCUGUCCGGGAAGAACUUCGUCUGGGUCAUCGGCGGCACGGACACCGAGGAGCAAGAGUGGUUGCCCGACGGGUUCGCGGAGCUCCUGGCGCGCGGCGACCGUGGGCUCAUCAUCCGCGGCUGGGCGCCGCAGAUGCUGAUCCUGAACCACUCCGCCGUGGGCGUCUUCGUGACGCACUGCGGGUGGAACUCGACGCUGGAGGCCGUGAGCGCCGGCGUACCGAUGGUAACGUGGCCGCGGUACGCCGACCAGUUCUACAACGAGAAGGUGGUCGUGGAGCUGCUCAACGUCGGGGUCGGCGUCGGGUCCACUGACUACGCGUCGAAGCUGGAGGCCCGGCGCGUGAUCGGCGGCGAGGUGGUCGCGGAGGCCAUCGGGAGGGUGAUGGGCAACGGCGAGGAGGGGGAGGCGAUAAGGGAGAGGGCCAGGGUGCUCGGGGAGAAAGCUAGACUCGCGGUGGAGAAGGGCGGGUCCUCGUAUGAUGAUGUCGGACGGCUGAUGGACGAGCUGAUGGCUCGCAGGGGAUUGUGAAUAUCUGAUUGGUGGAAGCACGUCAAGAGUGGGAGACUGCGGAUUUGGCGGCGUAUGCAAAUCUGAAUUGUUUUCGGGGAUUCGCUUUUAAGUACAGGGGUUAGGACCGUGGUAACAUUGUACAACCGGUAUUACUACUUCAGUACUUUUGUAGUUAGUUCCCGGUCAAAUAAUCGAUACUAAGGGGAGUCUGAUUUGCCAUUACUACCUCGUCUAAAAGAAAUCUACGGAGUUGUUCCUGAAUUGCUCUGAUUUUUUCCAUCUCGAGGAGUGCUUCCUUCAUAUCUCUCAUCUAUGUCAUUGGCAAAUGCUAUUAUAUAGUAGAUUAAUGGAUCUCCACAAUUAGAACUAAUUUAUUGUUAAGAAAUUUGUAUACGUACUCUGAAUUCAUGGUCGGUUAUAUGCUUGGGACCUACAAACACAAGGAUGAACUCACAUACGUAGUAUCCGUAUAAAUUAUUUCUCGAAUUCUGUUUCAAACACUAUAUAUAUGGCAAAAGAAGUUAUGAAAUAUUUGUUGUGUUUAAGAAAGUGUCACAAGAUGUGGAAAUUUAACACAUAUUGGGAAUUCAGGCUUGAAAUCAAGUUCUUCCUUAAAUUCACAUGAUGUCGACAGAAGCGAGCCCAUGCUUUGUUAAGAAUGUCUAUGAGAUUUUUGUAUUGAUCUCUUGAUUUCCUCAAAGAGUCCAUGAUAUAGACCGCGCUUCGAUCAACCGCAAUAACAAGGAGUAUCCACUGGAAACUGUACAUAUAUGCAUAGCAAAGCUAGUUAGUCUUAUAUUUAACUGCUACUUCGAAAAGAAAAAAGAUGGAAAACACGCUCACUUGAAGUUGUACGAUGGAUGUAUGUACUUCUUGUGAUGUUGGUUCUCUAGGAACUUAUACAUGUUCUUCAAGGUCCGAUUUGGUUUAUUUCUUACAGUUGACUUGUUUAUAAUAUCCGUGUCAAUGAAGCCGAUGUCAUAGUAUCAUUUCCUUCGGCAAGUUUGAAUCUUCAUCCUGCAUGAUACAAAAUCGAAUAGGAGUUAAGACAUCGCACAAUGACUAGAGCGGGGAUUUUGAAGUUAGAGCAAAUUAAAGACUUACACAACCCAAGAACUGACGAGUGACUUGUCAAGUGCGUCUUGAUUUUAAAUGAAAUAGAGUUCCUCUAGCGGUACAUUUAUAAUGUCUUCCCUAUGAAAGUAAUGUUGAUCUCCAAUCCGAACUUCGAGCAUGAGUAAACCGUUGAUUGAAGCCUCCAUGUACCAUUGGUGCAAUUUGCAAAUCUUCGUUGGAAGAUGGUCCACCAAUUGUGCCCACAUAAGCGGUUUCCCUAACUCAAAUUUCCAUUUAGUAGCCCUAGGGUGCUUUGGGAUGUGAUCCUCCCCUCGAAGUUGAGCUAGGGUGAGAUUUGUAUCGUUGGCAAACAGGAGCAGGUUCUUAUCAAACUCCGAAAGCAUCUGAAGCGAGGCAAAUCGAUUGGUUGGAUUGGAUUCCGAGCUGUGGAAUACUUGACCCACUUUUCUUCUUUUUCUAAAAAGUCUUUGUUAUUGAGCGGUCAUAGUCAGAUAGCAGUGGUUUCUCUGUCUUUUUCUCCAUACUUCUAGUGAAAGCUCAAAAUUAACCUUAUCAAGUGGUGGAUCUUUAUUCACAGGAGGCUUUGGUGCGAAGUGAGUUUUAACCUUAGCAUCUACUACUGCGUCGAUUUUCGCAUCAGUCAUCUCGUAAGCUUUCUUGGACUCUGGUUGCUUCUCCUUCGGCUUCUUCUGCUUCUUCUUUGUAGUCGCAGUAGGCGGAACUGAAGGCGUCUUUCGCCAUGUAGCCUUGCUCAUAACAGGGGAGGUGGACUCAUGCUAGGAUCCCUAUCAGCUGGUGGAGAGCGUGGACUCAUGCUAGGAUCCCUAUCAGCUGGUGGACUCAUGCUAGAUAUAAUUUGAAUUUAUAUCUGAAUAUUAUGUCGAUUAUUUGAGCAACAAGAUGGUUCUAAAUAAAAAGAUUCUCGUCGAGAUCUACAAUUUCCAUGUAAAGUUUAUCUCCAUCUGAAUUCAUAUGAAAAAGUUAUGAUUUUUUGAAUAUGUGCUAUCCAGAGAAGGAAAAUUCCGCCGUUCAGCUGAUGGUAAGCUUGUUGUAGUGCACAUUCCGCUGUUUCAGUUGGCUAUAGCCGUUUCAAACGGCUGUAUGCGUAUAGAUUUGCAAUUUUUUUUUAUCAAGACAUAUAUUUUUACAAAAUGCUAAAAUAAAAAAUAAAAAAGAUUCGAUCAGCUUCAAUUCAGUUUUCGUGAUGGCCCAAAUCUAGAAAGCCUCAAAUGCUCAAGCCUUGUCCGUCACGUUGCCAUUUUUGAACCUGGACCAAGUUUCUGUGAUGGGCUGAUGGUUUUGUAGCUUCUGUUUUGUUUUCCACCCGCCGCGCCGGCCCAGCCAGGCUAUACCGGGCGGGGGAGCAGCAGCUGUUCAGUUUCAGUUCCGCUCAAAUGGGGAAAAAAAGGGAACAGUUGUUCCGUUGACACGAAACAGUCCAACCUCCCUAUAAACAUGGCGACGGUGGCAGCCUGAAAAACAGAAGCAGUCGUGCCCCAGAUCAUCCGUAGAACCCUUGUUCAUCUCCCCAGUUUCCACAGGGUCUACUCCUCCCCGGAGCCCCCCAUUCGAUCCUUCUCAUCCCAUCCCCUUCCGCCGAUCAACACUGCACGCUACCCUCUCGCAAGGCCGGCUGUCCGGGGGUAGCCAGGCGCCACGGUGGCUGCUCCUGGAUUUAUCUACCAGCGCCGUCCUCUUGCGCCGCCCGGCGCGAUCUCGGGAGUCCCCGCCGGCGAAGCGAGGGGUUCUCUGAUCCGCGGCUUCCUUCCCCCGGGUACGCGCUGUUUCUUCUCUGCACAACUCUGAUCAUGCGUGCUUAACUGCUUACCCUAAAUUUCAUUGCGCUUCUUCGUGGAUAAUCGCAAUGCUAGAGACACUCUCUAGUGUCUACGCGCCCGUGCCGUUUCCAAAAGGCCGCGGUGCCGUCGUUUCCACCGAUCCGUUGCCCCGACCUCUCUCAGGAGACGGGAGGUGGAGGGAUAAGGGAUUCGUAGGGAUGGGUUUUUUUUUUUCACCAUAAAACAAAGAGAAGGAACAGCAAAACGACAUGCUUGCAAUCGAUCUUGGAAAUGUACCCUGGAUCCAAGUAUUCAGGGUACUAUUUUUUUUUAUUGUUUGACUUCGGAUUUGGGAUUAGCAUCGUUUCUCUGCCUCUCUUUAUGUUUGGCGACAUUGUGCUGUUUAUAGGCUGGAGCCAGCCGUCGUAGACUCGUAGCAGGUGCACGUCUGCAUAACAGCAUAAACAUAACAAAAUGUAAUCCCGGGGCUGACGUUCUAUUUAGUAUUUACUAAAACAAAGUUUGGUAAUGAUAUGCAUGACCAUUUCCAUUGCUUGCAUCUGUAGCAGAUUAGCAGUACAUCCUAGCAAGGAAUAUAAUCCUACUGCAGUAAACUAAAUGUACCAUUACCUAUGGGAAGACAGUGGACUGCUAUUUUGAACACUAGCUAAAUACUCCAAAAUCUUCCACAAAUUUACUACAGAAGGAACAAUGGUAAGGUAAAACAUCCGUUUGCGGUGUUCAAAAUGAUGGACGGAUCUCGGGCGACGAACUGACGAUGAGGUUCGCAGCCGUCUGAUCACCGUUUCAAGUGUGGUUCGGCAGGUUGGGCAGCCAUAAGACCUGACGUGCGCCCCUUAACUUUGGCUACACAACAUAGUUAAAACUGCAUCAAAGCAUGGCGUGCGCGCCUUAACAUUUCCGUUUAGUCGGCAACCAGCAAAAACGUGUGAGCGAAGCUAUUCCUAUGAUUAUAUAAACCAGCGGAAUAAUCCGAAUUGUUGAGUUAUUAUCCAUAAAUUAAACCAUUUGGUCGGUGUUUCGAUGAUGAUCACUGAAUCAUGGCUUAUUGAUGAUUAUUGACAGGCGGCAAAGCUUUGGCGCCAGCGGCGGUCGAGCUUUCGAGCGUGCGCACGGAGUCACGCUUGCACAUCGGGCGGUAAACAAUGGCGACAACGCCAGCGCGCCAGUACCGCUUCCCCGCGCUGCCGGAGAAGGAGGAGGAGGAGGACGACCAGGCGGUGACGCGGUGCAGCAGGCAGUCGUGCGGGACGUGCAGCGCGUCGGCUGUGGCGAGCUGCGUGGCCCUGUGCUGCUGCCCGUGCGCCGUGCUCAGCUGCCUCACGCUGGCGCUCGUCAAGGCGCCCUACGCCGCGGGCCGGCGGUGCGUGGCCAGGCUCGCCCGGAGGCGCCUGCGGAAGGCGAGGGCGAGGCGCGUCCGUGACCUGGACGACGAGCAGCAGCAGGGCCCGCGCCGGAGCAAGGAGUGGGGCGAGCUUGCUCGUGCGGCCGCGGUCGGCGUCGAGGCCAGGGCGAAGGUGAGCUCCAGGAUGGACGCCUCGGAGAAGGUGUGGGCGGACAUGUACCAGGUCGGGCUCUGGGGUUUCGGCCGGCUGUCCUUCUCGUCGCCGGUGGCCGGGGGAGGAGGCGACUGCGACAAGGACGGCGACCCUGCUUCUGAGUGAGACGUGCACUGGCUCAUCACUCUAAAGCAGCCAUGUCUAAUGUCUUCUUGUACAAACCUUUUUUUUUUGUUUCCUUUGGCAAUGGCCUGUACAAACUUCCCUUGCUGGACGAGACGCGCGUGUGGAUUUUGUGAUGGUGCGGAUCGUGGGCUUGGCAUGGUAUUGGGGUGCGCUCUGCCUGGUGUGUCUCGUGGGCGACUGCCGACUGAUCACCUUCAUUGUUGCAGCAGAACUCUGCAACAAUUGCACGUGAUUGUACAAACUGCUUUCUGUGGGUGAUGUGUGGUGCUUUUGUUCGUGGCUUGUUGGGUAACACGGUAACAAGACUGUUGCAUCAUAAACAUACCUUUAUUGCUGCAUCAAAACUAUGUACAAGAUUGCACUCAAGCCUCGGUACAAUCACUGCACGCACUCUCAUCUGAGCUCUCUGCUCCUUCCCAUCCACAAGGAAAAUCAAGAGGAACGAGCUCUAGCUAUUGCUUCCGUCAGCAACUAGCAGGCCCGUCACUCCGUCAGGGCAAACCCAGGAAAUCUGCCUGAAUUUUAGAAGCAUCAGCGGCUAGCCUAAGCCCUGCUUGCAGAUAGAGCCUUGGCUAGUCAAACGCGACGGAGUAGUAGGUGUCGUACGUGCACCUCCUCCUGGCGGACAUGAGCCUGCCCAGCUUCCGCUUGCAGAGCUCGAACCUGGCCGGCCGGUCGUCGCCGGCGCCCUGUGCGGCCGCGGCCGCGGCCGCGGCCCCACCCGGCAUCGCCAGCUGGCGCUCUAGCUCGGUGAACUCCUCGGGCCGCCGGACCACGUGGUCGUAGCAGAUGUACCGCCCGCCCGCGGUGUUGUCGCCCAUCGCCUCGUACGCGCGGACAUGCGCCUCGGCCACCGUCUCCACGUUCGCCGUCGCGAGCAGGCCGUCGGACAGCAUGGCACGAGCGCCUGCAUGCGGCCCAGAUGUCAAGCGAGCCGGUCAGAGAGAUGAACAACACAUGGUACGUACUGUACGAGCCAUUGCAUUUCGCAGUACGGACCUUUGAGAUACGCGAUGGACGCGGUGGAGUUGCGGCGGCGGAAUCCCGGGCCGGUGACGAGCGCUGGGCAGAUGGUGACGAGCUUCAGGUCUCGUCCCCGGGCUGCCCUCCACGCUGCCUUCUCCGCUGCCGUCUUGCCAAGUGCAAACCACAGCUGAAACGAUGCAUCACAUUAUUAGAUUUGUUCAAUUUUUCAACAGGAAAAACAAAAGGUACUAUUGGCCGGUGCCUCGUUGGUAAAUGUUUCAACGGUUGCUGAGUGCUUUUCAGCACCAGCGAACCUGAAACUUGGUGGUGUCAACUUUUACAAAGAUUUCUUCCUAUCUGUCACCUUGUUGUCGCGGCAGAAGCUCUCGUCGCUCCAGCAGUUCUCGUCGAUGAUGGUGGGGAACCGCCGGUCAUGAGGGUAGUUCUGCCUCCACACGCACGCCAGCAAGGAAGAGGUGAAGACGCAUUUCCUGACCGACUCUGUCCUGACGCACGCUUCGAUCACCCGCUCCGCUGCUUGGGCUUCUAACCGUGCCAUGUGUUUCUGUCAAAAUCAGGGAUCUCCAUAUGUUAAACAACAAAUCUCUUCAGCCUGUAUGUCAUUUUGAUGUUCCAGUAACUACUAAAAUUUGAUUCAAAAAAUCUUGCUGGCAGAAGAAACAGCAUCGCUACUAAAAAAAAAGGUCAAGAAACAAGCCCCAUUGUCUGCAACAGAUUAAAUUGCAUAUGAGGUCUAGAUAAGAUGCGUUAGGCAAUUGACGAAAAGGACCGGACUAGCUUAGCCACCUAGUCAAGAUUUUAGCGAAUUUAAGACGAGCAUGUUAGUCCAAGUCUGUCCAGGACAUUUUCAGUAGUAGUUACCACAGCAUAUGACAGCGAUCUUCUGGCUGUAUGUACUGUACACUCUACUGGCCAAUUGGGUAUUCGACAAAAUAGUGAGCAGGUGAGCACUAAAUCCUCCACCCUCCUGUUGUUUACCACCAAUCACCAUAGGGUGCUCGCUUUCAGCCUGGAAUCUAGAUGCUUCGGGUGAUUAGGGACCUGCACCUGCCGGUCCUAACUGCUAACGACUUCACGCAGCCGGAGCCAAUUCAGCGAGGGAGGCUCGAUCGUAUGAUGUAGUGUUUCCUAAUCACUUUGGGGUGUUAUAAACCCAUCCAGAGUGGUUGCAUGAUAUGUUGACGCCGUGAAUAGGUGGUUGCAUUGUCAAACUCUUGUUGCCAUGUGAAAUCAAAACCAGACGAUAAACCUUGAGAUCCCUGGCGCUAGAUUAGGUGGGCGAGUAUGAUGACACCGCUUCUAGAUGCUUUAGUGUAUCCCAACUACUACACUGCAAGACUUGAGAUCCCUCGUUCGUCAGCAGGGUUGCCUUCAGAUCAGUUGGAACUCCGAAAUGUCAAAUGUCCAGGACGCUGCACGGGUACAGCCCGUGAAGGUCCGAAUUAAGAAGUCUUUCUUCAGGAAGCUGCACAAGAAGUACAGCUCGAGAACGAGAAGGUCCAAAUUAGGAACACUUUAUUCAGAAAGCCACUUAAUUUUUUGCCAUCUUUUCCUUGUCUUGUGGCCUCUUCCGACAAUCCUAUCCUACCUAUAGUUGCUUUUGCACCUUCAACAGAAGUACACUUCUAAAAUCACGGGUUGGUGAGUGUCGUGCUGAAGGUACUGAUUUUUUUUCUUCUUUUUUCUGGUCAGCAGCUCAGCACAUGCUACUAUUGUACUGUGCUAGGCUAAGGUGUAGGGAAUCCACUUAUUCACACUCAAAAGGGUAUGUAAAAAAAAAGACCAGGUCUUGUCUCACAGUAGGUCACACACGCUAACCAACAAACCAACUGUUGUGGUGGAACAGAUUUUCGCAUCGUGUGUCCGUGUCAGGAACUCAGGAUAUCCUGCAGUCCAGGAUCCCUUGUCUGUGACACAUGCUAUCACGCCUCCAACGUGGCGGGCCACGCAAAGGCCGUUCCUGAGGCGUGCGUGCGUCCACGUCUAGUGCUACUUCACUUUCGCUGAGCAAAUGAACAUGGGGGCGCAACGCCAACGCAGUUGCAUCGUGUUCGGUGUUUCAGCCUCGUCAACGCUUGCCUGGUCCUAGUGUCCUUAAAAGUGUCUCUCAAUGAUGAGAGCGACCUGUCUCUGUUGCCCCCCAAUUUAUUCCUCUCUUAUUUCAUAAAAAAUCACCGUAGUUUAACAAGUUUACUAUUUAGCAGAGGCACUUGAUUAGUGCUUGCUCUGUUUUGCCUUGGGCCAAUCGUAACCUCUCUUCCUGCUAGAUCACGGCACCAUCCUGCGAUCGCAACUUGGUGCUAACCGAACCAUAUACUUUCUACCCCUAACCCAAUGUCCUGCUUGCCAUUUUGUUUUUUUACUUUACUUUAUUAGCGAUUUCCGACUUCAGAAACCUUCUAUUCUACAUCGAAAGGCCCUUGCCAGUUAUCAAGAAGCAACAAAAAAAAAAGACUCGUAACCAUCUUGACUUGUGCGAUUAUUCACAUGUCGCACGAGCAAAUGCAAAAGCUUACGUUUCACGCAUGUUGCUUUCGCCUACAUUUUCUAACGUGAUGUGAGGAGCUAACCAUUCAGAUUUACUACUAAGUACUACUGUAGAAGUUAAUAAAGUUCGCCGUACUACUCACCGUGUAGCCGGACAUGCCCCCAGGGUCCACGAAGGCGGAGGUGUGAAACACGCCGGCGCAUCCGUCGAAGGCGCGGUGCAGGCUCUCCGGGUCCAUCACGUUGGCCAUCACCGUCCACACCCCGUCCCGGCCGUCCUCGCCGAACAUCUCCAUCUCCCGCAGCUUGUCCACGUCCUCUGCCAACACAGCACGCACGGGACAACCUGUCCGUGUCAGACCUUCACCUCACGGUCAGAAAAUCGAAUAAUGGAAACAGUUGAAAUCUCAAUCAGCUUCUUCUUUUUUGAAGGAAAAAAACUCUCUUAUUCAGCUUCGCUGUAUGAAGCGGCAGCGAUAACUAUCAACCGGCAUGGAUCUGUUCGUAGUUUGUUUGUUUUUUGUUAGCCUAUCCUAAUAUCGCAGUCCAUUCCUUAUCCCCGACGAUUUGGUUCGCCCAUGGGAACCUGAGAUACGAAACCUCUAGCGGACGAACGCAUCGCGCGUCAGAGAAAGACUCUACAUCGAUCUGAGUUCUGCAGAUGGCCCAUUGGCAUUCAGAAAAAGUUGCAGGUUGAGGUGGAGCUUUCAGAAACCUAAACCCAUUCACCUGGUUCACCACGGCUACAUCUAGUACUCAUUCGUGCCAAAUGGUUGUCGUCUGCUUUCUUGCAUCGAGAUUUCAGUGCGGGUUCAGGCCUUCAGGGUACCGUCGGCACCAACAAUUACUUGGCCAAGAAUCUGUUGCUAGCCGAUGUGGCUUAACCAACCUACGCAUAGGGUUUGGUUCGACUAGGAAACGUAGAGGGGACCCAUUAUACUCCACUAACGAUUUGUUAAAUCAGGUGGUGGUGUCAAAGGAGCACCAGUCAAAAAACUAAUCAUCGUGACUUUCACAGGAGGAGGAAAAAAGAAGAACGACUAAAACGUGAUGCAGUUGACCCCAGAGGAUUCGUUCUACGGUCACGUCUCCGUCAGAAAACAUGGGCAGCCGUGGAAAAAUACAGCCUGAUGAUCUGCUCGUGUACGAUUUGUGGACUACUCCGAAUGAGUCGAGCAAACCGGAAGAAUCACAGGAGAUUCCAAUUACUGCGUUCCAAAAGCAUCCGAUUGACCAAAUAUCCAAUGUGCGAGGAAAUAAACCACGCGCAUGACAGCGCGGACGGUAGCUUAGCUUCCAACCAUGGAUCUAAAAACGUGCAGAUUAACUAACCUGUGAGAAGCACUCUGCGUGUUUAAUUUGGUUUGGCCGUAUAAUAUUUGGCAAUCAUUUCUACGUGGUCAAAGUCUGACGCUCAGCGGACGUAUUAUGGUUCCGUCCUUGCCGUUGCAACGGUGCAAGUUGUAAUAUCCUAAUCCUUAGAGUGCCUGCGGGCAGUGUCCAUUUUGUAUUAGGGAGCAAGUUAGAUCGAUGAUAGAUUGCUCUUGGUAUUUGGGAAACGCUACCGUCCGAGCGUCCGGACGCGUCGGAUGUCGUUCCGCUCUUCUCCGCUUCCUAUCCAUUCCCACAGUUCUUUUUCUUCCCCAUUCCCUUUCUCCUUCAACCUUCCACCCGGUGUCCUCCUCCUCCACUCCGGCAGCCUUGUCUCCAACCCGCGCCCCACGUCGGCGUCCUCCUUGCCCACCUCAACGGCGUCGCGCUCCCCUACCCGGCGGCCUCGUCCCCCACCCGCGCCCCACGUCGGCGUCCUCCUCCCCACCUCGAUGGCGUCGCGCUCUUCCACCCCGGCGGUCUCGUCCCUCACCCAGGCGGCACACCUCCCCCCACUCCGGCGUCCUAAACCCACCGGGAGCGCCCAACGCCCUUGGAUCCAGUGACCCUCUCCCCAACCCCGGCAAGAUCCGAGCAAGCCCCUGACCCUCCCCUACCUCGGUCGGCGGCAACCUCCUCAGAUUCGGCAGCAUCUCCUCUCCUUCGGCCGACAACGGGCAGGCUGGUUGUCGUGGAUCUGAGUAUUGCAAUAGGUACCUCAUGGUGUUGCAAUAGUUAUUUUCGGAUGUUGCAACGGUGGCUUUUGAUGUUUCAUCUGUUUUGCAACAGUCUGACUUGCCAGCAAUCGGGUGUUGCACCAACUUGUUCAUGAUGUUGCAUAUAGUUGUUUUCUUUGUUUCGUCUCUUCUUCUUUUGUUGUUGCAAUGUUGUAAGAGAUGUUUUUUUGUUGUUGCAAUGUGUCUGUUUUGAAUGUUGCACGAAGCAAUUCGGGAUGUUUCAUGCACGUAAAGGUGUUGCAAUCCUCAGUGUUGCAAGUGUUGAUUUUUGAUAUUUCGAUAGUUAUUUUUCAAUGUUGUGACGGAGCGUCAUAUAAAAUAAAAUUAUUGGACGUCCGGACGCUAGCAUUUCCAAGUAUUUUUGUCGUGUUUCUUUUGGUCUUUUCAGUAGAUCAUUCUGGUGGGGCAACCUAUGGGAAAACUAGUUUUAGAAAAAAAAACACCAAAACGACUGCUGUGAAAACUAUGUGACAGAGCCAUACUAUGCUUUGGAAGUGGCCAUCAUAACUACCACCCGAUUAUUAUUUUUCUUUUUACUAAACAGGGAUAAGGAAAGAAAGAAAAGGCAGCGUCUGCUCUAGAAAGUGACCAAGAGUAGAACGAGCCAGUGAACAGUAACUCCAUUUGGGCCUAUAGGUUUAGUGUGGCUACUGGCUACAGUGCCGGGGAUAUCAUGAGCCACAUCCAUUGACCAACCCGCUCGCGGCAGUUGGUGAAUGGUGACGCAGCAGCGUUGCAUCGUGCAGAAAGAAAAAAGAAGGAAGAGGCCAUUGCAAGAAGCCGCUGUCCCUGUCCCGCCAGCCAACUCAUCACGGAGGAACGAAAAGCUCAGCCAGAACGCCAGAUGAAAUGAAACCCCGCGGCAGCGGUCUUUUUAUCAAACGGGGAGAAUAAGAAACGGAGCAGAUGAAAUUCCUCCUAUUCCAGGCAUGCCGCAUGCCGAAGCAGCCCUCCAAAAAAACGGCAUCCCGAAGCACGUGACGGGUCGCCGGUUGCGGGCGUGAGCGCACGUGUCUUCGGCGCACGGCGCCGCCGCGUGAGCCCAACAUCUCCGCUUCGCGUUUACCUAUUGACCACCGGUAGCGGUAGGUAAAAUGGUAAUCCUGUCAACCGCGCGUGGAUUCAUCCACCCACCAAUGAAACGAGCGCUCAAGGCUCGCGCGCGAUCGCUUUCUGGGCCCGAAAACGACGGGGUCUUCCACCAUUUUAAUUUACAAAACCCCUCUCCCGGCCGCCGAGGUGCGGCGAGCGGUGGUGUGACGAGAGCGAAUUGCGACCGGCCGGAGCCGGGACCCGCGUGGCAGCGGUGCGGAAGGCCAGCAGCCGACCCGCGACGGAGGCGCAGCAGAAGGCAAAGACGGCAGGGAACUAGGGAAGGAAGCACCGAAGCAGCAGCCGGGUAGGUGGUGGGCGAGGGGGGCUGACCUUGCGUCUCGAGCGCGAGGCGGACGGUGUACCCGUGGCGGAGGAGGCGGUCGACGACGGCGAAGCCGACGAAGGAGAUGCCGCCCGUGACGCAGACGGCGCGCGCCUCGGCCCCGCCGGCGUCGGCCCCCGGGGCGCGCUUGGCGCCCGCGUGGCCCGCCGAGCGCCGCCACCCGGCCGCGGCGCCGCCGUGCCCGCCGCCGCCGCCUAGGAGCGCGGCGCGCAGCUCGUCCACCUCCGCCUGCAGGCUCUGCGUGCUCCGCAGGACGCCCAUGCCUGUCGCGCGUGCGCGAGCGUGUCCGCGGGGCCGGCCGAUCCCUCCCCUGCCUGCCUCUUCUUUGGUGGUGGAGUGGUUCGCGAGUGUUUUCACGGGUGGGGUUGGUGCGCGCAGGGGAUCGGGACGUGGUGGUCUGGUGGAUAAAUAGGGUGGAUGAGGGCACUGGCCUCUGCUCUCGCUGCGUAUGAGCUCUUGUCGCGCGCGCGAGUUUGGCUUGGUAGGUAGGCUUGUGCGUUGCGGGCGCGGCCCGCGUGGCCAGCCACCGAGUCGUGGACUGCUGGCUGCCUCAGGCUCUGUCUGCUCUUCCGCUUUGGCCCGGCUUGUUUUUCUCAGGCAGUCAGGCUGAUGAAUCUGACUGAGCUCACAGAACGCGGGGGGUAGUUGCGCUGGGCGGCGAGGAUUGCUCGGCCGUUGCUAUCCGACGGUCUAGCACUGGGCAACAGGGGUCUACACUUACUCUAGUUAGCAUAUUUAUUAAUUUCCGCUUCUGAUCGGACAGGACUAGUGUCGAAUUAUCGCAAUAAUUCGACACUAUGGAGAAGAAAUCGGGAUCCGAUAUGCACCCUGCUGUUCUGUCCAAUCAAAAGUAACUGGUGCAAGCAGAAAAAGGGGAAGCAAUGGCGAGUAGCGCCUCCUUCCACCACCUGACGCCUCUCCUGCUGCCCUGCCUUCUCCACAUCUUCUCUCCCUAAUUCCUCUUACUUGCUCCUCAUCGCGUCAUGGAUUUCUCCAAACUCAACUUUCAAAUUGGUAAGGAUUUCAGCUCCAAGGUUCAUAAGCUCUUUGGCUUGCCAAUAAACUCUGCGGGGAAGCCAGCAGGCAACAGUUUUCUCCUACUGGUAUCUUUCAGUCGUAAAAGAUUCAGACUUUCGGAUGACUCAGUUGUCAUUUGUCUGCAAUCUGUCUUGGAAGGAAUUGCCAAGGAUUUUGCAGUGUUUCAACUUGAAGAACAAAUUUUCAGGAUUGCUGUCUCUUUCAAACAAGUUGGGUUUUUGACUCUUAAUUUGAAUGAUGUUGCUUGUGAGUUCUUCAAGCUACACUUCUUUCUUUGUAACGAUUUGGGUUUUUGGAAAGCUCUUCUUUUUGCCAUAUCGAAUUCCGGUCCCUCCUUUCCUUGGGAGGCUGCUUGAUCAUCAUCUUAGGGUGCGUUUGGUUUCGAGGACGUGACGGGACGGGAUGAUCCCAUUUUUGCAAGUGUUUGGUUGGGAAGCAUACGGGAUAGGGUCCUCCCUAGUAGGGAAUAUACCGUAAAUAUUCGGGACGCUCCCGUCCGCCAAAAACGAGCGGACGGGGUCGUCCCACUUCAACGCCGUCGCCUCCCGUCUGUCACGCGAGAGGGAGCAACAGCGAGCGGGCGAGCUCCAUCGCGGCCGCGCGGGCGAGCUGGAGCUCCGUCGCGGCCCUCCAUGGCUGGCGUGGGUGAGCUCCGCUGCGGGCGCACGGGCGAGCUGGAGCCGUGACCGGAGCUCCUGCGGGCGGAGGCGGGCAUGGCCGGGGCGGACGCGGCCGGAGCUCCUGCGGGUGGAGGCGGGCGCGGUCGGGGCGGAUGCGGCCGGAGGCGGGGGCGCCCGGGAGGAUCGGGGGCGGCGGGGUGGAGCACGGGCGGUGCGGGCGUGACCCAGGGACGGCGGUGGGGUGGAUCGGGGGGCAGCGGGCUGACCUAGGGGCGACGGGGUGGAGCAGGGGCGGCGCCGCGGGUGGAGCAGGCAAGGCUAGCGUGGCGCAGGUGGAGGAAGAAGAUGUUGUUAGUAUGACAAGUGGGCCCCACACACGGUGUUUAACGGAAGGAGAAAACGGUGCUCGUCCCAUCUGUUGCAAUCUCUCCAACCAAACAAAAAAUUAGGACGAACCCAUCCCAUUCAACCAAACAUGAAAUGGGAUCAUCCCAUCCCAAAAAACUGGGACGGGACCGUCCCGUCCUACAUUGUCUCCCAUUCAAACACAUGCUUAUGCUCAGGUGGUGAAAGAUGGUCUUCCUCCCCUCUCGGGUGCUAACAAAACUCCCCUAGGAACUAAUCCUGCAAGAUCAAUGGAUCAUUCUCAGCAUCGAGGCUUUGCCAACAUGGAUGAUCAAAGCAAGAACUUCUCUUCGGUUUUCCAGUGUCUGAAGUUUCCUCGUCGAUCGGUGUUUGAGAGAUUGAGUUUUGAGAAAUCUUCUGAUAAUUUUCAAGUUUCCAACAGUCACCGGGCUUCAUUGGUUCCUGGGUCAAACGACCCAACUUUCUCGAGGCUCGGUACUGUUGCAGGGCUUAGCAAUUACUGUGUCAGAUUUAUCUCCCAACCACUCUAAAACCUCUUGCAAAAAUGAGAUAAAAUGUUAGCACUGCAAACAAUGGGAACAUGUAUUCAAAUCAUGCACGCUUUUUCACAGUCUUCAAUGUUUUACUGAGUUAAUUGGGCUAACGGCUACCUGUAACUUCUCAUCAACCAUCACAACCACUUGCUGGCCUCCCAACGCUAGGUUAAAUUGGUUUAAAAGGGAUGUGUCGCUGGAUAAUGGGCCUGGUCCUAGUGGGCCUCCUUGCUUCUCUUCACUAGAAGACCUUGGCCGUACAGUGCUGGGCAUCCAGAGCGACACUGCCCCUUCGGCUUCUUCGCCUCCACCAUCUUCCUCCCAAGAAAACCCUAGUGCCACUAUAGCAAGCGCUGGCGACGAAGCUCCCUAGCCGCCAGCGAUGGCGUACCUGGACGUUGAUCCAAUGCCAAUGCUUCUCUCAGGGUUCUCAAGGGUGCUCGUGGAGGGAACACAGAAGUUCGUCAGAGUGGUCACCUCAAGAGCAAGACCCUCCAAUGAAGACCCGGCGAUCGUCAUCGUUUCCAACCUGCCACUGGGUGAGAUUCCAUUCGCUGAUAUCUGCAAUAUCAUUCUGGGUUUGCUAGAGGAGGAUUAUGGGCUUCGAGUCACGGAAAUACAGAGAUGUCCCUUUGGUAGAGGUCAGGCUGAUGUCCGCUUGAGUCGUGCUUCUGACAGAGAUAGCCUAGUCAUCAUAGCCCCCACCAAUUUUAUGGAAUGAGUCUAGCAUUCGUUAAUCACAACAGGGGGGCAAUGCUAGGAGAGUGGUUUUUAAUAGAGAGUGUUGGUUGAUGUUGAUUGGUUAUCCACCUGACAACCAUAAUAUUGAGGAAAUAAGGGACUCGAUCAAAUCGUUUGGAAGAUUGAUAUGCUAGCAGAAGGAUAAUGUUCUAGCAAGGAUAAUCAUAAAAGCAAGAGUCACAGAUUUACUGGAUUUCCCUCAUUACCUCAUCUUUUUGGUAGGUGCUGACUUUGAAGGUGUUUCUUUCACAGUGCAAUGUAAAAUAAUGCAACAAGAUAUACUUGGAGGUCAACUGCAGAAUGAGGAUAUACCUCUAGGGGGACUAGAUGAUAACUUUGUCCCUCCUGGGCUUGGGGGUAAUUCUCAAGCACAUCACUUUGGCCAUAACCAGCUCCCCCAGGUUUAGCAUCCCCUACAGAAUGGCAAUCAGGCAGCUCUUGAUAUCCCUGACUUGAAUGUAAAGCCUUUUGAUGAGGGUCAACUUGAGGUAGAACCUGUAGAUCAAGAUGAGGAAGAACCAAUUGAAGAUUUGGAAGAUGCAGCUAACCAAGAUCAGCAGGUUGAGCCACAUCAACAGGAAGGGUUGGACUUGCAGCUCAGCAUCUCUGUUUCCUAGGCCUCUUCCACUAGUUCAGUGAUGGGGGGGCUGUAACUCUUAUCAGUUAGGCAAUGGUGGAAACAAUCAAGACAACAUGAUGAAUAUUGACAUUGACAAUGCAGUGGUUGAGGAGCAUGGUAACCCUGACCCUGAAAUUUUCUCGCUCUACCAGUUAUGGCUCAGGAUCAAAAUGUUGAGAUUCCAAAUGGGAUGAUAAAUCAGGGUAUUAACUAGGAUUUCCUGAUGAACAAUGCUGUGGCUAAUGAGCAGGCCAAUCCACCUAAUGAGCCCCCUUACCCCAGUUACCAGAAAAUCAGAAUGACAAUGCAAAUGAGGCAGUUGGCCUGAAUGAAGAGAAUGAAGAAAAUCAAAUUGAGCAACACAUAGACAUUGAUCAGAACUUUCUUCUUGACUUUCUACCAGCCAUCCAACAGCAAGAUAACCACAGCUCAGUGGCACCUCUCAACUUGAAUGUGAGCAUCAAUAUGGCACUCACAAACUUUGAUGUCAGUGGGGAAGCUGAUCCAGGUUGGAAUGCUUUUAAGGGUAACUUAUAGGGGGCCCCAAAUCUCAAACCUGAUUGCUAUAGGAUUUGGGCCAAGCAUUUCUCUCCAGUGCACUGUCCUAAACGUGUGGUUCAGAUUCCCUCAGAUUGGGCCUCAUUCUUUACUGUGAUGCUACUAUCACCCUCUCAUUUUUAAUGGACCAAGACAUUCUUGUCAUUACAGGCUUGGAAGUUCAUGAUAAGUUGCACAAACACAUCCUUAAUGAUAUCUUUUGCUCUCCCAGUAGAUUGUCCAGAAAAGGCAGAAGUAAAAUGUGACUCUCUCAUGGAAAUUGUGGGAAGCUUCCCCAUUCAAAAUGACACAUCUAUGGGUGCACCUAAGAUCUUGAGUGACAAAUUUUUCUCAGAAGAAGCAAAGAGGUCUUACCCCCCGGUUGAAACUGAAGCAAGAAGAAGUCCUAGAAUCAGGAAUCAUAAUGAUGGAUUCAAGCACAAUAGUUGUGCCAGUAAGAAUUGUUUGGCGUGUGCUGCCACCCCUCCAACUCUUACAAACAAGAUUAUCAAGAAGGUUGGAGAGGAUUUCUGCAAGAUCAAGCCUGAAGCAAUGACUCAAGAUGCACUUUCCAGCAAGAGCAAGACCAAGCAGGCAGUUGGAGAUAAGAAGGCCGCCAAGAUGUUGAUUUCCUCCAAGAAGGACAAAGGAAACGAGAAGAAGGAUGAUGAUGCAGUGGACCAAGAGUCCAAUAAAAAGAUCAAGAAGUAAUAGGGACUUUUUUGUCCAACAUUUUGUUAUGUUUUAUCCUAUCAUGAUGAAAAUGAAUCUUAUUUUGUUAGUCUGUAAGGGUGUUGGGAUGUGGACCCUUUUCACCUCUCUUAAGAACCUGUGGUUGAACAUGGCAGUACUUAUCUUUUACUUGAUGUUUUACUGCUCUAAUCUAGUGUUUCUGUGGAUGAUUGUAUGCUAUGCAUACAAUUUUCUAUUUAUAUAUCUAGGAUUGCAUCAAUGAAUCACGGUUAAAAUAAAAGAAGUUGGGUUAUCCUAAGUUGGAAUAUCAAAUGAAUAAACUCUGAUGGGAAAUGGAGUGCUGUCAGGAGUAAAAUAAAUUAAUCCAAAUGUGAUGUUCUUUGCCUUCAGGAGACGAAGAGAUAAUUCUUUGAUGCUCAAUACAUCAAAAACUUCUACCCAUCACAAUUGGAUGAAUUUAUUUUCUUUCCAUCAACUGGGAAUUCAAGAGGAAGUCUUAUCGCUUGGGACAACAAUAAAUUCAGUGGUCACUUAGAUUUUCAGAAUGAAUAUGCCCAAUCAGUUGAGUUCACAUGUAAAUUAACUCGUGAAAAUUGGAUAUUAACCAAUAUUUGUGCACUAUGUACUUUAGAAGGGAAAGUAGCUGUCGGGGAUAGAUCCCCAGUACACGUAAGGAAGGAAGAAGAUAGACUUCUACUAGGAUUCCCCUACAAUCCUACUAGGACUCAUAUCCUGUAAUCCUACUAGGACUACUCCUUGUAACCGACUAGUAAUCCCAACCCUGGAGUAUAUAAAGAAGGGCAGGGGUCCCUAGAUCGGUAGGCCAAGACCUCAUAGAACCACCAAGAGGACCAAAUCCUCAACACCAAACAACAUGCAAGCGCAGGGUGCAAUAUGCAACACUCUAAAUAGGACAUAGGGUAUUACGCUACUCUGGCGGCCUGAACUUCUAUAAAUCCAUGUCUUGUGUCCUCGCUUUUACCUUCGAGUUUCGGGUCCGACGAUCCCCCACCAACCAAUCUACUACCUCAAGAUACCCCUCGGUAGUUGCCGGGUAUAAAACAAUGAGAUCUGGCAUGCUAGGUAGGGGUGAUCAUCGAGAUCAUCAGGCGAGCUUGAAGGACCUCAUCUUCAACAUCAAUCUACUUGGACCAGCAUGAUGAUGUUUCGUAUGAGAUCAAUUGGCGGAUCAGCUCAUAUCUGCGUCAAGUUCAAGGCAGCUAGACUGGAUUCUGUAUCCCAUCUGAUUUCUUGCGUGGCGCAAGGCUUAUUGUCACCGUGUCAGAGUAGCUACAUUCAUCAACCAGUAGGUUCACUGCUAUCUCGUCCUGCACCGAAUCAGAGUCGAACGAAGACUCUGUUCUCAUCCGCAUGCAAGCAUCAAGAUCAAGGCAGAAGAUCCAUCAACUCCGUAAUUGAGUUGAAGUCGGGAACUCAUGAAGCAAUGCUAGUCCGAAUCAACGAAGGCUAAUUGAAUAUUGCAUCUACAGUUAAAGGUUGCCGCAUUGCCAUGCAUUGAUUCCGAGAGAGAAUAGACAUCAAGAAAAAUUCAAGAGGAUUACUGCACGAUUGCUGCUGCCGCUGUCUCCUGUACGGUCGGAAGAUCAAAUUCAGCAAAAAGUUGCUACAUGCACAUAAGGCCUACUAGGAAGCUUCAAGAUUUUUUCGCUGAACAUACACGAAAGAUGUGCGCGAGCAUUACUACACCAACUUCCAGCCGCAUCGACUCGCCGAGGACUAUUCGUCUCGACUAGAAACUAGUCGAGGGCGGGUUUCACACCAUCAACAACUAGUCGGAAUCGACUCCGACUAGUCGACUUCAUCAACAAUUGUCGCGGCUUCAUGAUGACCGCCACGGCUUCGUUGACAAUCAUCCACGAAUCAAGCUUGUUUUUUAAUUAUUUUAUAUAAUUUUUCUAGCUUGUUUUUCGCAUGCAGGGCAACGCGCCAAGUACUUUUUUGUGUACGCCUCUCAACGGAAAUUACCCUCCAAAGCUACACUUUACCAAUGAUUCCUACAGCAUAUUGACCGACAGCCAUGGGCUUGGUACACCGAAUUACGAAGGUUAUCGCCACGGGUUUUGUGCACUGAGUUCUGAAAGCUCCACCACCAGCCUUGGUACAUCGAAUUAUGAAGGCUACGGCCAUGGGUUUGCUGCAUUGAGUGCUGGAGGCUCACAACGACUACACCCUAAGGAGGCACAAAUGUUAUGCGCGGCAACACGCACUCUUCUCGCCAAAAGGCAGAAAAGUUUCAUCGACUACUUUACGUGCAAUCGCGCUCUCUUUUGUAGCAAUGGCAACUGCUUAUUUUCAAUGUCUUCUCUUAGGGUUUGUUAAUCUACUCGAGCAGAACACGCCUCAAUCCGUGGGAGCCUCAGAUCUUCUGUCAUGCCUAAAUGCUAGGACGUGUAUAUGAGACAAAAGUCUCAGACGCCUAGCGACAGUGCCAGUACGCGUACACGAGACAAAGAUCUCACACGCAGUGGCAAUGGCUAAACAGGAACUGAGAGUUUAAACGUAACAGGCUAACUACUUGGGAAAAAUAUGGCCAAAACAAGAGCAUAACAUGAAACAUUUACAUUCAUCAUUGAAUAAAUUUCGGUAGUAUCUUCGAAAUUCUACAAAUAUGCUACAUCAUGUAUGCAUCUCUUUUUGCAGGUCAAGCUUUGACGAUGACUCUCCGAGACGCUCAGCGUACCUACAAUGGCUACGCUAGCUCCCAGGCUUUGGGGCUAAGCGCCAAUUACUACUCAGAAUAUCUCCAGUGGCUUAGCUAGCUUCCAAGCUCAGGGCCUAAGCACCAAAUAACUACUCGACGUGGCUCCUACGGCUCACCUGGCGCAUAAACUCGGGGGUUGGACGUCGUAAAACCACUCAGAUGACGACUAGCGUGAAGACUAAAGCUUGCUAGACCCCCAAAUUGAUUAAUUAAUCAUUCCAAGGCUUGGGGGCUGAUUAGCUACACCCAACCGUUGUAUUUUUCAAGACAAAGGCAGAAGAUUCAAGAUUUUGACCCUCAACCUGAUUAUUUGAUUCAACCUAAGGCUCGGGGGCUACUCCAUAUGGAGUGCGACUUUCGCCACCCUCCAUAUCACAUUCCAAAGAUGAAGAUUACAGAAUCUAGAUGAUCAGGACUUGAGCACACCAUAGCCUCAUGGAAGUUUUGAGGAACUUUGAAGAUUCAGCCAGACAAAGUACUCAAGGAGCACUAAACUACUCGACGAGGAUCUAAAAAGUACUCAAAGACUGCUACAUUCAGCUAUGAAGCGCUAGGAGGUUUGUCGAGGAUAGAUCCCUUGUACCCGUAUGAAGGAAGAAUACAGACUCCUACAACGAUUCCCCUGUAAUCCUACUAGGACUCCUCCUUGUAACCGACUAGUAAUCCCACCCCCUGGAGUAUAUAAAGGAGGGAAGGGGUCCCUAGAUCGGUAGGUCAAGACCUCAUCGAACCACCAAGAUGAUCAAAUCCUCAAUACCAAAAAACACCCAAGCGCAGGGCGCAAUAUACAACACCCCAAACAGGACAUAGGGUAUUACGCUACUUUGGCAGCCCGAACCUGUAUAAAUCUGUGUCUUGUGUCAUCACUUUUACCUUUGAGUUCCAGGUCCGGUGAUCCCCCACCAACCAAUCUACUACCUCAGGAUGCCCCUCGGUAGGUUUUCCAGGUAUAAAACACUACUAGUAGCAUUCUUAAACUAGUUCAAAAGGAUAAGCAUGCGUAAUGAGGUCAAGUGGCUCAUUGUAGGGGAUUUCAAUCUUAUUAGAAGGCUUGGACAAAUAAGCAAUUGAAUCCAUUGCUUGAAAGGUUGGACUGGUUCUUUAGUUCCAAUGCUUGGACCUCAUUUCUCCCAAAUUCUUUUGCAUCAGGUCUCUCCAAAGAUACUUCAAAUCACACUCCAUGUGUCAUUACAGCAUCUACAAAUGUACCCAAGUCGCAGAUCUUCAGAUUUGAGAAUUAUUGAUUAGAACAUGAAAAUUUCAUGGUAGUUCUUCAGCAUGGAUGGAACCUGCCUAACUCUUAAAUAGACAGUGCCAAAAAGAUAGGGGCAAAAUUUAAAAAUCUAAGAAGGGUCUUUAAAGCUUGGAAAUCCCAGUUGCCUAACCUAGCUAUUGCUAUUCGAAACUCGAAGGACAUUAUUCAGCUCAUGGACAUUAUUGAAGAAACCAGAGAUUUAACUAUGGAGGAAUGGAACUUUAGAAAUAUUAGCAACAGAAAACAUACUAGAAACAAAGAGGAACUAUAAAUUGGGUCAAGUUUGGGGAUGAAUGCACUGAGUUUUUUCAUGCCAAUGCAUCAAUUAAACAUAGAAGAAACACCAUUAACUCCUUGAUAGAUGAUUCUGAGCAUGAGCUACUACAACAUGAAGCCAAGGCUAAAUUACUCUAGAAUGCCUUCAAAGAAAGAAUGGGAUCAUCUGAAUUCACCUAUAUGUAUUUUGACCUCCCUUCUAUCAUUCUAUCAGAUGACAAUUUGGAAUGGCUAGAAAGCCCAUUCACCAAAGAGGAAAUUGAUAGGAUAAUUGCAGACCUGUCAAAUAAUAAGUCCCUAGGACCUGAUGGCUUCAAUGGAGAAUUCUUGAAGAAAUGUUAGCCUAUCAUCUCACAUGACUUCUACAAAUUCUGUGAGGAUUUCUUUGAAGGGAACAUGUGUCUGAGAAGUAUUAACUCCUCCUACAUUACCCUGGUCCCCAAGAUAGAUAGUUCAUCCCUGGUUUCAGACUUUAGGCCAAUCUCAUUUCAAAACUCUUCCAUCAAGCUCAUCACCAAACUUUUUGCUGGAAGACUUCAGCAGGUAAUUCUGAGGCAGAUUCACAAAAACCAGUAUGGGUUCAUGAAAUCCAGAUCAAUAUAUGAUUGCCUGGCUUGGGAUUUUUAAUAUCUACAUAUCUACAAAUACUCUAAGAAAGAGCUUACCAUCCCAAAAUUGGACUUUGAAAAAUAUUUUGAUAAGAUUGAGCAUCAAGCCAUUCUAGAUAUUCUGAAAUGCAAGGGAUUUGGGGAAAGAUGGAUUGGGUGGAUAAAAGACAUCUUAGGGAUGGGGACAUCAUCGGUCCUUCUUAAUGGGGUACCAGGAAAAGUCUUUUAUUGUAAAAGGGGAGUAAGGCAGGGAGAUCCUUUAUCCCCUCUCGUCUUUGUGUUGGCUGCAGACCUGCUCUAGUCAAUCAUCAAUGAUGCCAAGAACCAAGGAAUGCUCAGAUUACCUCUACCAGGAAGAGUAGGAACAUAUUUUCCAAUCAUCCAAUAUGCAGAUGACACUCUUCUUAUCAUGGAACCUUUCCCUACUCAAUUAUUGUUUCUCAAAGAUAUUUUGCAUACAUUGGCAGCAUCCACUGAUCUCAAGGUUAAUUAUAACAAAUCAGUCAUGGUACCCUUCAAAAUUUUUGAGGGAAACUUGGAAGAUCUCUCAAGAACUUUGGACUGUCACAAAGAUUCUCUUCCUUUCACCUAUCUGGGGUUGCCUCUAGGGACUUCCAAACCAAACAUUGAGGAUUUCAUGCCUCUGAUUCAGAAAAUUCAAAGAAGACUAAGCUGCACCUCCACCUUCCUGUCCCAAGGUGGUAAAUUAGAAUUGGUAAAUUCAGUCUUUUCUUCAUCAGUAGUAUUCUACACCUCAACGUUAAAGUUACACAAGGGAGUGAUAAAGCAACUGGAUAAGUAUAGGAAGCACUGUUUAUGGAAAGGCUCUAAUCUGAAUUCCAAAAAGCCCUCUAAAGCUGCUUGGCCUAUAUUAUGUGUACCUAAAAAUUAAGGGGGAUUGGGAGUCACAAAUAUGAACACACAAAAUGAUGCAAUGAUGUUAAAAUUCUUGCACAAGUUCUUCUCAAAAGUUGAUAUCCCUUGGGUGAAUCUAAUCUAGGAAAAUUACUACAGUAAUUGGCAUCUACUAGGUCAAUACCGAAAAGGAUCCUUUUGGUGGAGGGAUAUAGUUAAAUUAUUGGACACAUAUAAAGGUAUUGCGUCAGUGAUAGUCGAAGAUGGUUCCACAAUACUCUUUUGGAAGGAUCUCUGGAAUGUAAUUGUGCCUUCAUAAGUUUAUCCUGAACUUUUCUCCGUUGCCAAGAAUUCCAACAUCACCUUCAAAGUUGUUGUCAAUAUGCCAGAACUCAUCCAAAAUUUUAACCUUCCUCUCACAACUCAAGCUCAUGAGCAGUUCCUGGAGUUACAAAAUUCAUUCUUAACAUGCCAUUUGUGGAUGGGAUAGAUCAUUGGAGAUAUAUUUGGGGAAAUGCCUUGUUCUCAACAUCUAAAGUGUAUAAAGCUUUAAUUGAACAGAGGGUCGUUCACCCAGCAUAUUGUUGGAUUUAGAAGUCCAAAUGUCAGAUGAAACACAAGGUUUUCUUUUGGUUAUUGCUCAAGGAUCACCUCAGUACAAGAGAUCUUCUCCGAAGAAAGCUUAUGGACCUCGAUUGCUAUACUUGUGAUUUAUUCAUUCUACAGAAGAGGGAUACAAUGGCACACCUCUUUCUAUGAUGUAAUUUUGCCAAGGCAUGUUGGAACUCAAUUGGAGUUUCAGUAAUCACCACUAGGCUGCUCUUGCAAAUAUUCAUGCUCAUCAAGGACAAGCUUGCGGUACCUUUCUUCAUGGAAAUCAUUGUUCUGAUGACUUGGAGCAUCUGGACAACAAGGAAUGAUUAGAUGUUUAAUGGCAUUUAUCCUUUGGUGAACUUAUGCAAAAGGAAAUUCCAAUCUGAAUUCUCCUUGCUACUCUAUAGAGCACGUCUUGCCUUGAUUCCUGCUAUGACUGAUUGGGUGCAAUUUUUGCAAUUUCCAUGAAACCUACAUGUUGUUUUAGUUUUAGCUCCUUCUUUAUUCCUGUUUUCUUUUGUUAUACUUUGAACCUUUAUUUGGUUUUUUCUCCAAUUAAUAUAUAAUCAGUAGGGGCUUGCCCCUCCUAUUCUCUCAAAAAAAAUGAUGCAAGCGCCGACCUGAACGCCUUGAAUAGUGAAGGCCAUGUAGGCAGCUACACUACGCUGAUUCAUGAUAAGGAGAGAGAGAGAGAGAGAGAGAGAGAGAGAGAGGAGUUGCAACGAUGAUGAUGGAGCGGUCUCUGACAUCGAGCACACAGCGCCGCAGCCGCCGCGGCCAGGUUGGCACGGUUUCUGAUGCUGGCGCAGCGGCGGCUUAUGCUGGCGCCAGCAACGAGGGCAAAGCUACAACCGAGGAUUGAAGAAGUGGACGCGGAAGGAGGGGAGAGAGAGGUCAUGGUGGAGGAUUGUGCUAGAGGAAGAAAAGCUCUAACUGCAGCGGUGGAAGUGGUAGUAGCGGCUUUGGGAAGACCUAAAGCGCGGCAUAGCGUAUAGCCUUUGCUUAUGAAGUUCUAGGUGGCCAAGUCAGAUUCAAAGGAUGAGGUGGAAAUCGAGUUGGAGGAGCCGUCGACGGCCGAGUUCAUCAUAGAGGCUCAAGCUACAGGAUUCACAGUGGCUGAUCUUGGAUAGGUCGAGAAAGAAUUACAAACUCCAUUGUCGGUAAGUUCGAAUCAGUCUAAUUUGCACCAUAAAGAUUUGCUUUCGACAAAAAUUCUUGACUCCUUGGUUCAACGAAAGAGGGCUGUUAAUUCAUGGCAAGGUCCAUUACCAAAGCUAAGGAUUUCAGCACCAAGAACCAUAGAUAAUUUCAUGGACAAGCUGCGAGUAAUCUGAGCAACAAAAGUAGUACACGUUCAUGCCAACAGAGCUUAUCAUCGGCAAGUGCUGGUGAUGCUCAUGUUGGUUGCCGAUCGGUGCUAGCAAAAAUUGGGAAAGAACGAACUGCAUGUGCGUUAGCUCAUGAGCUCGGUGAGGAUCUCGCAAGGGCAAUAUCCACGGAGGAGGAAUCAUGAGAGGUUUCAAAACUCAAAACGAUACUCGGAUUAUUGGUGGGCCAAGAUGGUCGAGUGAUGAUUGGGCCUGCAGAUGGUUUAGGCCCACACCAGGGUUGAUCUCUUUUCUCACAGACUGGAACUAGGAGAACAACCAUAACUAUUCCUGCAAGCCAUUGCAAGCUCAAUGCACGUACGCAGAGGUGGUGCACUAUGGUGGGAAGAGAUCAAACAUGGCAGCGAAGGAAGGAGCAUCGGUGCAUGCGAACAACCAGGUGCAGUCGGGUGGUCGUAGUGGCGGCCAGGGCCAACUCCUCACAAGCUGUGGUCAGGGUUACAACCCUAGGUUUAUUCCAGGGUUCAGCCCAGGCUACAGCGAUAAGGGAGGCCAUGGCGGCUAUGGCCAUGGUAGCCAUGACCGUCGCGGUGGCGGCGGCAACUAUGGUGGACGUGGCGGACGUGGGGUGCAUGACAACUUCGACAACAACUUCUAUGGCAGCCAUGGAGGCUACCAUGGAUGCUACCAUGGGCGUGGCCAUGCUGGAGGCCAGUUUCCUAGUCGCGGUCGUGGCGCAGCUGGCUGGAAGGUAGGCCCUGACCAUCAACAAGAGCUUCUGCAGGAGAUGCUUGUAGGUGGCACUGUUCCUCCUCGGCAACUGGUGCUGCUGCUAGUGGUGGUUCUGUAGUGAUAGGAAAAGGCCAAGAGGAGAAAGUAUUACCAGGGACAUGUCUUACAAAGGGUCAUGUCCUUACUGAUUGCACUACGAUAAUUCAUUGUGGUAUGUGUGAUAGUGAUAACCAUGUCACAAAGGCAUGCCCAUAUCAAAAGGGUGCCAAACCUACAACGAUUCCAUGUGGCUUUGCAGUGGUGGGGCUGGGGUUUUAUUACAUCCCGUAUAAUGGUAAAGAAAAGGCACCACGUGAGAACAAAGUCACGGUAGUGAAGGUCACGAAAGGUUCCAUGACUAUGGCAAAUGUCAUAGCGGAACUAGAUCGUCUACUACCAAAUUACAAGGGUACUUGGAUUGUUGAAGAGAAGGGUCCGAAUAGGUUCGCAACCACAUUCCCAUCUAGCGAGGAUUUGAAGUGGAUGGUGUUGUGGGGGCCAGUGGUAACUAAAAAUGUGGAGGCAGUCAUGGAAAUUGAAGAAAGUGGUGAUAAAAAUAUUUACAAAUAUGAGAUUCCAAAAGUUUGGAUCCAAUUCCGAGGUUUGCCAAAAGAUUUCCUGGAGUUUCCUAUCAUCUGGGCUAUGCGUUCCAUUCUCGGAUCGACACAGAUGGUGGAUAUGAAGUUUACCAAUGAGCAUAAUACAGCUAGGUUGAAAGUAGCAGUACUGGCCCUUGAACUAAUCCCUGAGUGGGUGGAUGUUGUCAUUGGUGACUACGUAUAUGAGCUACAAUUUUGAGUUGAAAAGGAGGAGAAUGUGGUAGACCCAGUGCCCAUUAACAUGGGCAUUAAUCCGAAGGUUGAUGAGGAUAAUGAUGGUAAUGUGGGAGAGAAAAAGGGUGAAUUCAAUAAUGAAAACACAAAUGGGAAUGAUAACAUAACAGGAAGUAAAGAUGGCAUCAAUGGUAAGGCAACACCGUCAAUGGGGAGUUCUCAUUCAGGGGCUGUACUAGAUGCAAAGCUACAACAUACACAAGGGGCACACAAACCAAUGGUGAUGCUCACACCUUCUGGACCGCAGGAGCCAUGGAAGGCCGAGGUGAUGCCGGUAUGUGGAGUUGUGAAGAAAGGGGUUUGCCAACAACAGGAGAAGCCAAAAAACCUCACGACCAAUGCGUAUGUCAUGCCCACCCGCAGCAGCAAGCGGAAUGCAGUGGCAAAUGAUGAAGAUUCAGUGGAGAAAGCAACUAAACUAAAGGCAAAGAAGAACCUCGAUGUUACACAGAACAAAGGUACUAAUCUACUUUCGUUUGCCUCACUUGAUGAUUCUACUAUUUUUUCAAAUAUUAAUAGUGUGGAGGUGUCUUUAGGUUCUUCUAUUAACUGUAAUACCUUUGUUAGUGAGCUGAAAUCCACUAAGAUGAGUAGGCUGUGGGAGCUAGAUAAGGAUGAACACACUAUACAGAAUGAUUUAGCUGAAAUUAGUGAUGAAAAUUUAGAGUUUGUUGAAGAGCUUAACCCAUUAGAUUUGAAUCUCUUAUGCAGGGAUUUAGUUGAGGGGGUAAGCGAUUAGGACUGUGAACCAACACUUGCUCUACAUGACUCACGCGUAAGAAAAAUUUGAGCUCUCAUGGAAAGAAGAAAAUGGGGGGUAAGAAAUAAAAGAUAAUUGUUGUUAAAAUGAAAGGGAUUUUUUGGAACCGUAAUGGUUUGUGGGACUCGAGAAAAUUUAAAUUCUUGUCGGAUCUUACGAAAGAGUUAGGACUUGAUUUAAUAGCCUUAUUAGAGACAGGGAGGAGUGCCUUCUCAAAGUCUUUUCUUAAGAACUUAUGUGUUGAUAAAGAAUUUUUUGUGGCAUGCCAAACCCCCUAAAGGUCGCUCUGGUGGUAUGUUGAUAGGGAUUAACCUGCUGACUUUUGAUGUUGGAGAAAUAGAGGAGGGGGAAUAUUUUGUUAGAUUCAAAAUUAGGAAUAAAGAAGACGAUUUCAAAUGGAAUCUGGUGUCAAUCUAUGGUGCUGCUCAGCAUGAGCAGAAAGAAGCUUUUUUAAUGGAAUUAGUACAACUAUGCACUAAAGAAACCUUACCUACCAUCUUAGGUGGUGACUUUAAUAUAGUGCAUGGCCUUUCCUGUUUAAUGCAAUCAUUGAUGCGUUUAACUAUAGAGAAUUGGCAAUGUCAUGCAGGCAAUUUACUUGGGCAAAUAAUCUGCAAAACUAGACCUUUGAAAAAUUAGAUACAGUGUUGGCGUGUACAAAUUGGGAGUCCAAGUUUCCACAUACCAUUGUCCAAGCUUUAACUCGUGAGAUUUCAGAUCAUACAUCAUUGUUUUUAAAUAUGGGAGAUUCAAACACAUCUGGGAGUCAACCGUUGUUCAAAUUCGAACUCGGAUGGUUACUACGGGAUGGGUUAAGACAUGGCUUCUGAAUUUGGCAUAGUGUGCAAGAGAGCCAAACACCUCUAGAGAAAUAGCAAGCAAAAUUAGACGGCUUCGUCAAUAUCUACGAGGUUGGGCUAAAAAUAUUAGUGGUGCAUGCAAAAAAAGAAAAAAAAAACUACCUUAUAAGCUCGACAAAUUAGACAAAAAAGCUGAAACAACAAUGUUGAGCCCUGAAGAAGUAAACCUUAAACAUGUACUAAAUGAGAGGUUGGUAGAGCUUUUAAGGAAAGAGGAACUAAAAUGGUACCAAAGGGCAAAAAAAUGAAACCUUUUAUAAGGUGAUGGAAACACUAAAUAUUUCCAGUUAGUGGCCAACGGGAAACAUAAAAAAACAUGGAUGUUCCGUCUUGAGCAGGAAGGAGUCAUAUGUGGUGAUGCUGAUCUAAAAAAGUAUAUCACCAAAUAUUAUUCAAAUCUUUUUGGCCCAUCUGGUACAAAUAAUGUAUCCAUGGAUGAGUCACGUGUAGGCGAUAUCGCUCAGGUUUCAACUGAGGAAAAUGAUCAGCUCAUUGCAAAUUUUACCGAAGAGGAAGUAAAGGAAGUAAUUUUUCAGAUGGAGCAUAACAAAGCUCCGGGUUCGGAUGGUUUCCCUCCAGAGUUCUAUCAAGUCUUCUGGCACAUUAUCAAGGAUGACUUGAUGGUUUUGUUUGAAGAAUUUCACCAUGGGAUCCUAAUUCUCCAUAGCUUAAACUUUGGUACAAUAAUUUUACUACGAAAAAGUAGUGAAGCAAGGCAGAUCCAGCAAUAUAGACCGAUAUGUUUGUUGAAUGUUAGUUUUAAGAUCUUUACUAAUGUGGCCGCCAACAGGAUAGCAAAGGUAGCUCAUAAGAUAAUUAGACCUUCACAAACUGCAUUCCUUCUAGGAAGAAACAUACUGGAGGGGAAGUUAUACUACAUGAAACUAUACAUGAGCUACAUACAAAAAAGCAAGACGGAGUCAUUUUAAAAACUGAUUUUGAGAAAGCAUAUGAUAAAGUGAAGUGGGAAUUCUUGCAACAAACCUUACGAAUGAAGGGUUCUUCACAAACAUGGUGCAAAUGGGUAGAGGCCUUCACCCAAAGGGGGAAUGUGGGGAUCAAGGUGAAUGAACAAAUGGGAUCUUAUUUCCAAACUAGAAAGGGGCUGAGACAAGGUGAUCCAUUAUUGCCAAUACUAUUUAAUAUAGUGGCUGACAUGUUGGCUAUCAUCAUUGCUAGGGCUAAGGAUGUAGGGCAAGUAAAGGGAGUAGUCCCACACCUAAUAGAGGACGGUUUGUCUAUUCUGCAAUAUGCAGAUGACACUGUGAUUUUUAUGGACCAUGAUAUUGACAAAGCAAGGAACAUGAAAUUAUUGUUAUGUGUCUUUGAACAAUUAUCUAGGUUAAAAAUUAAUUUUCACAAUAAUAAAGUCUUUUGCUUUAGGCAAGCAAAACAACAUGAAACAGAAUACUCUAGGCUAUUCGGUUGUAAGUUGGGAACGUAUCCCUUUUGCUACCUUGGCAUCCCAAUGCAUUUUAGGAAAUUGAGUAGCAAUGACCGGAAGUUUAUCGAGGAACGAUUUGAAAAGAGACUAAGUGGGUGAAAGGGUAAGUUGUUAUCGGUAGGUGGUAGACUGGUCCUCAUUAAUUCAAUUUUAUCUAGUUUACCAAUGUUCAUGCUCUCUUUCUUCGAGGUCCCAAGGGGAGUUCUAAAGAAGAUGGAGCAUUAUAGAUCAAUAUUUUUUUGGCAAAAUGAUCAACAUAAGAAAAAAUAUAGACUAAUUAAAUGGAAAAUUUUGUGCCAAACAAAAGAACAAGGUGGUUUGGGUAUACAAAAUCUGGAUAUACAAAAUAAAUGCCUACUUAGUAAGUGGCUAUUUAAGCUAUGCAAUGAGGAUGGGAUUUGGAAAGAAUUAAUAAGAAAUAAGUACCUAAAUAACAAGACAUUAGGCCAAGUUAUGAAGAAACCAAGUGACUCGCAUUUCUAGAUGAGCCUAAUGAGUGUGAAGGACCGGUUCCUUAGCAUGGGAAGUUUUAAAUUGCAAGAGGGAACGCAAAUAAGGUUCUGGGAGGACAUAUGGCUGGGUAACCAGACAUUAAGAUCCCAAUAUCCAUCCCUAUAUAAUAUCGUUCGUAGAAGAUAUGCUACAGUUGCGAAUGUAUUUAGUUAUGCCUCUAAACAUCUCUUUUUGGAGAGUUUUAGUUAGAGAUAAACUAAGAGACUGGCGUAACUUGGUAGCAAGACUUUUGAAUGUUAACUUACAGGAAGGUAGAGAUACUUUUGUUUGGUCCCUUCAAGUUAAUGGAUCCUUUUCGGUGAUGUCCAUGUAUAAGCAUAUGAUUAAUAGUGGGAUAAUAGUCACUGAGGAAAUUUGGCGUACAAAGUUACCUAAGAAGAUGAAAAUCUUUAUGUGGUACCUAAAAACGGGGUAGUCCUUACAAAAGACAAUCUAGCUAAGAGAAAUUGGAAUGGUAGCAAGAUCUGUUGCUUUUGUUGCGUGGAAGAGACUAUCCAUCAUCUUUUUUUUUGAGUGUUCAUACGCUAGAUUUCUAUGGCAUGCGGUACAUAUUGUUUUUGGAAUUGCACCACCAUUGAACUUUGAGGAUUUGUUCCAUCAAUGGUUCAAACAGGUGGGGCAAAAAUCAAACCCACACUUAUUGACAGGGGCAGUGGCUUUGUGUUGGGCAAUUUGGCUCACAAGAAAUGUGUUGUUUUUGAUAAAUGCCAACCAAAAACUUUUAUGCAGGUUCUUAUCAGGGAAACGCAUUGGCUUCGGCAGUGGGCGUUGUUGCAGCGCAGUGAUGAGAUAAAGGAGACGAUGAUCCAGGCAUGCCAAUCACUGGAGGCAUCGGCUCUUCGCUUUUUUGCUUCCCAUGGAUGAACAUUUAGUUUACGGAUUGGCUUUUUAUAUUUUGGAUACUCUAUUCAAACCUUAUGCGAUGGUGCGUGUAGCGUUGGUCUACUACGUGUAAUAAUGUGUGGACCGAUUCCCUUUUGUUAAAGGAAUGAAGCUGGAACUCUUUCCAUUAUAAAUUCCAUUAUAAAGAAAAGGCAGCUACACUACGCUUGUCAGCUUCCAACAAAUGGAGGCGGGAGUAGCCACGCCAUGCAAGCAACGCGGACCAAAGGUUUUGAUGGUCCUGCUACUCCGAUUUUAGAAUCAGAGAUUCUCUUAACUGUCCGGAUCUUGACUAAAAGCGCACCACGUGAUAUGGCAAUGAGCGACCGUAUGAUGGAAGAAGUAGUUAAUUAUUGGGCAAGAGAGAAUUUUAUACCUUUUAUAAUAAUGAUAACACACACUAGAUUGUCGAGUCGUCCUUUAAACUCCUUCCAGAUUACAGACAUCAUGACAUGAGUUCUCUCAACUUUUUGUACAUGGGACGUGUUUCAAACUGCAGCUACGAAGCAAAGGAGCACAGUACAACACACCUAGGGAGAGUUCGUUCGUUGGGUCAUUCACGUGCCAAGCUGCGACUGGCGAGUGGUGCUCGCACCGAGCAUUGCCGGUGCAGCAGUUGAGAGUAGACGGCAUCAUUUGGGGGGAGUCGGGUCCGGUGUCAGGGACGGCCUCCGUGUUGGUGCACAAAUACAGAGAGCUUCCCCAGAAGUGGUUCCUGGAACAAGUCGGACACAUGCAGGCCCCUACUGAAAAUUGAUGCAGUGCAGUCCUCCCGCUUUAGGGUGCGUUUGGUGAGGCUUCAGGAGCGGCUCCAGCAGCGGCUUCUACUAAAGCCCUACCAAAUGGGCACUCCAAGAAUAGCUCCUCGCGUGAAGCCAUGAAGGAGCUGGAGUUCUUUUUUAUUGGGAGGGAGAAGCCAAAAAUAGUGGCUCCUUCGGCUUCGCCCCGUCCCUGCGCUGUUUUGUACCAGAAUGCCCCGGGCAGUAGCCGUUGCAGCACUAAGACUAGCAGCGGCUAGCCGGAAAAGAGGAGCGGUGGACGCAGCACGACGGCGGGAGAGAGCAGCAGAGGCGGCACGGCGUCGGUGUUGCGUGAGUGGAGAGUGCAGCUAGGCACCAGCAGCAGUGCUGGAGCUAUGGUGGCACCUGCGAUGGGACCGGCGUAGCGGGGCUAAAGACACGCGCUGCUCGUGGGGCAACGGGACGGAGGAAGGAAGAGUGGGGUGGAGGCGGAGGUGGAGAAAGAAGGCGGCUGAGUCAGAGCAGGACGGCGGUGAGGUGGGGCCGGAGCCUUGUGCGGUGCCUGGGGACGUGGCCGGAGCGAAAGUGGAUGAUGGAGGGUCAGCGAACGGGGGGGGGGCAGAGGAAGGAGGGAGGAGGGUCGAAGUAUUGGAUAAGGUAAGAGUGAAAAGAUAAGGAACUAAUGGGAAUGGAUAAGGUAGAAAAGAAAUGGAGAAAGAAAAGAAAAAUAUUGAUCAUUGAAUAAGCCAUACUUAUAUGCAUUAAUCGUUUUGAUUUCAUAUGAAAUGGCAUUAUAAAUUGAGAGAAAACAUAAAAUUCAUUUCACAUAGCUGGGGCAUAUUGGACAUUUGACCCUUCCAUGCAACCAUCAAAAUAUAGGUGAAGUUGUUUUGCUAAACAUUUUUCAAACCGGCUCCAUAUUCACCACAAAAGCCGCUCCACUAGAGGAGCAGGGUCAGAGCUGGAGCUAUUUUUGGAAGAGUUGAAGUCCUACCAAAACUAAGUCCUUAGGGCCUGUUUGGAUGACAUGUCCUAAACAUGUCACAUCGGAUGUUCGGACGCUAAUUAGGAGGACUAAACAUGAGCUAAUUAUAAAACUAACUGCUGAACCCCUAUACUAAUUCGCGAGACGAAUCUAUUAAGCCUAAUUAAUCCAUCAUUAGCAAAUGGUUACUGUAGCACCAUAUUGUCAAAUCAUGAACUAAUUAGGCUUAAUAGAUUCAUCUCGCGAAUUAGACUCCAUCUGUGCAAUUAAUUUUAUAAUUAGAUUAUAUUUAAUAUUUCUAAUUAGUAUCUAAAUAUUCGCAGACAUGUCAUCCAUGCCCUUAAUUUCUGGCUCCUGACUCCCUGUGUCAAACAGGUACUGAUGUGGAAGAAGGACCGGCCAAGGCGUGGUAGUGCGCGCGGACGUGGACUCGGACCAAUCACAAGUUCACUUCCUGUUGAGAGCCUAGCCUCUCUGAUUACUCCGGACCAAUCACCGGGAAGAAACGGGACAGGGCACACAAGAAAAUCGUUUGUUCAGCGUGCUUGCUCUGCUUCGCUCGUAAUCGCUGCGUGACUAGGGCAGGGAGUCGCUUCCCAGAAGCCGCAUUUCAUUUCCAGGCAAGGUGUCAAGGUGAAAAAAGAAACAAGUCGUGCGAGCAGAAUUAUAAGACCAUGACCUCAUAUUAUAUUGCAACAAGUCUUGUAUGAAUACGGCCUACCGCUCUAGAUUGUAUCGAUACAAGUGGAACGUGGAACAGUCCUAAUAUAUUUGGCAUUCAUACACUACGAAUACAAUGCGCGCGACGCAGUGUGUAUAUAUUAAGCCCGCUCGUUUUCCUCCUGUGCCACGGCAUUCUCUAUUCUUAAAUCUGAAGGGUCGUUACGUAAGAGCAGCAUGACGCGCGUGCAGGCAGCUAGCUAUCCGUUUGUUUCUCCGCCACAUUAUUUCUGGGUAUGGGUAGGCCUUACGGUUACGGGAGGCGGUUUUUGUUCUGGUAGAGCCGUAGUGCUACAAAAAGCAUGGACCAGUUUGCGUUGUGUGGCUGUACCCCUGCGUAUACAACCACAUCAGCUCUUUUUCAAAAAAAACACAUCAGGACAUCACUAUAAUUGGACCCUUGCCCCAUAUGUAAAAGUGUGUAUUGUAAAACAACCAGACUUCGUAUGGAUGUAAAGGAGGACUAGAAGUCCUAGUCCAUUGUCUGGUUACUUGUAGGCUCUUACCAAAACUCUAAACUUAGUUCGAAGUAUAUAUAUCGGAGGAGCACCCCUAUUAUAUAUCGAUAUGAGGAAUUAAAAAAAGCUCCAUCUAUAUUGCGCCUUAUCUUCAUGUCUACUUUCUCAUGUUCGUGUGCUUGUCGUGAGAGACGUGAAUCUCACGUGAAAGGGAGAAGAUCCGACCACUGACGUACGUGUAAACACCGGCACGCUAUUUCCAUGCAGUACUCCUGCUGUCCUGCUCCACAUGUUUUCACUUUCCCAGUGACAAGUGUAGGAUAAUCCAGCUUGGAUAUUCGGACGGUCAGAUGCCAAAGUAUGGGGUAAGUUCAAGCCUAACGCAAUAAAACAUUCAACUUGGAGAUUCCUACCGUGCAAUCGUAUAUUUUUCUUUGGAACCGACAAAAAGAGUAUAUGUCGAAUAGAAGAACAGACACUACGUUCAUGGUCCGAAGGUAGUGGGACUGCUCCUGCCUGGCCGGAUAGUUUUACCAGGAAAUGCUCGGACUGGAGUUCACUACAAAUCGGAGCCGGAAGAGCGUUAGUCAAAUCGGUUUGACUAGGUCCUAUAAUUCGUAUUCAGCUUCAAAUAAUACGGCCUUGGAUUCGGUCUGCGUCAAGAGUCCGGCCAGCACUAGCAACCAGCCACAGCGUUCGGCCGGCUCGCACCUGAUGAUGAGCUGAACCACGUACACUACACUGCAGAUGCUGCUCACCAGGGCAGGCUCCACAGCGCCCGGCCAAUUUGGUCUGCAGUCAACCGCUAGACAUACACAUAACACAUGCACCAAAAGGUUACCGUUGGCCAAGCGGUUUUCUUUUCUUUUUUUCAUCUUAUAAGCGACACGAAUGCACGGCUGCACACACACACAAGAAGGGUACCAACAGGAAUAGCAACGUACACGUACAGACACCGUGCUAGUAUCACUGCCUCAAUCAACGAAGCCGCCGUCACCUCCUCCUCCUCCUCCUCCUCGAUUCCCCGCUCUGCCCCGCCUGUCCUCUGUGCCGCGUGCUGUCGGGUCACGGCACAGCUGGGUCCCGCGAUCGACCGAGCCGACGGCGACCGCGGACGGACAUGAUGUAUCACGUCGUUCACGUGCGUAGGUGUUGGUCUGCUGUCGUCUACCUGCGCGCCCGGGAAGAACCACCUGCUCUGCUGCCGCGGUGGCCGUCGUCCUCGCCCUCGGCAGCGCCGAGCUCGGCCGUGGAGAGGUCGUCGGCGAACGCCAUCCGCCGGAACAGCUCGAUGUCCGCCGAGUACUGCCGCGAGUCGUACGCCGUGCUCUGCCCCAGCUUCACGCCGUUGGUCAGGUCCGACGAGCACUCGUCCACGUCCAGCGAUCGCCAAACCUUCCCAGACCACCGUUCGAUUAGGACACGAGGAGUGCUAGUAGCUUACGAGACUUAUGCCAGUGGGUCAGAGCGUGCUGGUUAUACCUGCACCAUCUUCGGUCUCUUGGCGGCUGAGUGGCGCACGCACGCGGCGGCCGCCUCCACCAUCCGCCGCAUCUCCGUCUUGGAGAACCUGCCCUCCAGCGCGGGGUCGGCGAUCUCUCGGAAGUCGUCCGUAUCCAAGGCGUCCAUGAGCAGGACCCGGGCCUGCAAGCAGGAUUUGCGCAUGAGUGCAGCGACGUGACACCAACUGUAGGUGUAUAUGCCAGGAGAUGGUAACAGAAAGACAAAACCACUUGAGGUUCAGGUACCCAUUCGACUAGGCUCUCUUCUCCCAGGGGCUGUGACGCGUCCACGGGCUUCCGCCCGGUGAUGAGCUCCAGGAGCACCACACCGAACGAGAAGACGUCGGAUCUGUCGGUCAGCUUCCCGCUUGAUGCGUACUCCGGUGCCAUGUACCUGCGGAGCAUUGCUGUUCAGUAAUCGCAAAAAAAAGAGAAAAAAAAUUGAUUGAUAUUCAGAGGGUAGACGAUGUGAUGGAUUCAGCAAACGCAAGGCAACUAAUUUUUCUGACAAAACAGGCCAGGCUACAAGCCCAAAGCCUACAAUAAUCUCCAAGACGAACUGCUGGUUGAGCCAACCGAGAAGGCUUAUUUCUAGCCCAUUACCGUAACGUGAUUGAUCUAUGAUGAGUUCAACAGCGACGUGAUGCUUUGCUUACCCGAACGUGCCCAUCACGCGCGUCGAGAUAUGAGUCAGCGAGUCGUUGGUUAGUUUAGCAAGCCCGAAAUCUGCAACCUGUUCGCCAAAUCAGUCGUCGUAUACCAAGACAACAUACAGAGUCAGGCUUUGGAGCUUCGGGAUGUUGAAUUCUGUGCUGCAAGUCAACUAACCUUCGCCUCGAAGGCGUCGUCUAUAAGAAUGUUGGCCGACUUGAUGUCCCUGUGUAUGAUCCUAGGAUGGCCUGCAAAUUAACGUACGAGAGGCAGUUCUUAGCCGUAGGAAACAGAGUGACAAAGCUACCAAGGAUAGGAGCAUCGCACGAUGAAGACGAACUAACUGUCGUCAGUCACUUACAGUCUUCGUGCAGGUACGUCAGCCCACGCGCCGCGCCGAUCGCAAUCUUCAUCCGCUUAUGCCAAUCCAUCACGGGAAGUCCUUUUCCUGCAGAUCACAUCCAACACUCCCAUUCAGCAACAAAGUCUCCACAAGAUUCAUUCAUGGAUGCCUGUCGAAGAAGAAAGCAAGCUACGGAUCGAGUAGUAUCUAGGUAGCAGACCGUGCAGGUGGUGGUCGAGCGUGCCGUUGGGCACGAACUCGUAGACGAGGAGGCGGUGGUUCUCGGUGACGCAGUAUCCGACGAGCGUGACGAGGUGGCGGUGGUGGAUGCGGUUGAUGAUGUCCACCUCGGCGCGGAACUCCUUCUCCCCCUGGCCGCCGCCCACCUUGAGCUGCUUCACCGCCACGCGCCGCCCGUCGCCCAGCGCGCCCAUGUACACCUUCCCGAACCCGCCCUCGCCGAUCACGUUCUCCGCCGAGAACCCGCCCGUGAUGCCCAACAGCUCGUCGUACGUGAACCACGACUUGGACCCCGACAGGUCGUACGAGUUCGUCCCGCUCGGCGACGGCGCCGCCCCGUUCGACAGCUGGUACACGUCCGGCGAAACCACGUCUGUAAAUAAUUAACAACCGCGUUUAAUUUAACAGCUGCGAAGGCAUGAAUGAUAUAACAGGUGAACAAUGUCGGGUGGGUGCGGGCACCGACGUUCCGGCACGACGACGUUGUUCUUGCGUGGCGGUAGCGACUGCCGCCGCCUCCCCCGGUUGUUGUUGAAGCACGCGAAGAUGAACAGCGAGGCCAGUGACAGGAGGAGCCCGGCCACGGAGAUCACGAUGAGCACCUCCGUCUUCACGUUGCUGCCCGAGCCUCCCGCGGGGGGACCCAGCGGCGGGGCGAUCGCGCCGGAGCCAGGCUGGCCCCUCCACGUGCCUGAAGGAGAGCCGGACGCUGGCAUGAUCACCGUAAGGCCCAUUGGUGGAGGCCGCAUCUGGUGAGCCGGACUCUUCCCCGGGGCCGGACGUGGCUGAGCGUCCGUGUCUGGCGGCGUUGAUGGGGCCUCGUGCGGCGGCGGCGGUGUUUUUGAUCCGGAGCCGGACGUGGCAUUUGGGGGAGGUGGAGGGCUCGCAGCUGUCUCUGAAGACGAGGGUGGCGGGGGCGUGGUCGAUUCGAGAGGCGAUGGUGGCGUUGAUGGCGCGGGUGGAGGCGGCGAAGAAUGCGGAGGGGGCGGCGGGGGCGACGUCGACGGGGAAGUGGGAGGAGGGGACUGGUUUGUCGGCGGCGGCGAGGGCGGAGGCGAAGCCGGAGGAGGCGGGGACGCCGUCGGCGACUUCUCCGGCGGACUCGACUUUAUCGAAGAUUGCUCGAACGGCGACGUCGGGCUGUGUUGGCCUGAAGGUGCCGGAGGCGGUGGAGACUGCUGCGCCGGUGGCGGCGGCGGUGGUGUCGGCGGCGGCGGAGACGACGAGGAAGCCUUCGGCGGGGGUGGCGCCGACGACUGCGGCGGCGGCGCAUUCGGCCCCGGCGGCCCUCCCGCGGGGGAUGAGGCCUGAUGCUCGGUCGACGCCAUGAGGACGCGCGCCAUCACAGCGCCGCCGCGCGCUCACCUCUGCCGUCGUCGUUCUGGGGGAUCCUUUAGGAGCCGGAAUGGCAUCUGAAGCGCACGCCGGCAGCGGGGAGGCAGCGGCCGGGCCUCUCACAGUGGCAUCGGGAGACGCCGGUCCGGCGGCAGGCAGGCCGAGCUAGGCGGCGUGGAGACACGGAAUGAGCCUCGCCUUGGCGAGAAGACGGCCGCCGCGUAUUGUGCUUGUGCCCUUUUCCGUUUUCCUCCGUAAUUUUUUUCGUCUGUUUUUCCUUGUCUUGCUUUUCUUGGAAUGGGUGGAGGUGGAACAGAGCAGCUGCAGGGAGCAUCGAGAAACAUGGGCGGCCGUAGGAGGAAACCGCCGCCAACUUGAUUGUUUUGAGCUCGUCAGGAAGACGAUGCCAAUGCAGUGAUGGACAGGUGAGCUAGCUCUUCACCUCUCUAAAUUAAGGUUGCACAUGCUAAAUUUAGGUACAAUGCAGGUGGUGCAGAAGAUGUGAGAAUUGAGGAUACUUAUAGCUAAUGAAAUGAACAGGUAGCGCAACCGCAAAUGAGAGCGUUCCAAACUUCGAGAAGAAAAUUUUGACAAAAAUUCAUAAUGUAGCAGACUCUCCUGAAUUGUGGAUGGAAAAACUAGCACAAAGAAGGUAGGUAAGUUGUGAACUUGUAGGCGUGCGGCCCAUCAUAACCAAGCCCAACCAGUCCAAGUCAAUAAAAAUCAUCUGGGCCAGUAACUCAUUCUAAGUUGGGCUUCUGCAGUUAUGAUGGCCCAUGGCAUUUUCAGGAGUUGUUUAAUCCUACUUCUAAGUUCAAACAAAGCACAUGCUGAAGUGCAUUUGAAACCCCCUCAAAAAAGUAUAUAUUUGGAAUAUUCACACGCUGACUUUAGGUACUCGCAGAUGGAAGAAUUUCUCAAAUAUGAAUUUUAAGAAACUAUGCAUGGUAUAAUUUUAUUCAUAUAAUUUUGUAGAUACUCGUGCAACGAUCCUCAAUUCCUCAUGCAGCUUUGAAUAUUUUUCAUGUUUUCCAUGGAAGAAACAUGCCAUAUGCACGAAGUUCCACUAUGUUAAUUAAUACAUGUCCUACUCGUACUUUGGGUUGUUUACAAAGAAUACCAUCCUCCAUCACGUGUUCUCAGCGAUAAUUCUUGUGUUUUGCCUUUUGCUUCAACGGUGCUAAUCAAUCUAGAAUGGUUGCCCCUCCCCUUUUUUUAAAAAAAAAAAUAGAAUCUCUAUCUCUAAUGUCAAAACGUCAUUAAGACACCAUCACAUCACUAGCAGAUCAACCUCCCAGCACCCUGUAUCAUCCAUUACCAAAUUUAUCAAGCGUAAAAACCACUCUGAAUUUGGGAGGGUCUAGGACGUGGGGGGGCACUGCACAUUGAACUUCCAAACUUUUCAGAGUAGAAAGUCACGGCUGGUCCAAACCUGAUUUCUCAAUAAAUUUCUUAAGGAACACAGUAGUUCGCACCUAAAGGUUUUUAAUGAAGGAAGAACUGGCCUCUCCUUAAUUCGAAUCCCUUUUAUUAAUUUGGCAAGACCGUAUUACAUACGCGUAAAAAUAAAAGAUCACAGCAUUUGCUCCUCUACUACUCAAGCUUUUUUUUAUUUUUGACAAAGGGUAGUACUACUCAAGCUUAGCUGGCUCCCACCAACAGAAGCCGCAAGGCCAAGGAAGCCGAGGCCGGCAAGGACUCUCGGAAGUAAGAAGCUUCCUGCUGCUUGGUCCCCAAGCCGGUCCGCCCUUCAUCUAGAAGGAACAGAGCUCGUUGCUUGGAGUACCAGUCCACCAGCUAGCUGCUGAUUGAGGAGGAUCAAGAGCACAAAAGGCUGUGUGACUCCACGUCUCUACCCAACCCAAGGCAGGUCCGCCGUGGGACCCGUAGCUAGUCAGGGCCUGCCUGCUUAUCCACGCCAGCCGUUGACCCGCUUGAUGAGGAGCUCUCCUCCUGCAAGUCAACUCGGAAGCUUGUCAGUGCUUAGUAACAGAGGUUGUCUUGCCUGUUUGGAUGGAUCGGUAGGUAGAUGUUGUGCAAGUCGCACAUUAUUUGGAGGACUGGAGGCAAUCUGGAAGGAGCAUUUGUUUUUCGAACUGCGCGGCUGCUUGAGUAACGACCAUGUCCAUGUGGAACAGAUGCAGCACUAGGGUGCAUCUAAUUCCCGACCAACCAGCGACUUUCCUUUUUUUUUUUUGAAGAUUUCAGCUCUGCAACUUUUCAUUUUUGAAGGUACAAACUUAUGAACAUAUUUUUUGCGUAUAAUUUUUAAAAGAAAAAAAUAUGAUCAUAACUUUUUUAUAUAAUUUUUUACAUAUAUUUUAGUAAACAAAGUUAUCAUGAUAACUUUCUUGCAUAAUUUUUUUCAAAGCACAACUUUUACGCAUAACUUUUUACCGGACAAAAUUAUCAUACAACUUGUACCAUAUAAUUGUACUAAUAUAACUUUUACAAAAUAACUUAUAUAUGUUACCAUUUCUAUGUUCGAAAACUUAUACACACAACUUAUUGAAUAUAAUUUUUGUAUAUGUAACUCUUUCUAGUCAACAUAUAUAUUUGAUUGUAGUAUACACAAAUAAAGUGGUAGAUUAAAUAUAAGGAGAAAAAAGAGAAAGUGAAAGGAAAGGAAAAUUGUUUGCAUCUCACGUGUUAAUGAUUCUAUUAGUAUGUGUUAGUCACGAGUUGAAAAUUGAAAACGAAACAGCCAUGGACAGUUAAUCAUGAGUUGGAAGAGUUAAAACAGUAGGAUCAUCACGUCACUUUUGGAGUCCACUCACUAAGGGGGUGGAUAGGGAUGUUUGGAUAAGUUUAGUCCGUAUCACAUCAAAUCUUUGGAGUCUAAUUAGGAGGAUUAAAUAUGAGUUAAUUAUAAAAUUAAUUACACAGAUAGAGGCUAAUUCACGAGACGAAUCUAUUAAGCCUAAUUAAUUCAUCAUUAGCAAAUGGUUACUGUAGCAGAACAUUGUCAAAUCAUGGACUAAUUAGAUUUAAUAGAUUCGUCUCGCGAAUUAGCCUCCAUCUGUGCAAUGAAUUUUCUAAUUAGUCUAUGUUUAAUACUUCUAAUUAGAAUGUAAAUAUUCAAUGUAAUAGGUACUUAAAAAUAAGCAAAGGAACCAAACACCCCUUAUAUCGUGUCCCGUGUUGAUCGCUGGAAGCGCUGCAAGCGCUCACGCGCAAAACCAAUAUUGCGUGCAGCACUGUCCAAUCUUGGUCGUGUGGGCGUACACUCAGGGGGUGUUUGAAUACCCCUUCUAAGCUUUAACACCUAUCGCAUCGAAUGUUUGAUACUAAUUAGGAGUAUUAAACAUAGUCUAAUUACAAAACUAAUUGCGCAGAUGGAGUCUAAUUCGCGAGACGAAUCUAUUAAGCCUAAUUAGUUCAUGAUUUGACAAUAUGGUGCUACAGUAAUCAUUUGCUAAUGAUGGAUUGAUUACCCUCAAUAGAUUCGUCUCGCGAAUUAGACUCCAUCUGUGCAAUUAGUUUUGUGAUUAGCUUAUGUUUAGUCCUCCUAAUUAGCAUCCGAACAUCCGAUGUGAUCCUGCUAAAGUUUAGCACCUCGUAUGAAACACUCCCUUAAUCCGGGAUACGAAUUCCGGGGGACAAAGAAAUUCUGUUCUAGAAGCCGCGACCACAGCACUACUGCGGCUUUCAUCCUUGUCGUUGUCACGGAGUAUGCCCUUUUCCACCACGAGGAAUGGGCACCGCUUCUAGUACUGGUUUGUUUCCCAUUAGAGAUCAGUCAGCCUGCAGAAGAUGGCAGAUGCAUUGUAUUGUAGUGGGACUGGACCUGGAACGGAACAUUCCAUGCCUGCUCGGAAAGCGGGGCCAAAUAUUCCCGGCGUUCCAUGACGGGUGGAAUGUCCUAAUAAAAGCGGCCGAGCUUAUCAGUGGCUGCUGGAAAAAAGUGGAGCCGUUGGAACGAGGCGACGACGAGGGAAGACGGAGCUGCCCGAGAUGAAGUAACAAGCCCACCCACCACAGCGAAGUAUCGGCGCCGGUGCCUUUGGGCUUUGGUGACGGGGGAGCGAGCGUGCAUGCCGGUUGCAGUGGUCUCUUAUCCGGCGUGGCGUACUCCAUGGGACUGGACUCGCAGGAGUUUGACUGAACAAAGCAAGCGAAGCAUGUAUUGUGCCAUGACGAGUGACUGCGAAUCUGUCAGCGAAAUGAUCUCACGUGAUAACGAAAAUUCAUUAUUCUAAGAGCAAAUAAUCAGGAAUUCAGGAUGAUAUUUGCGUGGGGCUGCGGGAGUGCAGCAGGUUGCCUUGCGAGUUGGGCACCUGAAGGCCAUCCAUGCUGGCUUGCUCCUCCGCCACAAAGUCGGAUCUCAUUAACCACGGAUCACAUCCGGAGACGAAGUUCGAAAUUACCCGCCAAGUUCCUCCGGUUAACGACGCACGAUAACGCACGUCCCCAGACUUGCUUAGGCCUCCCGCGCUCCGACGCCAAGCUCCUGCACGCAUCCUCGACGAACCGGCCAUCCCCGUCGAGAGGUGUAUCCUGAGUUGGCGCGUGCAACUCCUCACGUGCGGUGGGUGCCUGAUCUUGACCAAUGCGGUUAUGUCUCUGAAGCCGGUGUACGCCAUGGCGGUGAUCUGCCUACAUCUGUCCACCAUCGAGCGCAUUGACAAGCCCUGCCGGGACAGGCUCUGGAAAGGCACUCCACGUUGCUUUGGCGGGGAUUGCCAGGUCGCUUGGACAACUGUGUGUAGGCUCAAGGAGGAGGAUGGCCUCGGCAUCAUCAACACCUGCCUCCUUCUCAAGAUGGUGGACAAGCUCAUCACCGGUCACAGUAACCCUUGGGCGGACUGGGUCAGGUUUUGGUACUCACCGGAACGCCGCUCGCCUCCAACGUCCUCAUGGAUUGUCUUCCAAGGGCCGUUCCCCCUCUACAGGGCGCUCACCGGCGUGGCGCUCGGGCGGGGCGACUCCACCCUCUUCUGGCACGACAACUGGUCGUCAGCGGGGGCGCUCGCCACGGCGUUGCCCGCACUCUACUCCCAUUGCACGGCGCCAGGCAUCAUAGUGGCUGUCGCAUUCCAGACCGAGAUGCUCUUCCUCCCCAUGCAACCGCACUUGAGCGUCGCUGUUGUUGCGGAGCUCUCUACCCUCUGCAACUGCCUCAACGGGCUCCGCCUCAGGCCGUGAUGGAUCGUCAUCACCUUCUCUGGGGUUAUGAAGGCACCUUCCGCUUGGAGCGGUGUACCGAUGCUCAAGCAAACCGGGUGUGGCGCGCCGCUCGCGGAGGCCAAUUGGGACAACUUCGCACCUGUCAACGUGGGAGGGUCUUCUUGUGGUUCCUGCGGCACGGGAACACGCGCACUAGGAGCUUUCUUCAUCGCCAUGGUGGGCUGGGGACUGACCUAUGUCCCUGCUGCCCCGACUCACCGGAAGACUUGGAACACCUCUUCUUCACCUACCCCCACGUCUCUGCCUUCUGGGCUGCGGUCAACCCUGGAGCGCCUCCUCAAGGACUGCUCGAGCUGACUGACACCGUCCCCCUACCCUCCGAGAAGCUCUGCCACACAGCCUCUCUAUUGCUGUGGGUCAUCUGAAAAAGCCGCAACCAGAUGGUGUUCUGCACCGCCAUGGUGGCCGAGGUGGCUAGCCUUGUGUGGCUAUGGGCCAUCAGGGCUCCCUGGCGGCUGGACCUCACCCCCUAGAUGAUUGGUGCUCCAUCAUUUUUAUGUAAUUUCUGCUUUUGAGUGAUUUGCUUCCCACUCUUGUGUACUCCUAACACGCCGCACCGGCGUUAUAAACACCAUCGGGUGGGCGAUCUCCGCCCACCGUUGCCGUCUAAAAAAACCAGGUAACGCACGUAUGUGGUCAAAUGACGGAUUGAUUGAUACGAGAGACGGUGCUCUUGCUGGCACGCAGCACAUGUGUCGUACGUGCGGCGUUGCGUGCGCACAGCGUGCCUACCACUCGGGGACGUUUGGUUCUCUUUGCUUAUUUUUAGCACGUGUCACAUCGAAUGUUUAGAUACUAAUUAGGAAUAUUAAACGUAGACUAUUUACAAAACUCAUUACAUAAGUGGAGGCUAAAUGGCGAGACGAAUCUAUUAAGGCCCUGUUUGGAAAGGGGGUGUUAAAGUUUAACACCCCACUUUUAACACUUUUUAAUACUUUCCUAUCCAAACACUUGUGUUAAAAGUGGGGUGUUAAAGUUUAACACCCUAUUUUUCAUAAACACAUGGAGGGGGUGUUAAAACUUGCUAAAGGUGUUAAAAGCGGUCCCCCUCUCCACUUUUUCCCAGGUUACCCCUUCUCUCUCCUCCCUCUCUCUCCGCCGGCCAUAAAUGAGGGGGCAAUUGAGUCAUUUCCCACCAAAGGUGUUAAAGUUUAAUACAUCAUCCAAACACCCCAAUGUGCUAAACUUUAGCACUCUAUUUGAGAGUGUUAAAACUUUAACACUUGUUAAAUUUUAACACAGGGUAUCCAAACAGGCCCUAAGCCUAAUUAAUCCAUCAUUAGCAAAUGUUUACUGUAGCAACACAUUGUCAAAUCAUGGAGUAAUUAGGCUUAAUAGAUUCGUCUCGCCGUUUAGCCUCCACUUAUGUAAUGGGUUUUGUAAAUAGUCUACAUUUAAUAUUCCUAAUUAGUAUCUAAACAUUCGAUGUGACGGGUGCUAAAAAUAAGUCAGGGGAACCAAACCAGGUGAAAUUAGCUUCACGCUCAAUGCUCUUAUUAGAGUCAGUUUAGACACCUGAUGAAUGCUACCGUAUGAAUUUUGCCACCGAUCAUUUCCGUCCAGUUCCUCUCGGAUUCUUUUUUGAGUUUGCAAGUUUUGUGCUCAAAGCUCUACUAGCUUGGUACCACGAGAGCUCCCGGGUCAUUCAGUAAGCAGCCUCGGACAGUAGUACUCUUCGGUGCAACGGAAAGAAAAAACCAAAUGCACGAAGUACAAACACGCGCAACGCGCUCGCUUCGUGCACAAGCUUAAUUGACCCUGUUAAAUUGUUAGCUAAGCUCUCAAGGGAUCGAUUGAGCUACUAGCAUGAUUUCCUCGUUUAGUAGAGUAGCAGUUCUGAUGGAAUGGAAGACUCGUGUGGAAGAGAACAAAUCAAGUUGCUUCAUACUGGCAAAAGCCAGAAGGCCAAUUAAGCACGAGGUUGUGCAAGGGAAAGGAAGCCUGUCAUCGGAAUCGUUAUGCCUACGCGAACCGAGAGUUCAGAUAAACGCACCAGGUUCGGGUCCUAAUUAGCCCCGCUAAUAAGUUGAAACCCGGCCCAACCUGCUUUAAAUUAACUCAUUUCCCCAUCCCGCCCCGUCCUAUAAUUUUAUUGUCUAAACCCAACCCUACUCGCUCCAUCAAUUGAUAUAAUGUAUAGAUUUGAUAUGUGAAAUUAUGAACAUAUGGGCCCCGCAUAAAGAGUCAGACCUUAAAACGAAAACCUCACACUAACACCUUAAAAUUUUAGAGAAAUUAAUCGAAAUUUGUUGGAGAUGACUCAGUUUGACGGUCCACUAUUUUAUGCAAAUUGUCGCGGCUGGACUUUAUAUGGGCCCCGCGUCCAAAGCUAGACCGUAAAACUAAACCUCGCGUUCACACUUAAAAUUUAAAAUUUAAUCAAAGUUGAUCGAAAUUUGUUGGAGAUGACUCAGUUUGAUAGUCCAUUCCUUUGUGCAAAUAGUAUGAACUAAAUCUACAUAUGGGUCCCACGUCAAGAGCUGAACAGUUAAACCCAUACAGACUGAAAGAAAAAAGAACCACUUCCAACCCGCACUCGUGAUAUACCCAACCCAUUAGAUGCUAAAAUCGAUUUUAACCGAUUCACACACACCCCACGUCACAACCUAUCCCAAAACCCAUUUCAACCCGCUCCAUUAGCAGGUAACCCGGAGUAUAUCCUCUUCUCAAACAUAGAAAGGGAGAAAAUAGAAACUGCUGGCUCGUAACUCGUAUAGUCCGAGAACUAGGCCCCAGGAGCUGUGCGUAGCCGUACACAAGCCGCCAGUACGGAAUGAAUAUACGGAGUGGAGAUGCUAGUCCAGGCCUCCAGGGUGAUGCGGCGGCAGAAGCGGCGACUGGCGUGGCAAGGCGGCAAAGCUCACCGUGCGACAGGUAGCGCAUUUGGCCAAAAGUCCAAACGUUUCACGGCGCCUGGAAAAGUGCCCUUCAGAUGGCCCCCGACGCGUCAGGCAUGCACGGCACUCGGGCAGCACGGCAAAGUCGGCACUUGGCACACGGGCGCGCUCGGGCCGAGAAGGCGGACGCGCGCGGGCGCCGCCCCCGCUUCCAAGCAGGCGGGAAGGAAGCCACCAGGAGUCCAGGACGGCCGCGAUGCGGGCACUGCCGGCGCGCUCUGACCUCAUGGCUCGUGCAACCGAUGCCAGCAUGUAUGGAACCGCGCCGGGGGUCUGGCUCGCCCUCGCACCGCCGCGCCGGCGCCGCUACACUACACGCGUGAAUAAAGUAAGAAGGUACUGUCGCGGUGCUGCGAGGCGGCGACACCUACGCGGGGUUAGUUGCCGCCCUAUCCGUCGGGCCGUCCCUGGUUCCCUGAAUCCCUGCCCACGCCGAGUAGGUCUUGGCGAUCGGGUGAUAGAUUGGUUUGGUUUGUGUUGCAGCAAAUCAGGAGGCACAUGCCCAGACUCGAAUCGUUGUCCCGUGGCAAAUUUUGGAGCGUGUGGCGUCUCCCACGUGUCGACAAGUAUAAUACACCAGUGACGCAACAAUGGAUUAUGGUUAUGGAGUUGGAACGAGUUUUCACAAUUUCCAUGUGCUUGCUCUCUUCUCUUGCGUUCGAUACGGCGGCUCGUGAGUCGUGAUUAUAGAAGAGAAGGGACCGCGCGCGUGUUGCCAUGCGAAGUAAUGAAAUGGCCGGUCCGGUCGAUGGUGAUGACAACCGUACUAUGCGGGGCUACCACCAGGCCCCCGGUGCUACGGGCGAAAAGUGCAAAACAAACAGUUCAAUAUGAGAGUUUCUGUGCGGAUGAAAUUUCCCCGUUGCACACGCUAUUUGUCUUCACACCGAACGGUAUUCGCAACACAGCUGGAUCACAGCCUUCCCCAGUUUCCCCUUGAGCUUACAAGACGCCUACGUGCGCAUGAGCUUUAUUCGAUCCAGCCGACUCCGCGGCCUCUCUAUCUACAGCUGACCGGAUUAACGGCUGCUUGUCUCGUCACAAGCAAGCGCGAUCUAAACCAAUUUUAACCGGGCUAAACCAAUGCAAAGUGCUCAUGUUUAGUUGGGUGACUAAAAAUAUCCCGGUUUGAUAUGCUCAUGUUUGGUUAGUUUGCACAAGGUGAUAAGAUGGUCCUGUAUUCGCUAGAGGUGAAAUUACCACCGUCCCAUCCUCUCCGGUCCUCUCCUUCCUCCCCCUCAUCUAUUACUCCUCCUAAUCCCCAACCCUGAUGGUGCGCUGCCGCAUCACUGCCCUCCUCGCGGUGUCGCUCCUGCUCCUGCUCACCCACCCGGACUCCUCCUCCCUUCCGCCGCCACCACCAACACCUCGUACGACAAGCUCCGCCUCCGGGGCUACCCUCGGAGCCUGCUCCUGGCAGAGUGUAGCUAUCAAGCACCCCAAAAUUGGGUGAUGGACCGAUUCAUGUCCGCAUUGAGCUUCGCCACAGUCGGAUAAACCUCAAGCAUGGUCGAAUCGAGCUCCAGCGCCACCCGCGAGCCCACAUCACCGCUCGCCUGCUCCCUCCGGUUGGGGUCGUCAGCCCGCUAGACCGCUGGCUAGGCGCCCACCGCCAUGAGCCGCGCCUCACCGUCGCACCCCCGCCACCGCCGCGAGCCAGCCGGGUGGCACAUACCCCACCCGCUUCGCCCAUGGUACCUCCGUCCCGGUUAGCAGCGCGUCGAGCUUUGAUGCGCCAAGGAGCUCUGGAGGCCGCCGUCGUCGCGACUGAUGGCAGGGCGUAGGUGCCCGCGCAGGUCCGUUGGGAAGGCGAGGUACGGGGUGUAUUCCAGCAGGGAAGACGAGAGGGUGAGGCGACUCUGCCAACUUAAACCACCGAGGCUUGUACGAGCCUACAUUAGCGGAAACGGACGCUCGCUACGUUCCCAGGAAUUCAGGCAACGACCCCUCUUUUGCACUACUGAAGCUAGGCUUAGGAGCAUCCAAUCACAUACAUGCUACAUUACCGAAGCCUAUUCGGGGAACCAAUCACUACUCGUAGGGGGUGUUUGGUUCCACGGACUAUAGUCUCUGUCACAUCGAAUGUUUAGAUACUAAUUAAGAGUAUUAAACAUAGACCAAUUACAAAACCAAUUGCACGGAUAGAGGCUAAUUCACGAGACGAAUCUAUUAAACCUAAUUAAUUCAGCAUAUAUUUACUGUAGCAUCACAUUAUCAAAUCAUGGACUAAUUAAGCUUAAUAGAUUUGUCUCUCGAUUUAGUCUCCAUAUAUACAAUUGAUUUUAUAAUUAAUUAAUUUAAUCCUUCUAAUUAGUAUCUUGAUGUGACAGGAAGUGAACAUUAGUCCGUUCAACCCAACACCCUUUUCGAUCCAGCCGAUUCCGCGGCCCGACCCGAUUAACGGCUGCUUGUCUCACAAGCAAGUGCGAUCUCGGCAAAUCCGGCGGACCCUGGCCCUCUUCGAGAAUUUUCGCUAUAUCAUGUGUAAACCCGGGAAAAAAGUUGCAGCAACUCGCGCACACGCACACGGAACGCAACCGACACCAUCCCCAAGAAAAGAAACGAACACCGCGUGCAUCACGAGUGACGUGUAGCGGGGCCGAGGCGGAGGCGCCUCCCGUCCCAAGCUUAACAGAGCAGGCGCCGCGCGAGUCAGAGGCUCAGAGCCCCCUUCCCUUCCAGAAGGUCGCCUCCCGCUACCGGUUUCCUCCUAUUUAUACGCCGCUCCCACCUCCCCAACCAACUAGCAGUUGCUUCCCUCCCUUUCUCCGAACCCCCAAUCGCAAAGAAAUCGAGCAGCGGACAAACGAACAUGCGGGCCAUGGCAGAGGACAGGCCGGGUGGCCGCCGCCAGGAGCGAGCCACCGCGGACCUUCCGAUUCCAAGAGACGACGGUGGCUCUGUGGCGUCCGACGACGAGGACUCCGACGGCGAGUUCGAGUUCCCCUCCGUGAGCCGGCAGCCGGCGGCGGCGGGCGGGGGCGCCGCGGCGGCGGACGAGCUCUUUGCGGGCGGCCGCAUCCGCGCGUUCUACCCGGUGUUCGGCCGGGUGCUGGACGACGCCGCCGCGGCGCCGGCGCCGAGCUCGAGGGCGCCGCUGGGGCGGCUGUUCCAGCUGGAGCAGGCGCGAACCUCCUCCGUCGCGUCCACGUCCUCCUCGUCGUCUUCGUCGUCGGCGUCGAUGGCGGACGCUGAAGCGAGGCUCGACGGCGCGCCGCCCGACAGCUACUGCCUCUGGACGCCCGGGUCGUCGCCGGCGUCCUCGCCCUCGCGGCCGCCGCGGAAGAGCGGGUCCACGGGCUCCAUCGCGCGGUGGCGCCGCAUCGGGGAGCUCGUCGUCGGCCGCAGCCACAGUGACGGGAAGCAGAAAUUCCUCUUCCUCUCCGCGCCGCCGUCACCGGCCAGGGACAGGGACCACCACCAGUCCCCCGCCGGCUCCAAGUCGAAGCCGCCAGCGAAAGGAAGUAAAGCCGCGACCGCCGCCGCCGCCACCGAGCUCGACACGGUCGCCGCGGGGCGGCGGAUGUCGUACGGCGGCGGCAAGGCGUCGCCCGGGGGGCGGCGGACGUUCCUGCCGUACCGGCAGGACCUCGUGGGGCUGUUCGCCAACGCCCGUUCUGAGCCCCGACGCGCCGAACCGUCGCAGCCGUGGAGGACCCGUUCCAAACAGUGAGAUUCAAGUUUGAAUCUGGGAUUUGAAAUUUCAGACGAUUUGACCUGGUGAUCCCCUGCAAACCUUCUUUGUGAAGACCAGUUUUAGCAAUUUAGCAUACGUGUGGGGUUAAAGCGGCCAAGCAGGUCAAAAAGAACAAGUGUGAAAGUCAGACAAAGCAGGGGAAAUGUGAGCCUUCCUUUUCGGAUUCGUCGCGGCAAUGAGGUCCGAAGUCGGUGGCAGCCACUUGAAAUUUGUGAUGAAGGUGGUAGGCGAGUACAGUACUACGGAGAAGUUGAAAAAAAGUUCGUAACUUUGUAUAUGUGACUUUGUACAUACGGUGUAUACAGGGAGUCCUCCCCCUAAAGUUUAGCUCCUGUCAUAUCGAAUGUUUAGAUACUAAUUAGAAGUAUUAAAUAUAGACUAUUUACAAAACCCACUAUACAGAUGGAGGCUAAACGGCGAGACGAAUCUAUUAAGCCUAAUUAGUCCUUGACAAUGUGAUGCUACAGUAACCAUUUGCUAAUUAUGAAUUAAUUAGGCUUAAUAGCUUCGUCUCGCCGUUUAACCUCCAUCUGUGCAAUUAGUUUUAUAAUUAACUCAUAUUUAGUCCUUCUAAUUAGUUUUUAAAUAUUUGACGUGACACGGAUUAAAGUUUAGCUCGAGGAAGCAAACACUCCCAUAAUGUAUAUUAGCGAAGCAGGUGGUCAUAUUUGCGAGGAAUUCACCUUCCCUUGUUAGCAAUCUAUUCCAACCAGUUUUGAUUUUCAGCAAAGCAGCUCGCCAGCCCAGGCAGCAGCGCCAGCCGCGGACGCCUGAGAUCGCUGCCUUCGAGGCAAGUUUGGCAGGACUCAAAGCAAACAGGCUCAAGUUUAAAAAAAAAAAAGCAAACAGGCCCAUGCGUCAUCCAACGGCUCUUUCAAAAAAAAAAACCCGAGAUAUCAGAAAAACUAACUGCGAUUUGACCGAUUUUCAGGCAUCAAUAUUAUGUUUGGUUCGUAUCACAUCGGAUAUUUAGAUACUAAUUAGGAGUAUUAAAUAUAGAUUAAUUAUAAAACUAAUUGCACAAAUGAAGGCUAAUUUGGGAGACGAAUCUAUUAAAUCUAAUUAGAUCAUGAUUUGAUAAUGUAAUGCUACAGUAACAUGUGCUAAUGAUGGAUUAAUUAGAUUUAAUAGAUUCGUCUUGCGAAUUAGCCUCCAUCUGUGUAAUUAGUUUUAUAAUUAGCUCAUAUUUAGUUCUCCUAAUUAACCUUCGAAUAUUCGAUGUGACAUAAAUUUUAGUUCGGACUAAAGAUCCAAACAUCCUCUUAUUUUUGCCAACUACAGAGCUGCUAACGCAGUAUGGUUUCAGUUACCAAAACUUUCCCAUUUUUCUUUCACCUGAACAGAGAUCGUUUACCGAAUUCUUUUCAUCACCUAGCGUUUGAGUUGACCGCCUGCCCGCGCGCAGACCGUAAGUUGCCGGGAGCAGAGGGAAGACCGUAUGGAAGAGGGUCAAUGCGUUGCCGGUGCAGAGCCACUUGCUAACAGAGUACUCCUCCUCAUUACGUACUCCAGCUCUUAAUCACGCAAUUAGCCAAUAGCCACUCCACGAGCUUGUUGCGCGCAAGCUGGCAUGCAGACGUGCGCACGUACGCUUUGGACCGGUCAGCUUGGCGCUGACACUCCCAUCCGAUCCAACUACACAAGCAGAGCCUGUCCCUGGGUUGCAUUGCGUUCGGUAGUUUCAGUCAGAAUUCAGAUACAGGUCAGGUUUGUGGUAAGGUUUCGUUGUGGCUGGUGCCGGUAGAAACUCCAAAAUGACGGAAAGGGAACAAGCUAGCUGCACCGGAAUUUUUACCAGGACCUGGCGUUAGUCAACCGAGUGAACGGGCGGAUUGCUAGAGAUCGGGGAUGACACGAUCGAGCUUUUAAUUCAGUGCCUUUUUCUCGCGCGCGUCAGAUCAAUCUCGCGGAUUGGUUCAACGGCGGGGACCUGUGGCUCCACGCGUUCGCACAGACAGUGCCUGCCUCGGACAGGAACACUGGUCGUCUCCCGCAUUUUACACCAGGACACCGGGGAGGCAGCAAACGCGUCAAAGCUAAUCCGGUAAUCCCUUGUCGUGCCAGUUCCCUUCUUGUGCAGUAAUAACUGGAGCAGCGAGUAUACGUACGAACUCGGUGCCACGCGAUGUGAGAGAUGUUCAGCUUUCAGACUCACCUAACUGCAACACUGUGUUUGGUGUGAUUAGUUGCAGGCUAUGUAAAAAAGGGGACAACUCGACGGUAAAAUACACAAGUCAACAACUAAAUUUUGCGAGUUGGUUCUUGCGUCUUGACCGACACAGGUCAGCCGGUGUUGUUUUUAACCUCCCAACCGGGAGGGUGUCGAAACAGCUAAUGUGGGCGAACAACACUCGUCGGAGCACGUAAAACAAAAUGCCCGGACUGAGCAUCUGACUCACCACAUCUUGACCUUUUUAAUCUCGACGGAGCUAUCCCAUGUCUUGUUGGGGAAUGAGCAUGUGCGCUUUCACCUACCUCCUACUGCAUUUUUGUGUUCCUUGAGGAUGGAGCAGUCCACGACAUAUUUGAACUUCCUUCUUGUCCUGACCUGCAUAACCUAACACAGCAGACGUAUGCACCAGGUUACUCUGGGGCUGAUUGGUUCGCAGCACGCCCCCUCAUCCAGACUCCACGCGUGCGAUCUUAGCAUGAUUGGUUAGGUACUGGGUUUGAUCCGCAGCAUGCAAAAAGGUCCCCGAGCCUGACUUCCAGGGUGCAGCUAGAACCUUCGUCUCCUUGGAGCCUGGCUGGCUGGAUGCGGCGUCGAACACGCGGGUAAGCGCAUGUAAGAGAAAAAUAGGUACAUACAUGUAACCAAUCAAAAUCUCCCUAUAACCUGACUGACACGAACCAAGCAACCAAUCAUACACCUCUUGUGCGCAAUAAGCCUGUCCUAGCCGGCCUGGCUCCCUCGUACGAGGUGGGCUACGCUGAGAAGAGAAUCAAUCAAACCCUCUGAAAUCUGAGCACUGGUCGGGGAAGGAGCGGUGUUGGAGAACUGCCGGACGAGAAGUGACAACAGUGGAUUCUUAAUUCCUCGGUCUUACGUCGCUGUUUCGGUUGUUUAUGGAUUUCACGUUAGUCACAAGUACAUUUUAAACUGGAAGCACUCACUAGAGCAAACCCUAUUUAUCAAGUCGUCAGCUGAAGUUACAGUUGCCAAUCUAGUUUGGGCCGGUUUGGGGUUGAACUCAACUACAUUGGGCUUUUCUAGGCCUUCAGUGGGUUGGGCUAUACUCCAGGGGAAAAAACAAAAAUGAGUGGGAAUACUAAAGCCCUUAUACACAUCAACAUGGUGUCCUUUUCGCAGUUGUGUACUUGACAAAAAUCAUUUUUUAAACGAUGUACUUGACAAAAUCUUGCAGUUUCUAUAAUGUUUAUGCCUCUUCUUGCUUCUGCCCAGCAAUUCCUUCAUUGUAAGUUUUUCGAGAUGAAUUGUUUAGAAGUUCACCUCAAAACCAAGAGCUCUUUUAUACUCCCUCUAUUUCAUAGAUCGUUUUGGUUUUCCUAAUUUCAUACGUUUUGCUAUGUAUCUAGACAUAACCUAUAGGUAGAUGCAUAGAAAAAAAUCUGUAUCUAGAAAAGCUAAAAUGACCUACAAUUUUGGAUAGAGAGAGUAGUUGUUUAUAGGUACCAACGUUUACUUUGAGGUACUUUUUUCUCCUUUUUUUCACUCUUGAUUUGGAAAAGACAAUUAAAAAAAUUAAAUUUAUGGCUCCCCACACAUUGUGUGUGGUGGUCGGCGACACCGAGAAGACAUUCAUCCUUCUUGAUCCUGUCAUCCAAGGCUCAUGGAGGAUCUCGACAUGGUAUCAAAACCCAACCCCGCCCACCACCACCACCAUCAUCAUCAUCAUCACCAAUCGCUGACCUCACCUUUUCUCCUAGUCCCCUCUGAUUGGGCGCCGUGUUGACCUCCACCUCCACAGGUUGAGGCCCCUCUUCGUACUAAUCUGUGAUUAGGCUCAAGUGACACGCUUGUUCAAAAUUUGGCGAUCGAUUUUUGUUGUUUUAUAGUAGCCUACGUGGUGUAGUAGAUGCCUGACUUGGACCUGUCAGAUGUUAUUGCUCCUAAUCCAAGGGUGGAAUUAGCUUUUACUAACGAUAUGUCAUAUCCUUUUGCAGUGCAGUUUGAUGCUAUCCUCAGUCAUCUCAAAUCAUUAAGCAGUGGUUAUUUUUUUUACCAACAAAGGUUGGUAACAUGAAUUUUAACUGUUUGAAAAUCACAAUUCAUAUAGAAUUCAUAAUCUUUGAUUUGUUUUGAGAGCUCAGUCUACCAUGCUUAGAAUGAGCUAUUUUGUCAUCACACUCUAUUGUACGGCCUAGUUGAAUGAGCUAGACCCGGCAAGUUAGCAACUUUGAAGCUUCUGGAAUGUGAGAUCCUAUAUGCUAAUCCACAUUAUUUAUCUUUUGCAAGCAAACAACUACAGGGGACCAUACCUUUCCAAUAUGUGCUAUGUUGUAAUUAUAAUUUUAGUUUCAUCAUGAUUUGUGAAUUGUUGAUUGAGAUGGCACAUUUUUCACUUAUUUAUCAUGCAUAAUGUAUUGCAUUUUUUUACUAUUUUUGUAUAUAGGGUAAUGUGAUCUGAGUACGUAAUUGGUCAAAUAACACUUUUUGGUUGAGAACUAUGAAAAUUGGUUAACUUUGAAAAUGUUGAGGAAAUAGCAAGAGUUAGUUAGCCAUUUACUGUCAGGCCAAUAUUGGGAAAGUAUAGGCACUUGUUUCAGUUAAGUCACUCUAGUUUAACAUCUCAAUUCAGAGUUAUUUUAUUUUCCAUACUAUGUUAAUUUCUUUUUUCUACCUCUUUGUAUCUUCUAAUGACUUAGGUAUGUGUACUUAUGAUUUUGAGGAAAGUAGAGAAUUGUUAAACCAAAGCGUAAAAUAUAAACUCCAAAAGUUUGCAUUAUAUGCAAUUAGACCAUAUUACUGAAAUAAUAAUCCUUGCUCCGUUACUGCAUUUUACUGGUGAAUUUUGUCAUGGUAUCCGCUGCGCCUGGUUGUUUGGUUGGGUGUUGACGGUCGUUAAGUACCAAAUAUGACUGUCAAUAUACUCAAGAAUAAAGGAGGAUUGACAUUUCUUACAUGCAUAUUUGGUUUUGAAUAAUGUAGUUCCACUUGUCCUUAGAGAUUAUUUGAUUGUAGGUGAAAUAAUAUAAAAGGAUGGAGAAAGCACUGGAUCCAAGAAGCACGCUUCCAACCAAUGGGAGGUUGCCACAUGUGCCUCCCAUGGAUUGAAGGGCCCACAAACUACCACAACCGUCUCAAUCCACCGGAUAACACACGCAACCGUCAUUGGGAUCCACCAGGCAGUCACCCGGAGAAAGGCGGUUGCAAGGAGGACCCACAUGGGGUCGGCCGAACCAGGGGUUCAGCCGAACCGCCAUUGGCUCCUCUCGCCUCCAGCCUUCACGUGGCAACGAUUGACAGGCCCCCUAUGUCGGUUAUAGGAUAUUUCUCGAAGAUUCCCUGCCAGAGCCGCCUCUUGGAGCCUAUAAAUAUAAGGGUAGGGGCUCCAUUCUAGGACACACACCACAAGUGAAUCAUUUUCUCCCUCUUAGCUUCCAAGUUAGUAGAGUUAGGCUAGAGUAGCUCUCCUUUAGGUUCUAGGUCUCCUUGGAGUCUAGGGUAUAACUCUUGUAUCUUUUAUUCCUAGGUUGACGUUAUUCUAUUCAAAGUAUACAUAUUCUUUAUAUAGUAUUGUCCUUGGUUCUUAUAUGCAUGAGUUAGAGAUAUACGCUCAUAUGUUGGUCGUAUACCCUUGCUAUCAUAGUAUAGGCUUAUAUACUCUUAUGUAUGCCUUGAGACCAUGCUUCAGUACAUACUCUGUGUGGGGACCGUCCCUCGGGUGUCCCCACUUAAGCAAUACAGUGCUAUUUCCUGGACCAGAAUCCAGCACCAGCAUGAAUCGAAAUGUUUAUCAAAGUAAGAGGGGAGAAAAUAGAAGGGUUAUGAUGGUGUCAUCUUCACCUUUAAGGAGUAAGCAGGAAGCAAUCAAUGCACAACGGAAAGAUGAAAGCUGGCUCCCUAGAAGACUUGACAAAACAAGCAAGAUUGAGUACUUUUGCCAAAAAUACUCAGCAAGUAUCUUAACGUUGAAAAGUUAAUGACAUGUAAGGUAAAUCAAGGUAAGAUUGGAGUUUUUAUGCAGAAAGUUUGUAUGCAAGGUGUAACACCGUUGGGGCUUUUUAAAAGGAAGUUGUUAUUAUGAUAAUGUUAUUUUAAGGGGUUAUGAAACUAUCUGGGUAAAUUUUAGUAUUCAAAAUAGAGGAUAAAAGCAUGAUCAAGGGGUUGGUGUCAAGACUUGCCUUGCUUGCUGAGCGACGAAAUCGAAUCUUAGUAAACAAAGAAAUAAACAUGCAACCAAUCACCUCAAAGUUAUCCAAAGCUCAACAGAAGGGUUUUAAGAAGGGUUGUGAAGGGGGUGGGGCUGUGGGAUAGGAUUUAGACGGCUUUCCUAAGUUUCUUGUGAUUUCCUAUAUGUCAUGUGAUUUCUCCUAUAUUUUAUGUGGGUUUUUUGAUGUAAGCGCAUGGGUUUGAGGAUGACUUGAUGGUGGUUUCUGUGCUAUGGGGUUUGGAUAUGUGCUAAGAAUUUCCUAAGCUCUUAGGAAUGAUUUGGAAGUUUGGCAUGAUUUCUAAUAUAAAGAAAAUAGGAUUUAUUAAGUGGCUUCCUAGUUUUGGGGGUUUAGGACAUAAGUUUGGGGAGUUGAACUCAUGAAUGUGUCUAGAAUAUAUUCUAAUAUUUUUAGGAAUUUAUUUGAUAUUUGUUGAUGAUCGUUAAGUACCAAAUAUGACCAUCAAUAUACUCAUGAAUAAAGGAGGAUUGGCAUUUCUUACACGCAUAUUUUGUUUCGAAUAAUGUAGUUCCAGUUGUCUUUGGAGAAUAUUUGGUUGCAGGUGAAAUAACACAAAAGAAUGGAGAAAGCAUCUAUACUCAUCAAUAUACUCAUCAAAACAUAUUUCAUAAUUUGCAUAAUAAUGAUGUUAGGUAAGAUUUUAGAAAAUUCCUAUAUGAUUGUUGUUCGGUAGAUGAGUUUGAGAGGAAAUUGGUAGAGUUCUUAGAGAUGAAUCAAGUUAUAAGUCAGGACAAUUGGUUGCAUUAGAUGUAUCAAAUGAGGAACCUAUGGUGUGCUGCAUAUUAGGAGUACAAUGUUUCUUAGGAUUGAGGAGCAACCAACGGAGCGAGAGCCUAAGCUCUAGACUUCAUAUGGACAUUGCUGUUAAAAUGUCAUUAUUUGACGUGCUACAACACUAUGAACAUUGCCUUGCAAUAUUGCGCAGAACUGAGGCGAAGUUUGAUAUUGAAGUAUUGCAAUCCGUUCCAUUCAUAGAGCCAGAUGCUUCAAAUAUUGAUAACCACAUUGCCCAAGUGUUCACACCUAUGGUCUUUGACCUGGUCAAAUGGAGCAUACAUGCUGCCAGCAAAUGCAUUCUCCUUGAAUUACUAAAUGGAUGUGAUUUGAUUUUCGUACAUUGUGGUUAGGAAGAAUAGUACAGAGACAAAUUUCAAGGUGCAUUGUGUAUUGAAGGAAGCCUCGCUGUUCUUGCCGUAAGCUGCCAUGCAAUGGCACACCAUGUUCGCACAUAUUCUAUGUUUUGAGAAUAUUGCGAGUAUAUUGACUUCCCAAGUGGUUGCAUGUAUAUUGACUUCCCAAGUGGUUGCAUGUAUAUUGACUUCCCAAGUGGUUGCAUUCCCAACAGGUGGAUGACGAGUGCAAAGUCAAGAUUUCCUCCAACUACAAAAAAAUAGCAUAUAUGAUUAGUCGAAAAGCCUGGAGAGGUACCACGAGUUACGAAACUUGAGACAUGCAGCAUCCUUUAAGCCAUAUUAGCCUACUGAAUCAUAUGAGCGUAUGAAACAUGCUCGGCAAGGAGAAGCUAGGACCCAUCUAGUGGUAAAAAAAAAUGAAUGCAUAAGAUAUGGUCGCUACUUCCACAAAACAGCAAUUUGAUUAUAGAAAUGGGGAAAUAUUAUGGAUCUUGUGCAUGUGAAAGGCCGAGGUGGACUGAAGAAAAGACUGAAGGCAAUGAAGAAGAAAAGAUCAACAAUUAAAUGCAGUCGUUGUCAUCAGGAGGGUCACAAUUGGCGUGCUUCAGGAUCACACAACAUUUUGAUUAAACCAUAUGGUGCUUCCCUCGCAAGGUCGAGGUAGUACAUUUUAUAACUCCAAUUUAAUCUAGCACACUCCAAAGUAUACACCAAGGGACACAUCUCCAGUUGGCAGGUUUCUUAAAAACAUACAUGUCCUUCCUCCGUGAUGUUUUUCGAGGUUAUAAAAAACUUCCACUUCCACCACAUGAACUCUAGUUUCCAUCACAAGAUCAUGAAUUACAACUAAUCAGCUCAAAAUUACAAAAGUAUAUGAAUAAUGAAUAUGUAGAAUUUCAAAUGUGCAUCAUGUGCCAUAUAAUUAAAUACCGGUUCUUCUUCCUCAGAAAAACGAUAAUGAAAAUAGGAUAGGGAGAUGAGGUGGGCCAACUAAGUUAAUUCAUAUACCACAUAUUAGAAUAUAUAUUUAACAUGUUCUCAUUCUAAAAUUUAAAGGGCCUCAUUAAAAACAAAUGAACCAUGAGGAGGACCAUGAACCUUGCCAGUCCUCUUAGUGGCUACGUCCCUGCUAGAAAGCUUUGUUGUCAUAAAUUGUGUUUUCAUAAGUUCUUUAAGAAACUUAUUUAAAUAAGUUUUUCAACAAACUUGUUUGAAGAAUUAUGUUGGCAAACUUGUUUGAAGAAGUUUGUUUUACAAACUUGCACGAGGAAGAUUUCUAUGGAACUUUUGAAGAAAUUUUCAUGAAAAGUUAUGUUAUAAACUUUCUUAAGAAGUCCUCCUAAAACAGUCCUUCUGAUAAGUUCUCGAAAAAAUAUCUCCUAAAAGUUAUCAUGAGAAAUUGUUAUGGGAAGAUGCGGAGAACAAAAAAUAUCAAGAGAGGAAUUUGUCAUUGUUGUAGCGUUUGCCUUGUCUCCUGGGCUUGUUGUCCUAGUCAUGCUCUGUCUCGACCUGGACACCAAGCUCACCAUGUGUCUAUGGUGUCGCCAAAAUGAGCACAUCCUGUUAGCUUGUCAAUGCUCAAGUGUCAACCUUCCACGUACAUGUACGCCGUUCCCUUCCGUGCGCAGGCAGCAUAAGUAAUGGCCCGUACGCAAGUUCUCAAGCUGGAGCUCUUCAGCUCCUUGCUAGGUCACUGGCAUGGUAUGGCUCGCGUGGGCGUGGCAAGCUGCGUUCAUCGGAACAGGAUCGACCGCGCGGCGGCAUGGAGCAGCCGUGCAACCGCAAAACUUCGGCUUGGAGUCCCUGCGACUAACGGGGGAAUAGAGAAUACGGUGGGUAUGGAGAAAGGUAAAUUUACACUUCAUUUCUACUAUAUAUGGCGUUCACUUCUUUUUCUCUCCCGUAGCUGUAGUAAGAGAGUGUGUAUAUGGCAUUCAACCGCAUCUUGGCGUGCCCAGAAUUGGAACCUGCAAGUUGGUGCUACAGCCAGAGUGCCAGUCUUUCACGACAGUCAUCCCCGGCCACCGCUACGGAUGCCCUGAGUGCGACUACGGAUGCAGAUGCGAAGGUCUGGCUGCAACUGCAACUGCGACGCAACAUUCUCAAUCUUUCAGAGCGACAGGGCCAAAAGAAGUAAAGAACACCUCGAUGGAGCCUCAAGAUAAUGGCCACUCGGUCGAAGUUCCCAAAAGUGAACUGCACAUGGAACUCCCUCAAAUGCUGUUCUGACGAAAGAGAGUUCUCAACCCUAAGGCAGGCAAUACGCAAUUGUUGUGCUGAUCUCUCUAGCAAAGUUACCAGGCGUCUUGCUGCUGUACAGCGGGGCGCAUGGGAGCCUGGGCCCAAAUCCAGCACGGGCCAGCUCGCCGAAAACAAUGGAACAAAAAUGGCCCGUGUGAGUUCAAGCGCCGCGGCUCAACCUGGUGAUGGGCCGAAUGCUGAUAUGUCUUCUCCAUCCAGCGGGUUUUGUACCUUUUGUACCACGCACGACCCCAACCAAGUUAAGCAACAACACUAAGCCAACCUCCGUUACCCUGGCUCUUAGCUCAAAUGCUCAACACAGGAUGAAGCCAAGAGCUAGGAACAAACCGUGAGAGCUAUCUCUGGAUGAGUACUGGUGUAGACCCUGCUCGUUUUUUUCCCAAAAAAAAACAGAGAUAAAAACUUACGAAUUCUGCACCAGGCAAGCAGCGCUUCGCCGACGUGUCUCAACCUCCAGCACGCUGCUGCCUCUCGAACCAAGAUCACGCGUUCAAUCACCCCCUCGACAUCACCUAACCACCACCCAACCAUCCGUCCCGGUGAUUAAUCAACGGCACAGCCACACCACACCUGCGCCGUCAGAGACCUGAACUCCGAUAGAUAUAUUUCACCGGCGCGCCAAGAAAAUAAACCCCCAUCACACGCUUGGCGCUCUGCGGCUGUGCCACCUGCAGCCCAAGCCGACCCAACGCCCCCCCUCGCCGCAGUCAGCAGCCUCACCAUUCACAUGCACAUCCAAGUAUCCAAUAGAUACAGACAUACAGUGAUCCACCACAACAGAUACAGACAUACAGAGAUCACCACAACCGCGAGUCAGCCACCCAGCGUUUCUCCUCGACGCCGCGCCUUUCGUUUUCGUUUCCGUUAAGCCCCGCCUGGCCGCGCGCGCUCCCGACAUCCCCCGUGUGGUCCAGGGCGCUGGUGUGCACACGGCGCGCGGCCGCCGGCCACACGGUGCCCCGGCGCGUUAUCCCGAGCCCUAUCCCAUCCCACCGUCCCCGCCGCCGAGCGAAGCGAGUGGCGCACUGGCGGAUGAGGCGCCGAGUGGCCCGGAUCCACCGGCCCAGGCGAGCCGCACACGUACGCCGGCGCCGCGCACCUGUCGGCACGCGGGCGCGGCGCAUCUAUUUCUCGGGAGCGCGCGUAUAAGGAGGCGGCACGGAGCAAGGGGCACUCUCACAGACGAAUGUCUACUUGCUUCGCUGGGUUGAGCAUCGUCGCAAGCCUCGGCACCCCCAAGCCGUCCUCCGCCUCCGCACGCCCCAGGCUCAUCAGGAACGCGCCCGUCUUCGCCGCCGCCACCGCCGUCGUGGUACGUACGUGCAUGCAUCGAUCAAUAAUGCAUGGGCAUGGGCUCACUACUGUACCGCACUGCACCGACCACAUUGUACAUGCAUGCAUGUCUAUCCACUUUCUCUUUUCAGUGACCAUGAGCCUGAGCUGUGUAACUAACAAGUUGGCACGUGUCCAUGUCCUUGCUAUUAUCGGCACGUCACACGGCUCUUCACGAAAUGCACUACUGCAAAAAGCAAAAGCCUCCCUUGUCCCUUCCCACAAUCUCGGAGGUUGGUAGCGUACAGACCAGGACUUUCUGAAACGAAACAGAAUCCAAGUGCCACGCGAGUGUGCAAAACGGACCACACGGUCAACUAAUGAUGCACCUUGCAUUGCCACCUUUGGUUAAUUCUUCAAGCUCAAACCACAUUUUUCCUGCUACAGAAACAUACGUGUGCCAUUGCCCUCAAUAACAAUAGAUUUUUCCCUUAAAAAAUAAACGUUCGUGUCUUUUCCUAAGAGCAUGGAGGCGCCGCACUGUUCCGUUGUACCAAGAGCCAAUAACAAGGCCCAGUCUGCAAAUGCGGCACGCCAUAACCCAUAACCUCAUGUUCUACCCCUCCGUUUCUAUUUAUAAGGCAUGACAUAACUUAGCACAGUCUUCCAAAUUACACUUUGACCAUUCAUUUAUCUUAUAUCAUAUUAUUUAUGGUUAUAAACUUAUGAUCAUUGUAAAGAUUAUUUAAUUACGCAUCCAACCAUAUAAAUUUUAUAUUAUAAAAAUAAAAAAUUGGUAGUUAAAUUGCUAGUUAAAGGUUGUAAAGUUUGAAUCUAGAUAUGUGCAUGUCCCCUUACACAUAACAUUUCAUUUCAACCAAUCAUUGCAUAGUAGUAUAUACCAGGUCAUACUUUUUCUCCUGCUAAUCUAAUCAUUUCCCCGUCCACCAGUAGCAACAUCAACAUGCAUGUCAACCACUGCACCCCGCAAUAGAAUAAUCGGGAAGGGAGGGGGUUUCCAAAGAGGUGGCCAAUGAUGGUGCUAGUUUAAAGGCCACAGCUAGAUAGAUGCUUUGGACAGAAUAUAUAUAAUUCCCCAAAAGUCUCAAGUUUCAGGGAAGAAAGAUGCAAGUACACUUGCUUAGGCGUGUAAUGGCUGGCCUUUUCCCUAAACAAAGCGAUAAGGUGGGGAGUAGGGUCGUCAGUGGACUCGUUGCAUGAUGAUAGCAACUCCACACAAAACAGUUAAACAGAAGAUGUGGAGAGCUAGCCCCCAUCCGUCUUUUGGCUUUUCAGUUCCGUUUUGAACCAUCACGCAUCAAGAAAUCCAAUAACCGACCAUCUAUCAAUUUAAGCUUUAUAGUGCGCGUCAACGUUAGCUUUUUCUCUUUAGUAACGCCCAUGAUUUCCCGCGUUGCUUUUGCUCACUGUUGAGUUUUUUGCAGACAGAGCAACGAACUACCCACCAAGAGAUUCCUUGCAACUUCACAAAAGAAAAAAAAAUCUUCCUUUUCAUCAGUAUCUGGGAGGGGGGAAAGAACUUUGCUACGUAUUGAACCGGUGGAAAAAAAAAGGUUACAGUUCUCUGUGGUAAACUGGCAGUACUUAGUACUAGUAGUAACCAAGUUUGUUAGCGCUAGGCAGUAGGCCUAGGAGGAGCCCAGAUUUUCGUUGCCUUCACCUCAUCACGCUGAUGCGAGGCGCACGGCUUGACACCGAUCGCACCAUGACUCGGGUGGUGCAUGCAGUCCAAACCUGUCGUAGGCUAUAGCGGCUGCCAUUAGAUAUGCACUAGAUAUACGCGAAAAGGAAAUAGUAGAAUAGCUAGCCCCAAAGGGAACCUCAUCCCUUCGAUGGUUGAGCGAGCAACCGUUGCAUGUGGAGUAUAUUUAAAAGUUCACGAUUAGUGCUAGUGGUUCCUCAUUAGUAGACCGGCAUGAUGAUCGAUGAGUAAGCACGGCAGCCUAACAUACCGGAUUAGGAGGGCGCAUCAGGGGGACAAGGUCUCGAUGAGCUGAGCUCGACUGCAAGAUCAGUCUCCAAUAAUUUAGGAGGUGCUGGUCCGUGGUCCGGGCGGUUGGCACUGGUGAAGGGAGUAAUUUAGGCGAGCCGAUAAGGAAGAUUCGGUCCCCAAGGCCGUGCCAUUGGUGCCCCGUCGUCCGGCGAUGCGACGAGCUAAAACGACCUCUUCUCUGAGUGAUUACCCCAUGGGGAAGUAGAGUAGCAGCCCCGUAGGCAGGCAGAUGGCAGUCUGGCAGAUCUGGGUGAGUGGGCAUCGAGAUUCCUUGGUUGUGGGAAACAACCCCUGGGGAAACGUUUUCUCGAUCGGGGUGUGGGGGAGGCAGCAAAAAGGAAAGGUUCCCGCAGCCAGCAACCUGGCCGUGGCCGGCGCCACUUGUGCUUUCGCUCUCCGUACCCGCAGCUGUGCCUCCCAUCGCAGAGCGUCAUCUGCCCAGUAGCAUAUGGUCAACUGGUCCCUCCAGCCUUGGCCUCAGCAGAUGACGAGUGCCCGUUUACCUCUUGAGCUCCUGGCGGAACUUUGCAGUCCGAAUGACUCUUGGGGUUGCCUGACCUUUUUCGCACACCAAUAAACAUUUUUUCUUCUAGAGCACCUGAUUUCAUCGGCUUAACUCAAAAGCAGAGUUGAGCACACGCGUCCGCGUCACAUACAGAUCACGGGCGCCUAAGAAUUAAUUUAACGACAAAAAGGGGAUAAGGCUGUUGCCGUUCCGUCCACAGAAGCCGCACUCACUCCCCCAUUACCAUUACUACUGCUGAUUUUUCUCCUGCACGCUCUCGCUCACGCUAUUAUUGCACGUGUCAUGUUGCUAGUAAGCCGACGAACGAGAAGCUCAUCAAAAAGUCAGACGAGAGAGAGGCGAGGAGUAGUAGCAUCCAAGCCGGCCGGCCAUAGGAAGAGGAGAAGAUGAGCGGGUGCCUUUGCCUCCCUAAAAAGAAGGAGGGGGUCUCCGCAGCGAAGCAGUCCAUAAAUUCCCCCGCCUCGUCACUCCUCCAGAACCAGAAGCCCACCCAACCUCCACCUCCUCCUUCCAAGAAGGUCCGUUCCCCUCCUCCCUUCUCCGUCCUUCCUCCUGCAGUAAUCCCCAUCCAUCCGUCACUCUUCUUUUUCCUCUCUUGCCCCCAUCGCUCAGUAGCACAGCGGCUGCGGCUGCAGCUGCCCUUUUCUUCACCCCCUUUGUGCUGCUGCAAAGCAGAUCCCUGCAUGGCUGCAUCCCUAUCCCCAUUUUAGAUCACCUUUGCGCAUGCUCCCUUGUGGUCUGUGCGCAAGGAGGCCAGAAAAUUGCUUCUUGUCCCUGUCCCUCUCCCUCUCUCUCUCGAACUGCAUCACGAGCAUACAGGGUAGUGCCUUAGUGGGGAUGGCUAACUGACGAUUUGUCGCUGAUCUUUGAUUGCAGGGCAUGGACGCCGUCGAGCGCUUGAAGAGCGGGUUUGACAAGUUCAAGACCGAUGUCUAUGAGUAAGUCACCAUCAACUGCCCCGCGUUCGAUUUCAGUUUCAUGGCGCUUGAUUUGCUUCGAGAAUUUUGGGACCUCCCACUGACGACCCUGCUUUGCCCCCCGUGGAAUUUCCUCCUCGCAGCAAGAAGCCGGAGCUGUUCGAGCCGCUCAAGGAGGGCCAGGCACCCAGGGUAUGUGCUUCCUUCUCCGCCCUAUCUCAUCACCCUUGUAGACUGCUAAGAUUUUUGUCUGGAGCGGCUCCGGCCGGCUGGAAUCCUCGUCAGAAAUCAUGGAAAGCUUAAUUUAGCCAAACCGCGUUCAGUAACUUGGGUUCCCGUGGGGUCCGGGCAACGCCUGGCUGGCUGGCCCACAGAUUUGGUGGUACCUAGUACGUCCUGGUUGCCCAGGCGUCCAGUUAGAAGCAAGCUCUGAACAGUGUCGCUGGUACUUGCUCACCAUCAGGAUCCCUGCAUUACAUUCUCGUUUGCAUCUCCCAGGCAACCCUGCUGCCAUCCGUUACUGUUUCAUUUGCCGAGGUCAGAGUCGUGGUAGACAAGCGGAAACGGCUUGUCCUAAUUGCAUGACUUAACACUGACGGGGACAGCUUGUCUCCAUUAGCGGCCAGUGGCCCGUGAUCAGGUUGGAGAAACUGAAACUGUUCUUGUUGGACGAGCCUGCUCCACGGGGCACAGCCUUUUCAACUGUGCAGAGAGAGAUUGUAGUGGAUAGCAACCACCCAGGCACUAAAACAUGCGCGCGGCGAGUGCAUCCCCAUGUGCAGGCCAUGUUGGUGAUUUGGGCGUUGGCCUUGUAAAUUAUUGAGAGAGAUGUCGCCGUCCCUGUAUAGGCUCACUUUCUGGACUGGUGGUGGGUGAUGAUGGAUAUAGUAUAGUCUUAUUUCCUUCUCGUUCCUAGUAUAAACCUGGUGCCAGAAUCUCGCAAGUACAGAGUUUUAUUGUUUUCUUUAUGGGGGUUCUUGGCUGGCAUCGAUCCCAUGCGCCUAAUUACUCCAUGCAUGCUGUAGUUAGCUGGUUCCAGGCCCAAGUAGUCUAGUAAUUUUAUUUGCCAAAAAAAGUGGUUGGCGUCUUACUCGGUCUGUGGGAAACUAAGAACUAGCAACUAGCCGUGUUGAAUUCAAAGUUCAGACUAGUUGAAUUUUGUCAAGGUCUCCUGCAUCGUUUUUUUUUUUGGGGUGGGGUGGAGUAUAGUGCUCUAGUCCAUCAUUACACUAUAUGGUGGUGGUGAGUAGGCAUUUCAGAUGUCUCAUCGUUUUGAAAGUUCUUUUUGACGCUGCACAAAUCAUACACUAAAAAGUGACGUGAGCUCCAAGUUUCCAUGGCUAUGAAUAGAAUGGAAAAUGCAAGGUGAGCCAUGCCCACAUAGAUAGGUGAUAGGUCCAGGAUCCCAUCAUUCCAUGGCUAAACGUGUGGUCCAGCCAUGAUUGAGCACAGGCCCUACCUGGCAGCUAGCAACCUGUCCUGUGGCUGUGGCGCACUGGUUCCUCACCUCAUAGAAUUCGCUCUUCAUCAGCAUGUAGAAGAGUAGUUGGUUUGAGCGUGUCCUCUAUUCCCAGCCAUUGCGAAAAGUUAGGGGCAUAAACAUUGGCCAGUGCAUGUUGCUUUAGCCUUCAGAACAUUUGUGUAUUCGCAUCCAUAUCUCACUGGCCAUGCUGAUCCUUGAAAUAUAUGCUAUACUAGACACGUCUCAAAGUGUAUAAAGAGCAGAAGAUGAUUGCAUCACGUCAUGCCCCUUGCCCCCUUUCCAAACCCUGGCCUCCCAAGUGUGAGCUAAUCCAAAUAGGAACGAGGUUCCUUUUCCUAAUCAUCCAUGGACAUGGUGUCCGUCCAUCCAUUGUGGCUGCUCUUGUCACCAAGCUCAAUCUGCAGUGUGGAUUUGGCAGUUUUGAUCCGGCCUUUUGCAUGCAAAUUGUUCUCGGUUCAUGCAUGCAGGCUCGCCUUUUGCGUGUCAACUUGCCCGGAAAUAUUCUUGCUUUACGCUUGCGGCUUCCUCGCCGGGAAUGGGAUCACGUUUUGUUUCUGGCCCGUUGAUCGCCCCGGGAGCCACAUGAAAGUCGGCGUAGAAUAUCCUCGUUUCGAGUAGUAGCAGGGAACCUUCCUGCUUGGCUUUUGUCCAUCCUGCCCCCCUGGUAAAAAGUGGCUCGGAACAGAGACAACCAGGAAAUUUUUCAAAAACAGAGACAGCCAGGUCAAAAGCGGUAGCCUUUUUCGAGCGCAGUGGUACCAGCAUGCAAAUCCAGCAGAGCCACCAGAAUCGUGUACUCCACCGAUCAGCGCCGAUCUGCCUACCUGCUUAUCGAUAAGAGCCGUGGGGGGCGUGAGAUGUCCAUUAGCGAUAAGGCUGAUUAAGCGUGCUCUUUUCGUUAACCUGAUGCUUGAUUUUUCUUCUCUUUUGUUAAUGAUGCUGAUUUCCCCCUUUUGUCAACGCUAUGCUGCAGUACAUGGUGUUUGCCUGCUCCGACUCCCGUUGCUGCCCGUCGGUGACCCUGGGCCUGCAGCCCGGCGAGGCCUUCACCGUCCGCAACAUCGCCGCCAUGGUCCCACCUUACGACAAGGUAAACACUGUCUGACUGACUGACGCAUGGACAUCUGUGUUUUUUCUUUGUUUGGCCGGCCAUGACCACUGGUGUGUCUUUGCCUGUCGACUGCUGCGUGCGCAGACCAAGUACACCGGCAUUGGGUCCGCCAUCGAGUACGCCGUCUGCGCCCUCAAGGUGGAGGUCCUCACCGUCAUCGGCCACAGCCGCUGCGGUGGCAUCAAGGCGCUCCUCUCCAUGAAGGACGGCGCACCUGACAACUUGUAAGUAACGGUGGAAUUAAGUUACAGCUUUGGAUCGAGGAACCUAUCCUGCAGCUUGGUGUUUCUGACUCGAGUACUAUCUCUUUAAUCAGCCACUUCGUCGAGGACUGGGUCAGGAUCGGCUUCCUCGCCAAGAAGAAGGUGCUGACCAACCAUGCCUCGGUUCCGUUCGAUGACCAGUGCACCCUCUUGGAGAAGGUAUGUUUGAGCUACUCAAUUACCAUGGCGAUCUUACUUUCCCAUACAGUAGCAGUGUUUGCAGUGCCAAUUGCAUCUACACGUGUGUACUGCCUAGUCUGCAUGAAUAUCGAAUUGGUUUGCUCAUGAAAGGAUCCUGCAUUUCUGAAUAUUUUUGCAGGAGGCCGUCAACGUGUCCCUCUACAACCUCCUGACCUACCCCUGGGUGAAGGAAGGUGUGGCCAACGGGACACUCAAGCUGGUCGGCGGCCACUACGACUUCGUCAACGGGGUGUUCUCCGUGUGGGAGAAAUAAGCCACCCGGUUUAUUCAUCAUACAUACAUACCGAAAUAAUGCAUCCAAUCGAUGUGAAUGCAUGAGUACUUACUACCUAUUUUCGGCCGCUACAUAUAUAUCAGAUCGGCCGAUGUGAAUGUAAUAAGAUAUAGCAUUUUCUACCGCUUUACGACUUCUAUGUACUAUAUGAUGCGUAAUUUGGCCGCCUUGUGGUCAAAAGACAUCAGCUAUGUAUAAGCCGUUUUACUACCAUGGCUAUGUAUAAUUUCAUAAUAUUUUCGUCAAGAGUUUACCUUUUACUACCCCUUCAUGUUGGCUUAUUUGUCUGUCCCCUUCCUGGUUGCUGAUGCAGUAUUUUUAUGUGAUAACAAGAAUAAUUUUGUAUGCA
rnacentral:lncRNA from 1 species